AAGUUUUGAGAAUUUGCCAGAAUGGCAGCAUUGGAACACCAAUAUCAAAGGAAAUGAGCCUGUUGAAAUAUUUCCUCGUCUCCAAGAACUUUCCAUUGCAGAAUGUCCCCAACUCUCUGGAGAACUGCCUGAGCUCCUGCCUUCUUUGGAGACACUUGUUGUUAGUAAAUGUGGAAAGUUGGUAGUUCCAUUGUCAAGCUAUCCGAUGCUCUGCAGAUUAGAAGUUGAUGAGUGCAAAGAGCUAGUGUGCAGGACUCCAAUUAAUUUUGAGUUGAUAAAGUCUGUGACUAUUUCAAAUAAUUCAUUACUCAUGAAUGGAUGCAAGGAGAUGCUAUGCCAUGGUCAAGCUGGCUCUUCACUGCAGAAACCCAAGACUAUUAUGAAUGUUUUGGAGUUCGGAAAAUUAUUGAAGCCUGGAUUUCAGAUAUUAGAAACUUUGGUAAUUGGCAAUUCUGAACGGCUCAAGUCAUGGAGUACUUUUAUUGAACCAGGGCUACAUUUGCUCGCUUCCCCUGAAGAGGUAGCAAUUGAAGAAAGUUGUGUACGUCUUGUUUUGUUUCCAGAGAUCAAUUUCUUUCCCAGAAAUCUGCGCUCUCUUCGAAUUUGCAACAGCACUGCUUUCAAAUCCUUACCCGAGGAAAUGAUGGAAAACAAUUCACAACUCGAAAGGUUGUAUAUCAGAGAUUGCGACUCUCUAACAUUCAUCGCAAGACGGAGGCUACCAGCAUCUCUUAAAAGGCUUGAGAUAGAAAAUUGUGAGAAAUUGCAACGUCUGUUCGAUGAUGAAGAGGAUGCUUCUUCUUCUUCUCCUUCAUCCUUGUCUUCCCCAGUGAUGCUGCAACACCUGAGAAUAGAGAAUUGCCCAGAGCUCACCAGUUUAUCAUCGGGUGUCCAAUUCCUUGAGGCGCUUGAAUACCUCAAGAUAGAGCAUUGUCCAAAGCUGGAGUCAAUACCGGAUGGCCUGCCCAAUCUUAAAUGUUUACAGAGCAUUUAUAUACGGAAAUGUCCAAGUCUUGUUUCCUUCUUAGAAAGAGGGCUUCCCAACGCCAUUUCAAGUUUUUACAUUUGCAGAUGUGACAAGCUCGAAGCCUUGCCCAAUGAUAUGCACAAACUCAACUCUCUUCGAGAUUUAAGCAUACAUGGGUGUCCAAGUCUUGUUUCCUUCCCAGAAAGAGGGCUUCCCAACGCCAUUUCAAGGGUUUACGUUUGCAGAUGUGAGAAGCUCGAAGCCUUGCCCAAUGAUUUGCACAAACUCAACUCUCUUCGAGGUUUAAGCAUACAGAUGUGUCCAAAUCUUGUAUCGUUUCCAGAAGAAGGUUUUCCUACCAAUCUAACAUCACUUACAAUUAGAUAUUUCAAAAUGUAUAAGACACUCGUCCAGUGGGGGUUGCACAGGCUUACCUCUCUUAAACGCCUCUGGAUUGCUGUACGUGAUGAUGAAGCAGAGUGUUUUCCAGACGAGGAGAUAGGAAUGACGCUGCCCACCUCUCUCACCGCUCUGCACCUUACUGGAUUCGAAAAUUUGAUAUUUCUGUCUUCAAUGGGUUUUCAAAACCUCACCUCUCUUCAAUCUUUGAGGAUCGAGAAUUGCCCGAAUCUCACAUCAUUUCCAGAGGUGGGCCUUCCAUCCUCACUUUUGGAAUUACACAUUAGAGAUUGUCUAAAGCUUAAAAAAGCGUGCAAAAGAGAUCAAGGAAAAGAGUGGCCCAAAAUUGCUCACAUCCCUCGCGUUGAGAUAGACGAUAAAUUCAUAUACGAUCCAGAAGCAGAGUAGAUUCUAUUAUUAAGGUCAGUUGAUUUGUAUUAUCCGCUAUAACAAGCUCCUCCUUUUUUUUUCAAAUAAUAAUUUUGCAGUCACUCAUAUGAUUCCGUUUUCACAAGUCAGAUUGUAUGUUGAGGCUAUUUGCCUUUUAAUUAUAACACUUAUUGGAGUAUAAUAUUUUGGAGCAAGCAUACUUGAAAUUUCUGUCUUCAAUAUUUUGAUGCUUUUUUAAUUUUUGAUCUAGUAAAAAUACAUAGCCUUCACCGGCAGGAUUCUAGUCUUGGCUUUCACCUCUCUAACUCAUCGUCCCCACUGGGAUUCCAGAAAUUGAAAUUUCUGUCUUCAAUGGGUUUUCAAAGCCUCGCCUCUCUUCGAUUUUUAUGGAUCGCUUCGAUUUUUGCACAAAUCUCACAUCAUUUCCCGAGGUCGAGGAAAAGAGCGGCCCAAACUUGCUCGCAUCCCUUGGGUUAUGAUAGAUGGAAAAUUCAUAUACGAUCCAGAGUCAGAGGUGUUGAUUCUCUUAUUAAGGUCAACUGAUUUCUAUUAUCCACUCUGACAAUCUCCUAUUAGUGUUUUUCCUUUUCUUUUUCAAAAUUUUGCAGUUCUGUAUAAUUGAAAAUGCCACUCACUUGUUUCCUUUUUCGCAGGUCAAAUAGUGCGUUGAGGCUAUUUGCUUUCUAUCGGUGUUUGUUAAGGUAAUUAGUGCUCCAUCAUAGGUAUGACUGGAUUUUUUUCACUUCCGUAAAUAUUGCAUUUCUAUCGGUGUUUGACUGGAUUUUUUUCACUUCCGAAAAUAUUGCAUUUUAGACUGGCAAAUUUAGCAGUAAUUUUAAUACAAUUUUGUUGGUGCCUUUUGUUCCAGAAGCUAGAAAAAUGUGUAGUUUUCAGAUAAGGAGGCUUGUCAGUUCUCUAAUAAGAAUCCAAUAAUUUGCUUUUGCACGUCCAUCUAAUUUGUGGAUCCUUGCAUCAGAAUUUGAUCAAUCCAAAAGGAAUUGCUUUUAGACAGAGGAAGAAUAGCAGUACCUAGCCUAUGUCAUAGUGUAUGGAACCGCAAACCUGAAACUAUUAGAUUGAGGUAAAAAAAUCAUUGACCCCCUCACAUGUUAACUUCUUCUAGUUACUUUCGUUGGAAAAAAAAACAUUUAAGGAAUUUGCAAUUUGUUGUUGGUUAUGGUAUCUGAUGUUCUUUUCUGUUUUAGUGUUUGUAGAAUCUACUGUAUUAUGUGUUGGCAGUUGCCGUAUCUGAGGUAACUUGCCUUUAUUUGACAAAGAUUUAGAGAAGCAUCUCAAAACACUUAGUAAACUUGACAAACUUCAAGAUGCACUUGCCCCCACGCCUUAUUCUCCACAACGCAAAACUUGUGAGUACACCUAUGCCUGCAAUUAUUGUGAAGUGUUUUCAAUUUUGAUGCAGAGAAAUGGUUUCUUGAUGCAAAAUAUUAAACUGUUAAGAUUUAUCCUGCAGGCUUGUUAGAUGCUGUAUGCUCGAAAAGCCAACAACAUCCAGAACUAGAACUCCAAGACCAGCUUUGCGUUAAUUCAGUCAACUGUAAUAAUAAUGCAAAUGACACUAUAUCAAGCUGGACUUAGAGACUAGUCAGAUCAAUCAUCCAUUUCAUCAACGGUUAAUGUCAUGAUGGUGGCUAUCAGAGGAAACAAAAGAUGUGUCGGAAUCUAUACGAACAUUGAGAAGCAUGAGAGGAGCUUUGAUUUUGAGUAGGGUCAAUGAACUCAUGUUGGUAAGUGGUAAUUAAAGAAAUUUGUAAGCUUAGUAGAGUUUCAGUAUUUUCUGUUUGGAGUAUAGUUGAUAAGUUGACUCUGUUUAAUAAGCCCGAUUAUAGUAGCUGACUGUAUUAACCUUUUUUUUUUUGGUCUACUGUUGUUUUUGGUUUCGAUUAUUUUUUCAACAUUGGGUUGAUCUGUUGAAGAACAAGCUUGGGUUCGAUUCUGCUUUAACUACAAGGAAGAGCCAGACUUGGAUGCAGGCGUUAAGAUUUUAAUGGGUAAGAACAAAUGAAUGCUUUAACCAUGUUUCUCACUAAUUAAAAUGCACGGAUUGAAGGCAUCUGGGUUGAUCCUGACAAUGUGAUGGAAAUACUUCUCUAUUUUGUUCCUGUGUUCACAUAAUGUUUGUGGGAUAUGCUUCGACGAAGACCAGCAAUGAUGAGCAGACACCUGGUAAUAGGGUUCCUCGAGCAGGUAUAUCUUGUAAGAGUAUGGUAUUCAGGGGAGCAGGAGCAGGAAUAUCCUGCUCAUCCGCGAGCACGUCAUCCACGAGGCCAAUCUCCUGUUGGAAGCAUAAAGCCAUUCCUGCUACAUUCCUGCUAAGGGUUGAGUCGAGGAGACCCGGUCAACGACAGUUGGCGAGGCGUGCUCUCCAGUCCGAGAAUCAAGGCAUGAAGGCCACGCAACCACCCACGACUACGGAAAUGGGGCAUCCACUUUCGAGAGGUGGGAGGAUAACGAGCGCGAAUGGAAGAAGGCCCGAGUUCAGAGAUGGCCUAUAAAAAAGUAGCCAACAAAGGUAAAAGGGUUAGAAUUUUUGACAUUGUAACAGAAAAAAAGAAAGCUCUAAAGAACUGAGACUAAAAAAGAAAAGCCAUAAGAUUUGUGGCUAGUGUUCCCAGAACCUUCAUAUCUAACUUGAGCGUCGGAGGGUUUACGCCGGGAAAACAACCGGCGUACUCUGACCUAGUUCUGUGUACGCAGGAACUUCUGGAGAAGAAGCCUUACGAGGAGAGAUCCUAAUCGAGGUGGAGUUGAUCGAGCAAAGAUCCUGGUCGUAACAAGAGAGCAACCAGAAUCUCGCAUCAACAUUUUGGCGCCAUCUGUGGGGACUUGAUCAAAAAGCUUCUGUUGAUAGCAAGAAGAGGAGUGAAGCAAGUGGAAAAGCAAUGGAGGCAAGAAGAAAUAGUGCACAAUGGGGUGAUAUGAGGCUUAACGAUUCCGUGACGCUGAGGGAGAUAGCCAGUGAAGCACGGGAAAAAGCCAUGUUUGACCGGAUGGAACGGAUGGAAAAGCAGAUGCAGACCCUGACAACCAUCCUACAUGAGCUGCGGAGUGAACGAAGGGGAACCCAGGAGGAAAGGGUGAGAGGUGGUGGAGUGGCACCAGGUCAUGAUAGUACGAGGAGAAGUCAAACCACCGAGAGAUUUGGUGGUGAGAGAGGUAACCUAUCUCUACGGGGAGAAAUUCAUAGAGAGGAAGAGCAAUCCCCGGCAAGACAGAUUUUUGACGAGGACGACGGGGUGGCGAAUGCAGAGGAAACAGAGUUGAGGUAACACUUGCAUGAUGUAGAGCAAGAGCGGGAUCAAGUUGCAGCACGUGACCUUGGUCGUGUAGUGCAGCUGGAGGAGGAAGUGCGCAGACUAGCGCAGAUAAUUGAUGACAUGUAAGGAAGGAGCAGAGCUCCUGGUUGGAGGAUAAUGCUGGACGGAGAAUCACCGCUCGCAGCAGAGAUCAUGAGGGCAGUUAUUCCAAGAGAUUUCCGCCUCCCAGACCUUAGAUAUUCGGGACGAACUGAUCCGCUGGUGCACAUAGAGCGCUUCAACGACAUAACCGGGGUACAAGGAUUAUCUCAAUCCCAAAGGUGCAGGGUGUUCCCACUAUCCCUUGAGGGACGUGCACGCAAGUGGUACAGGAAACUUCCUCGGUGGAGCAUUAAAACCUUCGAGCAGAUGUGACAGGAAUUUGUAGAGCAGUUUCGUGGGGCAAUAGCACCAGAAGAUGACAUGAUGGAGUUGAAAAGCAUGAAGCAGGGGGAACAAGAAACCCUUCGGGAAUUCAUCAAGAGGUUUCAUCGUGCUGUCCUCGAUUUGGGAGCCUUCAACCAUUCUCAGGCAUUAAGGGGAUUGAAAGAAGGGGUGAAGAUAGGAAGGCUGUGGCACAACUUGAGAAGCCCAGUUAUUCAGAUGUAUACAGCCGCAUACGAGCAGGCUAAGAGGGACAUUGAGAUUGAAGAAGAAAAGGCAGCACGGAUUAAGACAGACCAGCUAGAAGGGUUGGGAAAGAAAGAGAAGAAAGCAUUACCAGGGAAUGGGCCGAUCAGGAGGAAGGACCACCAGGCCUCAGGUAGUGGUGCAAGAGGUCGAGUAACCGCUUACCAGCCUCAUCAGAGACCACCACAGUAUUAGCACAGCAGAGCACAACCUCCUCGUUCCCCAGUUAGAGAGCUUUGGAGAAGGCAUGACUCGACAUAUGGUGGUCUUCAUCAACACUCCCACGGUAGUAGAGGGAGCAGACCAGAAGCGCUGCCACCGCCUCUAACUCAGAAUGGAACAAAUAGAGAAAGGGUAGUGCACAUGAUCGACCAGAACCAGGACUAUGGGCAGUAUACUUCCUUGAAGAUGUCCCUGGACGAGGUGUACGAGGCCAUAAAGGACCGGGGAUUGAUGUACCUCCCUGCCCCAAUAACAAAGCUACCCAGCAGGACGGAUAGGGGACGCUAUUGUAAGUUCCAUGGCACUUAUGGCCAUACCACUGCAGAAUGCAGAGAUCUCAAGACCCAAGUUGAAGAUUUGGUGAGAAAUCGGUACCUGGAUGAGUUUAUAGAUGAGACUUUCCCGAUGGUGGCCUCGACAUGUGAAGGGGAGCAGAGUGAUAGAAACUUUAGGCGCGAGCAGCCUGCAGUAAGGGUAAUAGCUGGGGGCCCAACAUUGGCCGGAGAUUUCAACAGAUCGAGGAAGAAUUAUGCUAGAUACGCCAUAACUAGUAAAGAGUUACUCUUCAACACCCCAGCAGCCAAAUGAGUAAGAGUCAGACAAGUGCCAAUCAUGUGGACGGAUGAAGAUGAAGAAGAGAUUCUAUACCCCCACGAGGAUGCUUUAGUCAUCAAGGCUACUGUUGCAAGUAAGAAGUUUGACCGGAUACUGGUUGAUACAGGGAGCUCAGUUGAUGUGUUAUUUAAGUCAACUCUGGAGGAGAUGGGAAUAGCAGGCCGGAAGUUGGAGUACACCAAUACCUCCUUGAAAGGGUUUGGAGGAGGAAAGCUGGUCCCUCUGGGCGUGGUCGAGCUGCCUAUCACGAUUGGGAGCUCCCCGACAAAAAGGACUAUGAUACUGGACUUUGUGGUGGUGGAUGAAGAAUGUCCUUACCAGAUGAUCUUAGGUCGGCCAUUUCUGAGGAUGAGCAAAGCGGUACUGUCCAACCAUUAUCUGGCUCUCAAGUACCGAGUGAAUGUGGUAGUUGGAGUGGUACGAGGAGACCAGAGAAUAGCACGAAGCUGCUACUCCUUGGCAGCAAGGGAAGCAAUGCAAAUAACAUCCCUUGAUACCCGAGUGGAAAACAUGAAUGGCAGACAAGAACCUGUAGAGGAGCUGGAGACAGUAAGCCUGGGACCAGAGAAUCCGGGAAAAACGAUCAGAAUCGAGUCGAGACUUAAGGAAGAGCAGAAGCAGGAGUUGGUGAAAUGCUUACAGGCUCAUGCAGAUGUGUUUGCUUGGACACAUGAAGACAUGCCAGAGAUUGAUCCUGAGGUAGCAUGUCAUAAGCUGGCAAUAAAGAAAGGUGCUCGGGCAGUAAGGCAGAAAAGGAGGUGCUUCAACCAGGAGAGGUAUGAGGCUAUAAAUGGCGAGGUGGAGAAGCUCUUGAUAGCAGGGUUCAUUUGCGAAGUCGAUUAUCCUGAGUGGAUAUCGAAUGUGGUGUUGGUAAAGAAGGCAAAUGGCAAGUGGAGGAUGUGUGUAGAUUUCACAGAUCUCAAUAAGGCGUGCCCGAAAGACAGCUUUCCUUUAUCAAAGAUCGACCAGCUAGUAGAUUCAACGGCUGGACACGGCCUGCUUAGCUUCAUGGACGCGUUUUCGGGAUACAACCAAAUUCCCAUGUAUGAGCAGGAUGAGGAGAGCACGGCUUUUAUUACUAACCAGGGUUUAUUUUGUUACAGGGUAAUGCCAUUUGGUCUUAAAAAUACUGGGGCCACGUACCAGAGGCUGGUGAAUAAAGUCUUUAAGCCAUUGAUUAGGAGAACCAUGGAGGUGUACGUGGACGACAUGAUAACCAAGUUGAACAUCCCGAAGGAACAUGUCAGAUACCUCGAGGAGACAUUCGGGCUUUUGAGGAAGUAUAAGAUGAAGCUCAACCCGGAAAAGUGUGCUUUUGGGGUCGAGUCAGGGAAAUUCCUUGGAUUCAUGGUGAGCCAUAGGGGGAUCGAAGCAAAUCCCGAGAAGAUCCACGCGAUCGUGUAAAUGAGGUCACCUCGUAGCCUGAAGGAGAUGCAGAGCCUCACGGGGAGGUUGGCGGCAUUGAGCCGAUUCAUAUCCAAGGCUACUGAUAAGUGUCAGCCAUUCUUUCAAGUGAUAAGGAGGGGAAAGAAAAUAGAAUGGACCCCAGAAUGUGAAGAAGCCUUCCAGAACUUGAAGCAGUACUUGCAGCAAGCACCUCUACUGUCCACACCGAGGGAUGGGGACAAGUUAUUUUUGUAUUUGGCGGUAUUAGAUCGGGCCGCAAGUUUUGUUCUGGUGAGAGAGGAAGAAGGGGUUCAGUAUCCGAUAUACUACACCAGCAAGGCUCUGCUCGACCCUGAGACCAGAUACCCACCGUUGGAGAAAUGGGCAUUUGCCCUUGUGGUUGCUGCUCAGAAGCUGAGGCCAUACUUUCAAGCAUUCCCAGUCUCGGUAAUAACAAACCAGCCAUUGCGUCAAACUCUGCACAAGCCAGAUGCUUCUGGUCGGCUCGUCAAGUGGACUAUAGAGCUGAGCGAGUUCGACAUAGACUACAAACCCCGAGCAGCGAUAAAGGCUCAGGCGAUGGCCGAUUUCAUAGCAGAAUUCACAGAGCCCGAAAUAUGUUUGGACCAGCGAGAUGUAGCUACAGACAGCAACGAAGCCCGAGUAUGGCAGAUGUCUGUAGAUGGAUCAUCCGGGGAGUAGGGAUCAGGAGCAGGAAUUGUUUUGGAAGGCCCAGAAGGGGAGGAGAUCUCUUAUGCUGUAAAGUUAGAAUUCGCAGCCACAAAUAACCAAGCAGAGUACGAAGCCUUGAUAGCAGGUUUGGAAUUGGCUAAGGCAGUGAAAGCGGAUAGAGUGAAGAUCAGAACUGAUUCCCAGCUGGUCGCAAAUCAUGUCAGUGAAAGAUUUCAACCGAGAGAGGAGAAGAUGGAGCAGUACCUGAAGAUAGUCAGGCAUAUGAUGGGGAAAUUUGAAGCGGUUUAGGUGAUACAAAUCCCCAGGGAGCAGAAUAGUCGAGCAGAUAUUUUGACGAGGAUGGCAGCGGUAGCAGACCCAAAAAUGCCAAAGUCGAUCCCUCUGGAGGUGAAGUCCAGCCCGAGCAUCGAGCAUAAUUUGGGGGUGCUGCGGAUAGAACAAAAAUGCUCGUGGAUGGACCCGAUAAUUUCAUACCUUAGAGACGGGGUAUUACCACCAGAGAAGCUGCGAGCUCGGAAGAUUAGAGCCCAGGCCUCGAGAUACACGAUGAUUGACGGGGUAUUAUAUCGGCGAGGAUAUACGCUACCUUUCCUUCGGUGUUUGGAUGAGGACGACGCGGACUACGUACUGAGAGAAGUACAUGAAGGAAUUUGCGAAAAUCACUAUGGUGGGAGGUCCCUGGCUCACAAGGUUCUAAGGCAGGGAUAUUUCUGGCCGACAAUGCACCAGGAUGCGCAAGAGAAGACCAGGAGCUGUGUAAGCUGCCAGAGUUUUGUGAGUUUCUCUAACCAACCACCAGAGAAGCUCACCUCUAUGGCCCCCCCCUGGCCAUUUGCUCAAUGGGGAAUUGAUCUGAUCGGCCCGUUGCCAAAGGGAUGAGGAGCAGCAACACAUGCAAUAGUUGCGAUAGACUACUUCACGAAGUGGAUAGAGGUAGAAGCCCUUAGUAGGAUCACAGAGAAGAAAACAACAGACUUUGUAUGGAGAAACCUGGUCUGUCGAUACGGGAUCCCUUAUGCCUUGGUAACGGAUAAUGGCAGGCAGUUUGAUAAUCACAGCUUCAGGGAUUUCUGCCAGAACCUCGAGAUAGAGUUGAAGUAUUGCUCGCCUGCUCACCCUCAAUCUAAUGGACAAGUAGAAGCAGCCAACAAGACCAUCAAGAGGCUUUUGAAAACCAGGCUUGGAGCAAAAAAGGGUGCAUGGGUUGAUGAGCUGUCAGGUGUCCUAUGGGUAUACAAGACAACCCACAAAACAGCAACUGGGGAGACACCGUUCGCCUUGGCUUUCGAACAUGAAGCGGUCGUACCAGCCGAGAUAGGAACGACCACGCACCGGACAGAUCAUUUCAAUGAGCAGGAGAACGACGAGCAGAUGUGUUUGAAUCUAGAUCUGCUAAUGGAAAAGAGGGAGCAAGCAGCCGAGCGAUCAACCAUUUGCCAGCAGAGGGUUGCUCGGUAUUAUAACCAGAAGGUGAAUGUACGGCAGUUCAAGGUCGGAGAUUGGGUGUUAAGAAGAGUGAAUCAGAAUACGAAAGACUCGGCUCAGGGAGUACUUGGACCAAAUUGGGAGGGGCCAUAUAGGGUCAAGCAGCUAGUUGGACCCGGAGCUUACAAGCUGGUUCGCUCGGAUGGCCACGAGGUGAAACGCCCAUGGAACGCAACACACCUCAGGAAAUAUUUCCAGUAAGAAUUGUCCAUGUUUUCAAGUUAUUUCUGUUCGUGUUUGUUGUUAUUUAUUUUAUGUCAAAACAAUUUCAUGUAAGUUGAAUCCUGCAAUUAAUGAAACGUCGAGGAAUUUCAUUCACUUGAAACUGUGAAAAAUCUACUAAGGCAUGCUAAGGCUCACUGAGUCUCAAAGCCUGUUUAUGGAAAGACCAGAAGCCAAGUGUGCCAGGAUCUGCUCGACCACGCGAAGGCCAGCAGAAUCCCAAAUCAUUGAAGAAUCUACCAAGGCAUGCAAAGGCUCGUCAAGUCUCAAAGCCUGUUUAUGGCGAGACCAGAAGCCAAGUGUGCCAGGAUCUGCUCAACCACGCGAAGGCGAGCAGAAUCCCAAUCAUUGAAGAAUCUACCAAGGCAUGCAAAGGCUCGUCAAGUCUCAAAGCCUGUUUAUGGCGAGACCAGAAGCCAAGUGUGCUAGGAUCUGCUCAACCACGCGAAGGCGAGCAGAAUCCCAAUCAUUGAAGAAUCUACUAAGGCAUGCUAAGGCUCACCGAGUCUCAAAGUCUGUUUAUGGCGAGACCAGAAGCCAAGUGUGCUAGGAUCUGCUCGACCACACGAAGGCGAGCAGAAUCCUAAAUCAUUGAAGAAUCUACCAAGGCAUGCAAAGGCUCGUCAAGUCUCAAAGCCUGUUUAUGGCGAGACCAGAAGCCAAGCAUGCCGGGAUCUGCUCGGCCAAGUAAAGGCCAGCAGACUCCCCAACAUCAAAAAAUUAUCCAAGGCAUGCAAAGGCUCGUCAAGUCUCAAAGCCUGUUUAUGGCGAUACCGGAAGCCAAGCAUGCCGGGAUCUGCUCGACCAAGUGAAGGCUAGCAGACUCCCCAACACUGGGAAAAUUAUCUAAGGCAUGAGAAAGCUCGUCAACUCUCAAGGCCUCCUCUGUGACGAGGUCAGAAGCCAAAUGGAUAAAUAAAUUAAAAUUCCAAUGCGAGGAAGCAAAUAAGAACAAUUUUAUUAAGCUCUUAAAAGUCUGCAAUUCUGUUACAUACAACGCUAAAAAAGCAAUUACAACGCAAGACAAGUUCAGGAGGACGGCGGAUCAGUAAACCGAGUAGCUUCGGUUGGCUGGUCCACUUCAGGGGUCGAGGGGGUGUCACCAGUUGCGUCCGGGGGGGUACUCGCCUCACCAACGUUAGCAGGGACUGCAUGAGGAGGAGAGUUUUCCUCCUCAACCACGAUUGGCUCCACCCCUUCGGCAUCCUCCUUUGCCGCCUCCUCGUCCAUGUGUUGAACAAUACUAGCCGCAAGGUCAUCCAUCUUCAGAUCAGGAUGCUGCUUCCCGAGGACGGCCAUGAUGCAACGAUAGGAAUGCCGAAGUCCCUGGUCGUACUGGUUGUCGGCUUCCUUCUCCAAGUUCUUGACCUGAACUCGGUGGGAAUCGCGGAGAGAUUCGAGCUGAGCCUCGUACAUAAUUUUCUGCCUUUGCAGAUCCUCCUUGACCUUAGUCAGCUCUUCCUCGAGAGUAACGGCCUAUGCUUGAGCAAGAGAUUCUUGCUCUAUCAGCUUCAGAUUCUCGAGAUUCAAGUCUCCCGCUUUCUUCUCGGCAGCAUCGGCUCUGGUCGUCGCCGAUUGAAUGUCCUCCUUCAUCUUCCGGUCGUAACGGCCAACCUUGGCCUUAUAGUAAGUGGUCAUGCAGCUGAGGUGGAAAGCGCUAUACUGCAUGGCCCCCACCAGCUCACCUAGGGUGCAGCCAUCAAAGUCCUCCAGGUCCUUCUUGCUCACGAGUUUAAAUAGCUCAUUGAGAUAGGGGACCAAGUGUUCUGCUCGGUGGUCAGAUAAACGAGAUCUAGGCCCGACAGGAGGAGAAGAGAAAGCAGGAUCAGUGGCAGCUCCACUAGUCUCUCUGACUUUGGCAGGAGGAGGAGGAGGUAGAGUCUGCAAGGGAGCAACCUGUUGCACGAUGUUCACCUGCUUUGCAGUAGGAGCAUCUUUAUUCUGGUCCUGCUUGGUCGUUGGAGGUCGAGAACGUUUCCUAGUCAGAGCCCCAAUCACAGCAUCCUCCAUCUUAUGGCCGGGAGGCACCAAACAAGACUCGAGCAGGUUAUAAGUAGUUAUCAGCUCUCGGCUCGAGCAGGAAUUGGCUAGUACAGCCUCGACCCGUUUGAGCUGGUCAGGUUUGAGCGGGAAGUAAACACCCCAAGAACCUGCAACACAAAUAGACACUUGGUUAGAGACAAACCAGUAUAGCGAGAACAAUUAUGGAUACAAGACAUCUAAAGCGAGCAGGCAACCUGAGAUCACGAAACGGGGUGGGACGCAAGAAUCCUUCCCGUCAAUUUGUGCAACUUGACCCCAGGAACCCCCAGCAAAAAAGAAUUUUUUCUUCCAAUUCCCACCACCACCAGUAAGAAGAUCGGUUAUGGGUUUCCUGGUCUUGGUACUAGAUUGGAAGUAGUACCAGCCGGCAUCUUUGGGGCUGCUCUUUAGCUGGUACAGGUGCUUCACCUCAUCAACUGUGGGCUUGCUUUGGCAACAUCUGUCCCACAAUAUGAACAGACCAGAGAGUACUUUCCACCCGUUGGGGUUCAGCUGACCAGGAGCUAGAUUUAGCCCGUUAAGCAUCCGGGCAAAGUAGGGUUGCAAGGGACACCUCAGCCCAUACUUAAAGCUCUCUAGAAACAGGGUAACGUAUCCCCUAGGAGGCCGGCUAGGGGUAUCCUUCUUUCCUGGGAUCUUAAGAGGUAUUUCACCAGGAAUACUAUACUUAAGCCGGAGGUCAGUGAGCUCGUCAAACGUGGUCGUGCACGUCAUGUAAUCAAUAGCGUAAUCCCGCGAUAGGGCUCUACCUCCUACUGUACUCUGCCCUUCUGGUCGCGAUGUUCAUAAUGGGGACACCUCACCAGAAUCACCUCUUCGAUCCUCACUCAGGGUGUUUUCCGAGCCAGAAAACCCCUCCUCACCGCUAUUUCUGCUCGAGGAGGUUGUUUGGGGGGACAUCCUCCUAGCGCUAGUACCAACACUAGGUCUAAUGGGUUCUAAGGGGAUCCCGGGGUCAAAAGCAGGAUCGGUGAGCAGACUAGGCAGGAAGUCCAACUCAUUGUCAUCAACCUCAAUGACCUUCUCUUUACCUUUCGACAUUCCCUAAGCUAUAACUAGAACACCACCACCAACUACUACCCAAGCAAAGCAAAGAGAAAAGAAAUUAUCUACAGCUAUCCGAGACUGAGGAGAUAGAAGUAAUACCUGAAAUAGUGGUUCAGUCGGAGAAGGACAGGGAUGGAGGCCUUUAUGCCGGAACUUCUUUGCCAGGGAGACAGGGACAGAGACGGGGUAAAUGACGAAUUUUCCUUUGGAGAGGUUUUAGGUUUUCCUAAUGGAGAAUAAACUCUUGGGUUGCCAGCAUUUAACAGCACCAAAUCCCGAGGGUCUCGUAACCGUUGGUUUGAAAUUCAAAUAGAGAGGUAGAUUUCUGUCACAUCACCUCGUCCGCAAUUAAAUGCGACACAACUCUUGGCAGCCUUUUUCCUAUCCCGCGCAAGCAAGAGCUGUCAAGUUUCUACUAUCGGCUUACUACGUUACCCAACACCAGAAACUGGGGGAUCGGUGUUUGUGGGAUAUGCUUCGACGAAGACCAGCAAUGAUGAGCAGACAUCUGGUAAUAGGGUUCCUCGAGCAGGUAUAUCUUGUAAGAGUCUAGUAUCCGGGGGAGCAGGAGCAGGAAUAUCCUGCUCAUCCGCGAGCACGUCAUCCACGAGGCCAAUCUCCUGUUGGAAGCAUAAAGUCAUUCAUGCUACAUUCCUGCUAAGGGUUGAGUCGAGGAGACCCGGUCAACGACAGUUGGCGAGAUGUGCUCUCCAGUCCGAGAAUCAAGGCACGAAGGCCACGCAACCACCCACGACUACGGAAAUGGGGCAUCCACUUUCGAGAGGUGGGAGGAUAACAAGCGCGAAUGGAGGGAAGGCCCGAGUUUAGAGGUGGCCUAUAAAAAGGUAGCCAACGAAGGUAAAAGGGUUAGAAUUUUUGACAUUGUAACAGAAAAAAAGAAAGCUCUAAAGAACUGAGACUAAAAAAGAAAAGCCAUAAGAUUUGUGGUUAGCGUUCCCAGAACCUUCAUAUCUGACUAGAGCGUCGGAGGGUUUACGCCGGGAAAAGAACCGGCAUACUCUGACCUGCUUCUGUAUACGCAGGAACUUCUGGAGAAGAAGCCUUACAAGGAGAGAUCCUGAUCGAGGUGGAGUUGAUCGAGCAGAGAUCCUGGUCGUAACAAGAGAGCAACCAGAAUCUCACAUCAACACAUAAUAUAAUAUAUAUAUAUAUAUAUAGAAAGCUGAAUUUAUUUAUUUACGCGCAUGUGCUAGUGCCCACUGGCAUCCACUUGAUUUGUAUCGGUUAAAUGUAUCAUACAAUACAAUAUUAGCUUGACUGUAGAAAAGAGGAGAACGAGUUGGUGUUGGUCUGAACUCUUAUCUUUGAAUCUCACGUGACUCCACUACUUUUUACUUGUUCUGUAGUCCAUUGUCGGCAGCUCAUACAAGGUCUUUUAGCUUUUUAAAAAGUUUUAGCUUUUUGGAUAAAUUACUGAUAAUUGUAAUCUAUAAAUAAUGAAAGGAAUUAAUUAAAUAUUUGGUAAAUUUUAUUUUUUAAAGUGUUAUGAGUUUUAAAAACGGUUGUAUGUAUAUAAAUUUAUUUACACAUAUAUUUAUAAAUAUGACUAUAUAAUAAUAUUUUAUGUGUACAUAUAAUAAUUGAUAACUAAAAUAAAUAUUUUUAUUUUAUUAAUGGUUUUUUCGUCUCAAUGUAGUUGGUAAUAAUAAUCUCUUGAGAUGUAACGAUUUUAUUUCCUAACUGAAUAAGGAAAAUUUUAGAUUUUUAUAAUAAAUGUUAAGAUAUAUUUAGAAUUACAUUAAGUAUGAAAUAAUCCUCAAAAUUAGAUUUUGAAAAGCAAUUCUUUUCUUGCCUUUAAAAAUAUGUCAUAUGAUGAGAUGAUUUUACUAAAAGUGAUUUUUUUUUAAAAAAUUACUAAACAUCAAAAUUAACUCUUAACUUUUUAAAAUCAUUUCUAAUCUUCUCAUCCUAAGUUCUCUAUUAUUUUGUACAAAAUCCAAGGUUUUGACUUUAAUAAAAUGCCCACUCAAAAAGAAAUUAUUUUCUAAUUAAGAUUUGUUGUUAAUGUAUAACUCGAAGUAAUAUUAGAUAUUUGUAAUUUUAUUUCAAAAAAUUUAUUCAAAUGAUAUGGCAAGCAAUGAACAAUAGUUGAUAGCAAUUUUUUUUUCUUUAACAAUGUUCAAAUCAAUCAGUUGCAUUAUCUCACCAUUUUUAUGAUGCCAUGUUAUUUUAAACGAUUUUUUUUUUAUAUAAAACAUACGACGUGUUAACAUCAUUUGCAUAACUUGACCUUUUUUUUUUUCCCUACAAAUAGUAAGUCAAAUUUACUCACCCUAUUUCUACCUAAAAUCUACCUAAAACUCAUGCAUCACUGCAAAACAAAUCCAAAGAUUGCGGUGCGUUUUUCUUGGUCAGAAAUCAAUAAUUAGGUCAAGUACUACUACUAAGCGUGCACAAUUAAUUCUAAAAUACGGUGAUCAAAAUCAUACUUUACGCAAGAGGAUCAGGGCUAAACUUCAAUUAGGCAUUAUUCAUCCAAAAAUCAUUGACUCGGCAUUCUUUGCAAGUUGUAGCAUGGGACAGCUAAGAUAAUUAGCAAAUGAUAUGGACCAUAUGCACCAAUACAUUUGUGACAUGUGAAUCUUGGCAUUAAAGGAAAGGCAAUGUGUCAAAAUUUAAUAGAGCCCAACUCUUCAUUGAAUGAUUAUCAGAUCCAAUACGCAUCCUUUGAUUGGAUUAUUUUAAGUCAAUUAUUGGUGGAUUGGGGCCCACUUGACUCUACCAAAUCGGGCUCGACCAUAUCACCUAUUAACGGCCACCUGUCCUUAUCAUAAAUAGCAAAUGUCACUUGUUUUAUUUUCUAUUUUACCAAAGUAAAGUCACUACGAACGCAAAAGAAAGUGACCUCAAUUUUGGGGGUCAUGAACUUUGGAUUAUUAUGGACACAAGAGACAAGCGCAAUGUUUCUCAUUUAUCACUGGAUAAGAUUUAAGUUAUCAACCCAAUAUUAAUAAAUUCUGCUUGAAAAGUAAAGUUUGAAGCUUCAUUUUGCGAAUAUUCAAUGGUUAACAUUUAAGUAAUUAACCUGAUAUUAAUCCAAUUAAACUUUUUAUGUAAUCCAAGUCAAAAAUAUAUUGAUAAACCUAAACUAAUCUAAUUGGACAUAUUAUUUCAACUUGAAAAGGUGAAUUUAUCAUUUUUCAAUUAAUUUUGAAUCAAGCUAUGUAAAAUAUAAGCUUAUUAAAGACAUAUUUGAAAAUUUCAAAUUGAAUUAUUUGACAAUUACAUUUCAACUAAGUUGUACUGCUAAUUAACUUCCUCAACUUAAAAUGUAUUUUUCUCAAUUAAUUCGUAACAAAGAAUGUUAGAUGUUUUGUUCGAAUGAUAACAUUCAACAUCCUUAUUCUUUAUGAUUAUUGCAUAAAAACAUAUUUUAUCCAUUUACGUCACAUAUGUUCCUAAAUUGUAUAAGAAAAUCACCAAAUUUACUCUUGUAAGUUACUAUAUCAAUGAACAUGAAACUAACUAAUCAUUAAAGUCUCGGAAUGACAUCAUGAGGGGGAUUCCGUUACAUUUAUUGAUAGGAUUAGAUAUAUGUCUUCCCAAAUAUUAGUAGGAGUAAUUAAACAGAUGCAGCUAUUAAAAAUAUGGAAUUACUUAUCUCGUCAAUAACUAACGAUAUUUUUUAUCUAUGCUCGAUAGGCGUCUGAGCUAUAUUAUAAAUUGUAAUAUUUGUAGAUUGUAACAAUUAUAAAAAAAAAAAAAAAAAGCUCCCUAAGACUAAACGACAACAGGACUGUUUUGAAAUAGAUAGAUAAAGUAUGCCCUUAUUUGAGAAAAGGUAAAACACUAGGGAUCUAAAUGUUAUUAUAAUCCCAUGCACAAAAAUGCUAGAAAAAACUAAUAACAACUAACCGAAAAUCCCAGGCGUCAUAUUCCUUUUUACCGCGUUUUAAAAUGCACAACAAUGAUAUUCUCACAAAAGUGGGUACAAAGGUUUGUACAACCAGGGUCUCUUUGUAAAUUAUUUCAAAGUUUUGUGUUAUUUUUUAAAUUUAUGAUUUUUAUUAAUUUUGAUUCAUUGGAGCAUUUCUCCUUCCAUCUCUUCUACAUCUAUUUUUAAAGUUUUUUAAAAUUUUGACUAUAUCUUUAUAGAGUUCUAAAUGAUUAUCUUUUUUCAUAAAAAUCUAUACUUAAAUUAAUCCUUGAAUUUAUAAUCAUUUAUCUUCUUUGAGUCAUAGACCAAAUUUUUUCUUCUAACAUAUCUAUGUAUACUCCUAAGCUAUCUUCAUGGCUUAGAUACAUUCUAUCAAAGCUUUCACAUAUAAAUUGUGAUUUGAGAUCUGCAUCUUGAAUCAACAUCUCUAUAUUAUCCAUUGUUUUACGCUCGAGGGUAGUUAAAAUUGAUUCUAUUAAUGCUAUCGUGUUUCUCCUUCAAAAGAAUCAAAUAUUUCUGGAUUAUUAAUUUCUUUUAUUUCUUCAUACAAGCAUUCGUUUGCCGUUAAUCUUGUUUUAAUCAAGGAAGCUGUAUAAGCAACUUGAUAUUCUUGACAAAAGUCUAAAUGAUCUAUUGCAUCUAGAAAUUUAUUAAUAGAUCUUUCCAUUUUUAAGAAAUUGAGUUACUCUUAUCACUUCCAAUCUUUUAACAUCUCAGAAAACAAACAAGGCCCAGCAUGCUUCCGUUUGUAGCUCAAAUAAAAGAAGAGUUCAGAUCACUAACCAAUGUACUAUCUCUCGGAAGUCUGAGAUAGACUCACUAAUUGCCUCUAACCAUAGAGAGGUCCAUGGUCAGCACCACCAUAGCUCCACACAUCAUACAAGAUCACUUCAACGACUGUUCCACAUGGCCUAAUGCAACACACAGCAGACUGGCCUAAUAGGAUAUGUCUAAGUGAUUUUCUUGCAGUUGUCUCUGGAAGAGUGCUUAGUAAUAGAAAAUCUUCUUCGUUUAGUACAAGUAUUGGUAUGUAAGGUUCUUGAUUAAUUUUCAAAAGAUGUAUAAGUGUUAGAGUGCAAUUUAUGCACUAGUUUUGCAUUAUUUACUUCCCUUAAUAUCAAUGUUUUGCACUUAAUAAUAGUGAUUUACUUGUGUUUUACUUUUGUAGGUCCAAUUCUAUUGAUUGAUGAUAAAAUUGAGCUAUAAGAUGAUGUUUAAGGAUGAUUGUUCUCUUGGAGAAAUUAUGAGCGUCAGAAGAACUUUGUUGAUAAGGCGUGGGCGCGUGCUGUCAAUUGCGGACCUGCAGUUUUUAGUUUAACGUGUUUUGUAUUUUUGGUUAUUUUUGUAAUUACGAAUUUAAUAUUUCAGAUAUUAAGAUUUUAUUUUAAAUAGAAUUCUAAAAGAGAAGAGAGAGAGAGUAUUUAAGGGAGGAAUCUAUUGUGAAAAAGGGGGAUUUUGGAUUGGAGAAAGAAAGAAACCCUAGAUCUAAUUUUUCUCUUCUCUCUAUGAAGAACUAAACUUAUUUUUCUAGUUGAAGGUUAACGAAGCUUUGAUUCAUCACUACUGUGAGAUCUUUCUUAUGCUUUAAUUGUUUUAUUACUUUUUGGAUAUUUGUUUAUUCUCUGAAUUUUUUUCAUGAUUAUGUUUGUUAAUUAGGUAAUUGGCCACUAUUUAAUUAUCAACUUAAUCUAUUGUCAAUUAAAGGAUUCAUCGUAUGAAGAAUUUAAUAUUUGUGACAAAUAACAUAGCAGAGAGUUGUGUUGUGAGAAUAAACAAUCUAAUUUAAAUGAAUCAUCAUAUGUGUUGAUUAGGAUUUGGGUCUCUCUGGUUUUUCAGGCUGUCAAUGAAUUAAAUCCUAUGAUCGUAUCUAGGGUUGUCCAUUGAUUAGGGAAAUAACCAACGGUCGUACCUUGGUUAUCGACUAGUAAAGGAGAGAUUGGCUAUUAGAGGGUCUCAAUAGCUAUAACCGGUCUAUUCAUAAGUAAUAAUAAUCUAUAUUUGAAUCAAUGAUCAGUAGUAGAAUCAAGCUGAGUUAAUUCCUUCAACCAGAGCUUUCUCCAAUUUGAAUUACAACUUUAAUUUGCAUUCUUGUUAUUUUGAUUUGAUUUUUAUUAUUGUCAACAAUUCCCCCAUUUUACGUUUUACGUUUCAAAAGGAUUUAAAUAAUUACCGAUCUCUGUGGACACGACCCUGCUCAAUCACUAUACACAAUUUAUUUAGAGUAGGAAUUUAUUUUUGUUCGCUUCGACACCACUGCUGCCUCGCCAACUAUUCCUUCUACAUCCGCACCACCUUUGAGCAUUCAGUUAGAGAAAAUAGAGCACAAGCUGAACAAGAUGGAGCAGAAUUUGGCCGCAUACUUCGAGAGUGUGGGUUUUACCCCACCAUUUCCGCCAAGCCCAUAGACGUUAUGUGGAUCAAAGCUCACAAUUCAGGGAAGUUUCUUUUUGCCCUUAAUCUUUUAUCCUUACGCUUUAAUUUUUAUGUGAGCUUUAAUUAUCUUACAUUGGGGACAAUGUAAGUUCUUGGUGUGGGGGAGGGAUUUUUGCAUUAUUGAUGUCUGGAAGUAUUAUUUUCACUCUACUCAUCUAUUUUCAUUCUACUCGUCCUUAAAUGAUUUUGGAGUUAGUAUGCUUCAUAUAUUAUUAUUUUUCUUUUCUUUUCUUUCUCACUACUUUUUUCCCAUCUAUCUCAAAUUAUUUACAUCUAUUUUUAUUCUAUCAUACUCUUUCAUCACUCACAUUUUAUCUUUCACUUUUCAUAUUACUACAUACAUCUUUCUCACUUCUUAUCAUUUUUACCUUUCCUUCACUCAUACCUUCUUCUCAUUCUACACCACUAUUGAUGGUUGAUUCAUUUGAAGAGUGUACAUGAUUUGAUGGCAAAUUUACCAACUUUGUGAGGAUUUGAGCCUAUGAGCAACCACUUUGCUCUAAUUAUUUUUAUUAUGUGAAUAUCAAUCUUAGUUUGUUUAUUCUAGAACUUGCUUUGUUAUGCAUGUUGAAGCCACAUUACGGGAUUUUUUGCAUUAAAAUGAUAAGGGCAAACCAUUUACCAUUUUUCUAUUCUCGCAUUUUCUUUUUUUUUUCUCUACCCGAAGACCUUGAUUUACUAUCUUUGUUUGAGCCUUAACCAUUACCCAUCUAAUUCUCUCCGUCUACUUAACCAUUUUUCUUCUUUUUUAGCCUCAAUUUAAGGAGAUUUUUGGACUCAUUGUGUGGAUAUAUUUUGUAUAUAUUUUGUUGCUUUUUCUACCUUGUAUUAAAGUUUCUCAAUUAGAUCAACAAGCAUUAUGCUUGAAUUAAAUUGUGCAAGGUUCAUUUCUUUUGUUUGAUUCAAAAAAAAAAAAGAAAGAAAAAGAAAAGGAAAAAGAAAAAAAAAGAAAAAAAAAGAAAAAUCGAAAAAAAAAGAAAAAGAAGAAAAAAAAAUGUUUACAUUCUUGGUGACUUGAGUAGAAAUAAGCGUUUCGAUAUCAUAAAGUUCGUUCAAUGAGUUCAUUCUUCUCAUUUUGAUCUCUUUUUCUUUCAUAAACCUUUCUUUUUCAUUUAACCCAUUUAACCCCGUUACAACCUUUUAAGACCCUUAGAUUUUUGUAUUUAAUUCAUGUUUUGUGGAUUGAAAUGUGAUAUAUAAGCAAGCUUAUGGUAAUAGCAUUCUUUGAUUUGAUUUGAGUGAAUAAAUGACACCCUAAACACUUUGAGUGCAUGGAGUGAAGUCAAUGAGAGGGCUAUUAAAUCUUGUUGCACUUGAAUUUUGAAUGGAUCUUCUUGGUGGUUGAAUGUUCUUAUUCUAUCUUAUGAGAUUCUAUGCUUUAAAAUCCUUGUCUCUCGAAUGUUGAUCGACUUAAUUUCUUGAGGUAUACUUGCUUAAAAUUGUUUUUGGAUGAGUUGAGAUGAGAAUUGAGUGGAGAUUUGGGAUUAGUCUUGAGUUAUAUGCUUGAGGACAAGCAUCAUCUUGGUGUGGGGGAAUUUGUUAGAGUGCAAUUUAAGCACUAGUUUUGCAUUGUUUACUUCCCUUAAUAUCGAUGUUUUGCACUUAAUAAUAGUGAUUUACUUGUGUUUUACUUUUGUAGGUGCAAUUCUAUUGAUUGGUGAUAAAUUAAGCUACAAGAUGAUAUUUAAUGAUGAUUGUUCUCUUGGAGAAAUUAUGAGCGUCAGAAGAACUUUGUUGAUAAGGUGUGGGCGCGUGCUGUCAACUACGGACCUGCAGUUUUUAGUUUAACGUGUUUUGUAUUUUUGGUUAUUUUUGUAAUUACGAAUUUAAUAUUUCAGAUAUUAGUAUUUUAUUUUAAAUAGAACUCUAAAAGAGAAGAGAGAGAGAGUAUUUAAGGGAGGAAUCUAUUGUGAAAAAGGGGGAUUUUAGAUUGGAGAAAAAGAAAGAAACCCUAGAUCUAAAUUUUUCUCUUCUCUCUAUGAAGAACUAAACCUAUUUUUCUGGUUGAAGGUUAAUGAAGCUUUGAUUCAUCACUACUGUGAGAUCUUUCUUGUGCUUUAAUUGUUUUAUUACUUUUUGGGUAUUUGUUUAUUCUCUGAAUUAUUUUCAUGAUUAUGUUUGUUAAUGAGGUAAUUGGCCACUAUUUAAUUAUCAACUUAAUCUAUUGUCAAUUAAGGGAUUCAUCGUAUGAAGAUUUUAAUGUUUGUGACAAAUAACAUAGCAGUGAGUUGUGUUAUGAGAAUAAAUAAUCUAAUUUAAAUGAAUCAUCAUAUGUGUUGAUUAGGAUUUGGGUCUCUCUGGUUUUUCAUGUAUAAGAUAUCUAGAAGAUGAUAAUUUCACUCAAAAGAGUUUUAUUUAUUUCAUUAUUGAAAUUGUUUACAGAGGAAGGUUACAGAGAAUACAGAGGUAAUUGAAGGUUAGACAUAUGAUAUCUUUCCUUUCUUACAUGCUUUCAUUUAUAUAUCUCUCUAGAGAUAAGAUUAUCUCUUUUACAUAACACAUGUUCGAUCCUUGUGGUGGAAUCUCGAUUUCCUUUUGAUAAGGUGACCCCUUCUUCAUCAUUGAAGCCAGUAGUUGUCUUCUUUUCAUGUUGCCAGACAACCUUUAUCUUGUUCUGGUGAGCUUUUUCUUUUUUGGAAUCUCUCUUUUUGAAUUAUUGAUACUUUUUGGAUAACACCUUUUAUCUUUUUCAGUAGUCCCCGUCACAUGCCAAUUAUCAUAUCUUCAUCUAUAGACAUGUCUUCCCCACUAGAAUCUCCUUUUUUUUUUAAUCCUUCGUAGUAGUAGCCACAUGAUGACUGAUGCUUUAGCACCUUAUAUAUCUCGUGGUGUGUCAGCAAGGUGGAUUCCACGAGAUUUUCGAAUAUGCCCUUUUUCUUUUUUAAUAUGGUAUGUCUGGCUAAAAUAUUUUCUUUUCUACUCAUAGAAAAGAUUAUAUGCUCUUUUGUGGCUUCAUGGAGCCAUAUUUUCUCCUUGUUUAUCCUCUCAAGAGAUUCAUAGAGGACUUUCAUUUCUAUGGCCCUUUUGUUGGUGAGAGCUUUUGGCUCGAAUAAUUCAGGAUCAUAAUCAUUGUAGACUUGAUGUAAAUCAAUGGUUGGACUAACUUUUCUACUGCUAAUUCCAACUUGAAUCAAGUGCUGUGCUGGAUACCACUUGUUACCAUAGUAUUCAGGGCAAGCAGUGAGGAUCUUGACAAAAAUCACUUCUUUUGUUUUAGACAUGAUUUUGAGAUCAUUAAUAGCCUCUGCAACUUUUGUGGGAAGCUCUUUUAUUUCUCUGCAAUCAUCACUUACAUAAACAAGGUUAAGAAAACCAUAUUCAAACAUGUCUUUUAUUAGUUUUAGAUUAGCUCCUGGCACAACGUUUAUCAUUGGAUAUAACCCUAAAUGAUCUAGUAUAAUAGUCUGGCUAGGACGAAUCCCAUAGGCUAUUUUACCAAUUCUUUUAUAAUCAUAAGCGUAGUCGCUUCCUAUUGGUAUUUUAACCAUAGGGACAGAUUGUCUGCUUUUAUCAUAUUGGGGUCUUAGGCUUACUGAAGAUCCCUGAGAUUCUUUUUUCUUUGUACAUUGAUCUUUAAGAUCAUUGAUUGUGAGAUAUCUCUCUGAAUGUGUGACCAUUGAUCUUUAAAAUACCAAUAGGAAGAGUAGUCGCUUCCUAUUGGUAUUUUAACCAUAGGGACAGACUGUCCGCUUUUAUCAUAUUGGGGUCUUAGGCUUACUGAAGAUCCCUGAGAUUCGUCUUUCUUUGUACAUUGAUCUUUAAGAUCAUUGAUUGUGAGAUAUCUCUCUGGAUGUGUGACCUUUAAGCUCUGCGAAGAACUCGAGGCAUUUUGACCCUCAAUUUGAUCUUUAAAAUGGACAUUUUUUUAGCAUAUUGCUAAUAUAUUGUUAUGAAGUUUGGAGUUCUGGAUGAUCUUGCAAACUUUUGUUUGGGCAAAGUUUGCUCAAUUCUUCAUGGGCAUCAUCUAUCAUGGCAAGCCCAUCAUAAAUCAUACUAUUGCCUUUGAGAAGUUAUUCUUGACCUUCAGAGCACAUUAUUAUGCCCUUAAUUAUUUUGGAAAUGCUCUGCUCCAUUGUAUUCUUGGCAAAGAUUAGAUCCUUUAAUAUAUUCAAUUUCAAAAUCAUAUUCAGCAAAAAACUGCUGCCAUCUAAUUAAUGUUUUCUAUUGAGGAAGAUUAGGCAAUUUAUUGAAUAUAAAUCCUUUGACUUGAGUGUUAUCGGAUCUUACCUUAAAUUUCUUUGGUAACAAAAAGAAAGUAAAUUUAGCUAUUCCUUUUUUAAUAGCUAAUAAUUCAUUUUCAUUACUAUGAUAAUUCUUUUCUAUGGGUUUGAAGGUCCCGCUAGAAUAUCUACAAAUUUUUUCUUGAUAUGUUUUUAAGACUGCUCGCCAGUGAUUAUCUGAAGCAGUAGUUUCAAGAAUUAAAUUAUCACUAGAGGUAGGGAAUCCUAACCUUAAGUAAAAAGCCAAAAAAAUUGACUUAUUUUAUUAAGUCAAUUUUUGAAAAUAUAAAUAAUGCAAAAUAUAAGAAUAUCAUCUACAUGAUCUAUCUUAUUAUUUGAAAAUAUAAGAAUAUCAUCUACAUAAAUAAUGCAAAAUUCAUGAAAUUUUUUUAAGAUGCUAAAUAUCUUUUUAUUUAUUAUAGAAGUAAUUAAUGUAUCUUUAUGAGGUAAAAAGUAUCCAUCGAAUUUGGUAUAUUUAUUUAAUUCUUUGUAGUUAAUGACCAUAUGAGCUUUUCCUCGUUUAAUUUCAGCAUGAUUUCUAACUGAUUAGUAUUAAAAAUUGUUUAAUUAUCAAGCGAUAAUAUGUUAUUUUAUGCUUAUGUUAUAAUUUAUAUUUGUGUUUAUGUAAUAUAUUAUGAAUUAUGAAUUAUGUUUUAAAUAUAUUUAAUUUUGUGUAUUUUUAUGUGUUUAUUAGGAAAAUUAUUAAUUUCACGUACUUUGAGGCUCCAAACAGAUAAACGGAGGUCAAAUUUGGAUUCCGGAGGUCCGAAAACCUUAAGAUCAGUCAAGAUCGGCUUAAAAUUGGGCUUGUGUAAAAAAAGUUGACUUUUCCUGUUGACCGAGCACUGAUUGGAUGAUGAAAUGAGCUUACAAUAGAUAUGAGUGCAUGGGAUAACUGGCAAUCUUGACUAAAUCUCAACCGUUCAUGAUUCAAUGGCCAUGAUUGUGCCACGUGGCAAUGGUUGGUGAAGCAAGUUGGAGGAUCCGAAUCUUUGUAUUCGGGUCGACCCGAUCCACCCAUUAACCCGCCAAAUCUCAACCGUUCUUUGGGCAAAUCGGACGAGUCAAAUGAUGCCAUGUGUGAUGUUGACUUUUGAAGUUUGACCAGCCAUUGGAUCUUGAUCUAAGGGUUGUGAGGAGCACAUGCAUGAAGCCUAUGAUGGACCGCAAAGCACUGGAUUAUGAAUUUAUUUUUCUAUAAAUAGGGCCUCAUUUUUAUGUUUUAAUCAUCUCUCUACAACUCUCUUCUUCUCAAAUUCUCUCCAUCUCCUUGUAAUCUUGAUUUCCAUAUGUGUUUUUAAUAUUUUGUAUAAUUAUUUUCAUUAAUAAAAUUAGUUUUAUUUCCAAUUUUAGUUGUUUUUAUUUCUUUUAAUUAUAAGUAAUUCAAUUUUACUACUUCUUUUUAUUUUAAUUAUGCUUAACUAAAUAAUAUUAGUUAGGGGAAGGUGAAACUCUUAAGAAAUAAAUAUGAUUUAAUCAAAUUCUAUGUUUAAUUUUAUAAAUUAAAUUAUUUUCUAUUUAAUUUUAUACAUGUUUUAUAUUUUGAAAAUUUAAUUUAUUGUAGACAAACAAAUGAAUUUGGCACAAUAAAUUCUUAAGAUCUUAAUAUAAGGCAUGGUGAAAUGGUAUUUUGACUUAUUGUAGACAAAUUAAAUUUUGGCACAAUAAAUACUUAAUCCAUCAUAAAAUUAAAGGGAAAAUAAUAAUAAUUUGUAUAAUUAAUCUUUUGAGUAAUAAAUCUAAAACAAAUUGGCAAAAAGAAUUUAUUAAGUUUUAUUUAUUUCUAAGAGUGGAUCCAUAACCCUAACUAGUUCAAUUCCAUAGUUUCAUUUAAAUUAAGUUGUUUAUAUUCAAGUUUUAAUUUCAAUUUUUAGAUAAAAUAAAAUAAACUAAUUAAAUCUUUUCUCUGUGGAUCGACCUCGGACUCACCGAGUUAUAAUACAACAAGACACUCUUAUACUUGGGAGUUAAAAUUUACUUUUAAGUUGUGUCAAGUUUUUGGCGCCGUUGCCGGGGAAAAGUUUUUUAUUUGGUUUGUUUUUCCGUUUUUUAUUUUUCUCUUAUAUGUAAAACUUCGUUUGCCCCCUUUUCCUUUUCUUAAAUUCUCCUUAGUCCCCAUGUCUUUCAUAUUUCUCGUUUCACCCCAACAAUUUCCUUUUCUAGCCCAAUCUUCUGGUAAUUACGUUCGGACCCCAACAUCUUUCAACUGUUUCACUUUCAUCCCAAAUUACUAAUUCUAAACUUCUAAAAAUUACAUUUUGACCAUAAAAUUAAAAAUAAUUUGCAAUAGAAUCCCUAGACGAAAUUCCUCAACAUAAUCAAGACUUGGACAUAUUUGGACAUACUUUGGACAUAUUUGGACAUAUUUGGACUUAUUUUGGACCAAACUAACUUUAACUACUAACUCUAAUUACUAACUCUUAACUUACUAACUGCUAACUGCUAACUGCUAACUUUUAUUUAAUUUCAGUUAUUUAAUUUUCUGCAUUUAUUUUAUUUCGUAUUUAUUUAUUUGUUUUUGCUUUAUUGGUGGGUUUAACCACCAAACUAACUACUAACUCUUAACUUUUAUUUUCAGUUAUUUAAUUUUCAGUAUUUAUUUAAUUUUGUAUUUUUUAUUUUUUUUAAUUGGUGGGUUCAACCACCAUUUUUUUUUAUUUUGCAUUUAUUUAUUUAUUUAUUUUUUACUUUGUUGGUGGGUUCAACCAUCAAAAUUGUUAUUUAAUUUUCUUUUGUAUACUUAUAUUAUUUAUUUAUUUAUUUUUUUAUUUUAUUUUGUUAUCAAUUUGUGUAAAUAUUAUCUUUAUAACAUAACCAUUGCAUGAGACGUUGGUCUCGAUCUUCAAGUGGCAGGUUAAUUCGUAGAUCUCAAUCUCCACCACCAAUCAUGGAUGAGAAUGAAGGCGAAAACGUUUUGGGCGAACUUAAUCCUCAAAUUGAUCAGGGAGACAACCAAUCUCAACAUGGGCAUGAUCAGAAUCAACCAAGGACUCUGAGAGACUACAUGAAUCCAACCAGAACCGGAGCACCGUCGUGUAUAGUAUUUCCUCCAGAAGCAUCUCGAUUCAACUUUAAACCAGGUAUUAUCCAACUUUUACCAACAUUUCAUGGUUUAGAAUCUGAGAAUCCGUACUUGCAUCUAAGAGAUUUUGAGGAAGUUUGUAAUACAUACACGGACCAAAAUUGUAGCAUGAACAUAAUUAGAUUAAAGCUUUUUCCUUUUUCAUUAAAAGAUAAAGCUAAAACUUGGCUACAAAACCUUAGAUCUGGAUCAGUAAGAACUUGGAAUAACAUGCAAGAACAGUUUUUUGAAAAAAUUCUUUCCACCUCAUAGAACAAAUUCUUUUAAAAGGCAAAUCACUUCUUUCACUCAAAAAAAUGGAGAAACAUUAUACCAAUGUUGGGAUAGGUUUACAGAGUUGCUUAACAUAUGCCCACAUCAUGGUUUUGAAACUUGGCGAUUGGUCACUUAUUUCUACGAGGGCUUAAUACCCCAAAGUAGACAGGUUGUUGAAAUGAUGUGUAAUGGUGAAUUUAGGGAUAAAAAUCCUGAAGAUGCACUAGAUUACCUUGACCAAUUAGCUGAAAAUGCACAACAUUGGGAUACUGUUGGAACUUUUGAAUUGACAAAUAAGCAACAAUCAUCUCCAUCUAGUGGAGGAAUCCAUAACCUUAGGGAAGAUCAUGAUUUACAAGCAAAAUUUGCAUCCCUAGUUAGGAAAGUUGAAGCUUUGGAGCAUAAAAAGAGUGAUCAAGUAAAAUCUGUUCAAGAAAUUGCAUGUAACAUAUGUAAUUCGAAUGAUCAUUUCACUCAAGAGUGUCCCACUUUGCCUGCACUUAAAGAAUGUCUAAAUGAUCAAGCUAAUGUCAUUAACACUUUCAAUAAACCAAACCCAUAUUCACAGACUUAUAAUCCUGGUUGGAGAAAUCAUCCGAAUUUCAGUUGGAGGAAUAAUAAUAAUGCACAAUCUUCACAAGCACCACCUCCACAAAAUUUUCAAAAUCCUCAGCCUUAUGCACCAUAUGUUCCACCACCCUGGAAAAAUCUGGAAGACACAAUGCAUUCAUUCAUCAGAAAGCAAGAUGUUAUUAACAAUCAAAAUGCACAAAAUUUUUCUGAUUUGAAAGAUACUCUUGCUAAAAUUGCUUCUGCACUCACCAUUCAAGAAAAAGGAAAAUUUCCAGCCCAACCACAACCAAAUCCUAAAAUUCAACAAAAUCCACCCACAGACCAAGUCAAGUCAGUUAUAACUCUUCGUAGUGGUAAGGUUGUUGAUAGACCUAUGCCUGAACCUUAUGAAAAUGAUGAAAAUUCAAAGGGUAAGGAAGGACUAAAUGAACUUACACCUAGUGAAGAAAUAACUAGUGUUCCACCUGAACCACCAUUUCCGCAUGCAUUGAAUAAACCAAAGAAAUCAAACCACUCUUCUGAAAUUUAUGAAAUCUUUAAGCAAGUGAAAGUUAACAUUCCUCUAUUAGAUGCAAUCAAGCAGGUUCCUUUAUAUGCCAAAUUUUUAAAGGACUUGUGCACUGUUAAGAGGAAAUUGAAGGUAAGAAAGAGUGCUUUCAUGGCCGAACAGGUAAGUACAAUUCUGUCUACUAAUAAUAAGUUGAAAUAUAAAGAUCCUGGUUGUCCUACCAUUUCUUGUAUUAUUGGUAACCACAGAAUUGAGCAUGCUUUACUAGAUCUUGGUGCUAGUGUUAAUUUGCUUCCAUAUUCAGUUUAUCUUCAACUUAAUCUUGGUGAGUUAAAAUCAACUUCAACUACACUUUUGCUUGUCGAUAGAUCAGUUAAAGUACCAAAAGGAAUAGUGGAAGAUGUUUUAGUACAAGUUGAUAAAUUUAUUUAUCCUGUGGAUUUUAUUGUCUUGGAAACUGAACCUGUUGUGAAUAAUUACAAACCAAUUCCUGUAAUUUUAGGUCGACCAUUUUUAGCAACUGCUAAUGCUUUGAUUAAUUGUAGGAAUGGUUUAAUGAAUUUAUCCUUUGGGAAUAUGACUUUGGAAUUGAAUGUUUUCAACAUGUGCAGGCAACCUAAUGAAGAAAAUGAGAAUGAAGAUGAUACUGAUGAACAAAAGGAAUUGUUUGAAUCUUGUAUCGAGGAAAAUAUUCAAAAAGGGGAUUUUUCUGAACUUUCAAAUGUUUGUUUAGUUAAUUCAAUUGAGUCAAAUAAGCAACUUGAACUUGAUAUUUCUAAUAUAAAUUCGUUGCUUGAUUCUGUGCAGACUUCACAAAAUUAUGAUGACGAGCCAAAAUUUGAGGAGCUUGGAAGUAUUGAAAAGACAGAACAACAAGAAGCACCUAAAAUGGAAUUGAAACCUUUGCCUGAAGGAUUGAAAUAUGCUUUUCUUGGAGAAGAACAAACUUAUCCUGUUGUGAUUUCUUCUACUUUAACAAGCGACCAAGAAGGUAAGUUACUUACUGUUCUUAAAAAGCAUAAAAAUGCAAUAGGAUGGACUUUAAAUGACAUUAAAGGCAUUAAUCCCUUAAUCUGCACACAUAGAAUUAAUUUGGAAGAAAAUGCUAAAAUAUGUCAACAACCUCAAAGAAGAUUAAACCCACACAUGAAAGAGGUAGUCAAAACAGAAGUCCUUAAAUUACUUGAUGUGGGAAUUAUCUACCCUGUUUCUGAUAGUAAGUGGGUAAGUCCUACACAAGUAGUGCCUAAAAAAUCUGAAAUCACUGUUGUUAAAAAUGAAAAAGGUGAAUUAAUUCCAACACGAAUUACAUCUAGUUGACGCAUGUGCAUUGAUUAUAGAAAAUUAAAUGAAGCCACUAGAAAAGAUCAUUUUCCAUUACCAUUCCUUGACCAAAUCUUAGAAAGAGUAGCAGGACAUCCCUACUACUGUUUUUUAGAUGGAUAUUCAGGUUAUUAUCAAAUUCCUAUAGCACUUGAGGACCAAGAAAAGACCACAUUCACAUGUCCUUUUGGAACAUUUGCAUUUAAAAGAAUGCCAUUCGGGCUUUGUAAUGCUCCUGCAACAUUUCAAAGAUGUAUGUUAAGCAUUUUUUGUGAUAUGGUUGAACAUUGUUUAGAGGUCUUUAUGGAUGAUUUGACUGUGUUUGGGAAUUCUUUUGAUGAUUGCCUUGAUAAUUUGGAGAAAGUUUUAAAAAGAUGUGUUGAAAAAGAACUCGUGUUGAAUUGGGAAAAAUGUCACUACAUGGUUACUUCUGGAAUUGUUUUGGGUCAUGUUGUUUCUAUUAAAGGAAUUGAAGUUGACAAAGCAAAAAUCGAAGUCAUAUCUAAAUUGCCACAACCAAAAACAGUUAGAGAUGUGCGAUCCUUUUUAGGACAUGCAGGAUUUUAUAGGAGGUUUAUAAAAAACUUUAGUGCCAUAUCUAAACCACUUUGUAACCUCUUAUUAAAAGAUGCACCGUUUGAAUGGAAUGAUGAUUGCCAAAAAUCUUUUGAAAAAAUAAUUUGUCUUUUAACAUCUGCACCUAUUAUGCAAUCUCCUGAUUGGUCUUUGCCAUUUGAAUUAAUGUGUGAUGCAAGUGAUUUUGCUGUUGGUGCUGUUUUAGGACAAAGAAGGGAUGGUAAGCCUUUUGUGAUUUAUUAUGCGAGUAAGACUUUAGAUAGUGCUCAAAUGAAUUAUUCUACAACUGAAAAAGAAUUACUUGCUGUGGUAUUUGCAUUAAACAAAUUCCGUUCAUAUUUGCUUGGCUCCAAAUCUGUUGUGUUUACUGACCACGCUGCUGUGAGAUAUUUGAUGAGUAAACAGGAUGCCAAACCGAGGAUAAUUCGUUGGAUUUUGUUACUACAAGAAUUUGACCUUACCAUCAAAGAUAAAAAGGGUGCUGAAAAUGUUGUUGCGGAUCAUCUAUCAAGACUCACAUCCGAAUUCUGCAAUGAUAUAACACCCAUAAAUGAUUCUUUCCCUGAUGAAUUUUUAUUUUCUGUUACUUCAAUGCCAUGGUAUGCUAACAUUGUUAAUUUCCUUGUUACAGGUAAAAUGCCUUUGCAAUGGAAUGCUCAAGAGAAGAAGAAAUUUUUUGUUGAAGUAAAGAAAUUUUAUUGGGAUGACCCUUAUUUGUUCAAAUAUUGCCCAGAUCAAAUUUUUCGGCGAUGUAUUCCUCAUAAUGAGGUAAGUAGUGUCAUUAAUUUUUGUCAUUCUGAAGCAUGUGGUGGUCAUUUUUCUUCAAGAAAAACUAUUGCUAAAAUUUUACAGUGUGGAUUUUAUUGGCCUACCAUGUUUAAAGACACAUAUGAAUUCUGCAAAAGUUGUGAAAAAUGUCAAAAAUUGGGAUCAAUUACAAAAAGAAACAUGAUGCCCUUAAAUCCCAUACUUGAAAUUGAAAUAUUUGACUGUUGGGGAAUUGAUUUCAUGGGUCCAUUUCCAUCAUCUUUUGGAUUUGUGUAUAUAUUAGUUGCAGUUGAUUAUGUCUCAAAAUGGAUUGAAGCAAUUUCUUGUCGAAAUAAUGACAGUAAAACUGUGAUUAAAUUUUUAAGAGAAAACAUUUUAAGUCGAUUUGGAAUCCCUCGAGCCAUUAUCAGUGAUGGAGGUAAGCAUUUUUGUAAUAAGUCAUUUGAGUCUUUAAUGAAGAAAUAUGGAAUUACACAUAAAAUUGCUACCCCUUAUCAUCCUCAAACAAAUGGUCAAGUUGAAUUAGCAAAUAGGGAGAUAAAACAAAUUUUGGAAAAAACGGUUAACCCAAACCGAAAAGAUUGGUCUCUUAGACUUAAUGAUGCACUUUGGGCUUACCGCACUGCAUUUAAAACAUCAUUAGGAAUGUCACCCUAUCGGUUAAUUUAUGGUAAACCUUGUCAUUUACCUGUUGAACUUGAACAUAAAUCACUUUGGGCUAUUAAAGCUUUUAAUUCAAAUUUGGAUGAUGCUGGUAAUGUGCGAAAAUUGCAAUUGAAUGAACUUGAGGAAUUAAGGAAUGAUGCAUAUGAAAAUUCAAGAAUUAUUAAGGCAAGAACAAAAGAAGAUUAAACCCACACAUGAAAGAGGUAGUCAAAACAGAAGUCCUUAAAUUACUUGAUGUGGGAAUUAUCUACCCUAUUUCUGAUAGUAAGUGGGUAAGUCCUACACAAGUAGUGCCUAAAAAAUCUGAAAUCACUGUUGUUAAAAAUGAAAAAGGUGAAUUAAUUCCAACACGAAUUACAUCUAGUUGACGCAUGUGCAUUGAUUAUAGAAAAUUAAAUGAAGCCACUAGAAAAGAUCAUUUUCCAUUACCAUUCCUUGACCAAAUCUUAGAAAGAGUAGCAGGACAUCCCUACUACUGUUUUUUAGAUGGAUAUUCAGGUUAUUAUCAAAUUCCUAUAGCACUUGAGGACCAAGAAAAGACCACAUUCACAUGUCCUUUUGGAACAUUUGCAUUUAAAAGAAUGCCAUUCGGGCUUUGUAAUGCUCCUGCAACAUUUCAAAGAUGUAUGUUAAGCAUUUUUUGUGAUAUGGUUGAACAUUGUUUAGAGGUCUUUAUGGAUGAUUUGACUGUGUUUGGGAAUUCUUUUGAUGAUUGCCUUGAUAAUUUGGAGAAAGUUUUAAAAAGAUGUGUUGAAAAAGAACUCGUGUUGAAUUGGGAAAAAUGUCACUACAUGGUUACUUCUGGAAUUGUUUUGGGUCAUGUUGUUUCUAUUAAAGGAAUUGAAGUUGACAAAGCAAAAAUCGAAGUCAUAUCUAAAUUGCCACAACCAAAAACGGUUAGAGAUGUGCGAUCCUUUUUAGGACAUGCAGGAUUUUAUAGGAGGUUUAUAAAAAACUUUAGUGCCAUAUCUAAACCACUUUGUAACCUCUUAUUAAAAGAUGCACCGUUUGAAUGGAAUGAUGAUUGCCAAAAAUCUUUUGAAAAAAUAAUUUGUCUUUUAACAUCUGCACCUAUUAUGCAAUCUCCUGAUUGGUCUUUGCCAUUUGAAUUAAUGUGUGAUGCAAGUGAUUUUGCUGUUGGUGCUGUUUUAGGACAAAGAAGGGAUGGUAAGCCUUUUGUGAUUUAUUAUGCGAGUAAGACUUUAGAUAGUGCUCAAAUGAAUUAUUCUACAACUGAAAAAGAAUUACUUGCUGUGGUAUUUGCAUUAAACAAAUUCCGUUCAUAUUUGCUUGGCUCCAAAUCUGUUGUGUUUACUGACCACGCUGCUGUGAGAUAUUUGAUGAGUAAACAGGAUGCCAAACCGAGGAUAAUUCGUUGGAUUUUGUUACUACAAGAAUUUGACCUUACCAUCAAAGAUAAAAAGGGUGCUGAAAAUGUUGUUGCGGAUCAUCUAUCAAGACUCACAUCCGAAUUCUGCAAUGAUAUAACACCCAUAAAUGAUUCUUUCCCUGAUGAAUUUUUAUUUUCUGUUACUUCAAUGCCAUGGUAUGCUAACAUUGUUAAUUUCCUUGUUACAGGUAAAAUGCCUUUGCAAUGGAAUGCUCAAGAGAAGAAGAAAUUUUUUGUUGAAGUAAAGAAAUUUUAUUGGGAUGACCCUUAUUUGUUCAAAUAUUGCCCAGAUCAAAUUUUUCGGCGAUGUAUUCCUCAUAAUGAGGUAAGUAGUGUCAUUAAUUUUUGUCAUUCUGAAGCAUGUGGUGGUCAUUUUUCUUCAAGAAAAACUAUUGCUAAAAUUUUACAGUGUGGAUUUUAUUGGCCUACCAUGUUUAAAGACACAUAUGAAUUCUGCAAAAGUUGUGAAAAAUGUCAAAAAUUGGGAUCAAUUACAAAAAGAAACAUGAUGCCCUUAAAUCCCAUACUUGAAAUUGAAAUAUUUGACUGUUGGGGAAUUGAUUUCAUGGGUCCAUUUCCAUCAUCUUUUGGAUUUGUGUAUAUAUUAGUUGCAGUUGAUUAUGUCUCAAAAUGGAUUGAAGCAAUUUCUUGUCGAAAUAAUGACAGUAAAACUGUGAUUAAAUUUUUAAGAGAAAACAUUUUAAGUCGAUUUGGAAUCCCUCGAGCCAUUAUCAGUGAUGGAGGUAAGCAUUUUUGUAAUAAGUCAUUUGAGUCUUUAAUGAAGAAAUAUGGAAUUACACAUAAAAUUGCUACCCCUUAUCAUCCUCAAACAAAUGGUCAAGUUGAAUUAGCAAAUAGGGAGAUAAAACAAAUUUUGGAAAAAACGGUUAACCCAAACCGAAAAGAUUGGUCUCUUAGACUUAAUGAUGCACUUUGGGCUUACCGCACUGCAUUUAAAACAUCAUUAGGAAUGUCACCCUAUCGGUUAAUUUAUGGUAAACCUUGUCAUUUACCUGUUGAACUUGAACAUAAAUCACUUUGGGCUAUUAAAGCUUUUAAUUCAAAUUUGGAUGAUGCUGGUAAUGUGCGAAAAUUGCAAUUGAAUGAACUUGAGGAAUUAAGGAAUGAUGCAUAUGAAAAUUCAAGAAUUAUUAAGGCAAGAACAAAAGCAUUUCAUGAUAAAAGAAUUUUUCGAAAAACAUUUGAGAUUGGUCAAAAAGUGUUGCUUUAUAAUUCUCGUCUUCAUUUAUUUCCAGGAAAGUUAAAGUCAAAAUAGAGUGGCCCAUUUGUUGUAAAAAAUGUAUAUUCAUAUGGGGCCAUAGAAAUUGAGAAUCCAAAUAACGGUGUCACAUUUAAAGUUAAUGGUCAAAGAUUAAAACCAUAUCUGGAACAUCACCCACGUGACGAGGACACCGAAAUUAAUUUGGAUGACCCACCAGUUCUUGAUUAAGUCUUUAAUGAUUUUUUUUUUUUUUACUAUUAUUUUACCGUUUCAUUGUUUGAUUUUUUUUCUUUAGAUUGAUGCACUGUACAUAGUUUUUUUUUAACAUUGUUUUUCUUGUGUAAGCGUGUUUGUUUGACAGUUGUACAUUCUCUCAUCAAUUUUCAUUUUACAUCAUGAGCACCUCAAUGAGAAAAUACCUAUUCGCACAUCUUAAAAGAUUUCGGCGUAUAAAAUUUCACUUAAGAGGCCUAAUACAAAGCUGUAAAUCACAUCCACUUUGGGAUCUGCAACCACCAGAAUUCGUGUCCUAUGUUGAGGAUCUAGAAGGACAACUCAGAACAGUAGAGAGUGGCAUAUAUGAAUUUCAAAUAGAGCUUGAGGUUAACUCAAUGAGAGGACGAAUGUAAGUUCAUUUUCCUUUUAUAUUGUGUGCUUUUUUUUUGCUCGCUUUCACGCUUGAUUUGAUUUUGCAGAUUUGAUUUUGGUGUGUUUUGAUUUAUUUUCCCGUAUAAAUGGCGGAUAACGGUACUCCGUGACUUCUUAAGUCGGUAUCUUCAGUUUCCCACAAUAACUGAAACCCCAAAAUCAAACAUGGAAGAAAUACAACAUAAACUCCAUAAGCAUUUUCCCUCUCUCCCUCAGAAUGCCCUCAGGAAAAUUUACAAAGCUCGUUGUGAACGACUGCGUUUGUUAAUGAUCAAUGGCAUUCUUUCUGACAUUCGUUGGUUAAUUGAAGCAAAGGUCUGAUUAGCAGGUGAGUUUUCUAGUCAAUUUGUUUCUUACAUGCCUGGUUUUGGUAAAAGUACGUUUGCUAAGAAAAGGAGAGCUAAACGACUUGGCUCAAAAUGUCAUAACUGUGUAAGACUUGGUUGCAAACGACCGGAUUGUAAAUCUUUAGGAAUGGUUUCUGAUACUCGUGAAGAUAAAAUUAAAUUCGUUAAAGAUGGCAUGAGUAAAGAAUCGUUGGAUGAUAUCUUACGAUCUCUUGAGACGCAUCGAAGCGGAAUUGUGCAAUGUGAGAUUUACAAUUUGUGGAUACUAUUCCAAAAACAAAGUGCACAGUUAAGUCUUGGGAAUCUGACUCAAAAAGACCCUGUUUGCCAGUUUAUAAGAAAACUGGAUGGGAAGCCGAUCCUCGACCCAUAGAGGGCGUUCAAGCCGUUACUGGACGUAAAACCAGAGGAAGAUGUGAGCCACAAUCACAACUACUAGUAAAUAUCCUUUCACUUCACUGUUAUUUUACUUUACUGUUAUUUUAUCAUUUGAAUUAUUGCAUUUAGCGAUGUGAUUUUGUAUUUAUUUGGUUUCUUUUACUGUUUGCUUUUUCUAAUCAUUACUUUUUUUUUUACUAUUUGUUUUUGAAUUAUUGAGCCACGAGCUUUCCUCGUCAUUUGACAAAUAUGCCAACCCAUUUACAGCUGUUUCUCUUUAUUUAUGUCACCAAGAUCUUUAAAUAUGAGCUCGUUUUUCAAACACUCACAACUUGUUUUUGAAAAAUUAGUCCAAUGGCAGCAUCUUCAAGUAAACAAUUCAAAAAUAUUUGUGUGCUUUCUGGGUUUCACUAUGGAAAGUACAAAGAGUUCGUUCAGGUAGCUGUAGAUCUUGGUCGUGUCAUAGCAGAGAGGAAACUGCAUCUUGUAUAUGGAGGAGGUGAACGAGGGUUAUCAAGACUUGUCUCAGAAGCUGUUUUUACCAGAGGAAGCCAAGUACUCGGCAUUAUCCCAAAACCCAUGAAACCGCUAGUGUGCAUGUCUGGCCCACCAAUUGGAGAAGAAUUAGUGGUAUCAAGUAUGCAAGAGAGAAUAUCUGAAAUGAUGAAUCAUGCUGAUGCUUUUAUUUUCUUGCCAGGAGAUCUUGCAACUUUUGAGGCACUAAUUACAUUUGCAUCUUGGGCCCACUUGAACAUUCAUCAAAAGCCCAUCGGUUUGUUAAAUGUUAAUAAUUUUUAUGACGGCUUGCUAACUUUUAUUAAUCAUGCAAUAAAGAAUCAUUUUGUUCCACAUUCUGUAAAAAAACUCUUUAUCUCUGCUUCUACUGCUAAUGAGUUACUUGAUCUUUUACAAGCUUAUACACCAGAGCCAGAUCCACAGACUGUUGCACUGAAUUGGUCGACUAAUGAUGGUAACGGUAACAGUAGCAGUAAUAAGAAGUGCGAUUUAGAUUUAACUCUCCGUUUGUAAAUAUUUGCUGUUGUAGUGUUCAUGUGAUGUCUUCUACACUCUUUCUAUUUCCUUUUAAAACAUUGAGGACAAUGUCUUUUUCAGGUUGGGGGGAGGGAAUAGUUGAUAAUUGUGGAAUGUCUUAGUCCUGGUUAUGUGUUUACAAAAAAAAAAAAAAAAAAAACAAUAACAAAAUUUUUUUUUUCUGUAAAGACUAACUUAGGACAAAUUUGAGUCGAAGAUGGCAGGAUAUAGAGAAUGUAGUCUCUCUAGAAACGCAUCUUCUUAAUCUUAAGGGUGUUGUUAAAAAAAAAAAAAAAUUGACUUUUUCUUCAUCUUUGUUAUCUACUUUUAAGCUUCUGCAUCAAGUUAAGGUGAGAUCUCCUAUUCUUCUUCUUUUAUUAUUCUCUUUUAUUUUUAUUUAUUAUUAUUAUUAUUUUUUUGCAUAUCUGUAAAAUUAUAAAAUGUUAGGAUAAUGUUUAGAUUAGGUUGUGGGGUGGGGAUAAUUGACGUAUGUUUUAAAUAUGUAUGUUGUUUUUUUCUCUUUUCUCUUUUCUUUUCUUUUCUUUGCCAAAAAAAAAAAAAAAUUGUUUUUUGUCUAGGAUGGCCGUGUAAAGAGUCACGACUUUUGAGACGCAUCCUAAUAGUCUUGUUGUAUUAUAUUUUGAUUUUGAGAUUCAUGGUAAGUUGUUUUUGUUCCCUUUUCUUUGAAUUACUCAAAUUUGUGAACUCUCCACUUGGUUAUUAAGUUAUUUAAUUGUUUACUCAUUUAACAGGUAUUAUUGAAUCAUUCUUCACACACACAUUAUGACACAUACUAGUGGGUUGUAAGUUAAAAUUUUACAGCAUUUAGUUCUUUUGAUUUAUUAGGAAAAGUAUCUAAGGUAGUAGAAAGUGUAUAGUUCCAAAAAAAAAAAAAAAAGUAGAAAAAAAAUUGUUUUUAAUUUUUCUAUAUCUAGAACCCGAGUAAUUAAGUCCGUAGGGGUGUUUCAACACCUAGUGCCCUAAGGUCAACUGGUCUGGGAGUCACUGGCCUAAAGCUCACUACAUGGGUAAUAGAUAUAUUGUUUGUUUAUUAGAAACCCGAGUAAUUAAGUCCGUAGGGGUGCUUUAACACCUAGUGCCCUAAGGGCAACUGGUCUGGGAGUCACUGACCCAAAGCUCGCUACACGGGUUAGAAAUGUAAUAUAUAAAAAAAAAAUGUGUGAAUAAUCUAUUGCCUAAAGAUAUAAUUUCUAAUGAAUUUUAGAACGAAAAUGUUGUUUUUCUUUUAAUGAAGCCCCAUAAGUAUUGUGUUAAUUACUUGAGCACAAAAGAAGGUUUGAUGAUAUUCUGGAUAAUGAGUGAACAUCAAUGUGGUAAAGGAAUUUGGGAGAGUUCAUUUAUUUGGUAAUUUAGAGGAUAGAUGAACAACUAUUAACUUGCAUGUGAAUUUUAUAAAUCUUAAUAUAACGCUUUAAUUGCUAGAGGGCUAGCAAUAAGCUGGUUGGGGGGUGUGAUUAGUAUUAAAAAUUGUUUAAUUAUCAAGCGAUAAUAUGUUAUUUUAUGCUUAUGUUAUAAUUUAUAUUUGUGUUUAUGUAAUAUAUUAUGAAUUAUUAAUUAUGUUUUAAAUAUAUUUAAUUUUGUGUAUUUUUAUGUGUUUAUUAGGAAAAUUAUUAAUUUCACGUACUUCGAGGCUCCAAACAGAUAAACGGAGGUCAAAUUUGGAUUCCGGAGGUCCGAAAACCUUAAGAUCAGUCAAGAUCGGCUUAAAAUUGGGCUUGUGUAAAAAAAGUUGACUUUUCCUGUUGACCGAGCACUGAUUGGAUGAUGAAAUGAGCUUACAAUAGAUAUGAGUGCAUGGGAUAACUGGCAAUCUUGACUAAAUCUCAACCGUUCAUGAUUCAAUGGCCAUGAUUGUGCCACGUGGCAAUGGUUGGUGAAGCAAGUUGGAGGAUCCGAAUCUUUGUAUUCGGGUCGACCCGAUCCACCCAUUAACCCGCCAAAUCUCAACCGUUCUUUGGGCAAAUCGGACGAGUCAAAUGAUGCCAUGUGUGAUGUUGACUUUUGAAGUUUGACCAGCCAUUGGAUCUUGAUCUAAGGGUUGUGAGGAGCACAUGCAUGAAGCCUAUGAUGGACCGCAAAGCACUGGAUUAUGAAUUUAUUUUUCUAUAAAUAGGGCCUCAUUUUUAUGUUUUAAUCAUCUCUCUACAACUCUCUUCUUCUCAAAUUCUCUCCAUCUCCUUGUAAUCUUGAUUUCCAGGUGUGUUUUUAAUAUUUUGUAUAAUUAUUUUCAUUAAUAAAAUUAGUUUUAUUUCCAAUUUUAGUUGUUUUUAUUUCUUUUAAUUAUAAGUAAUUCAAUUUUACUACUUCUUUUUAUUUUAAUUAUGCUUAACUAAAUAAUAUUAGUUAGGGGAAGGUGAAACUCUUAAGAAAUAAAUAUGAUUUAAUCAAAUUCUAUGUUUAAUUUUAUAAAUUAAUUUAUUUUCUAUUUAAUUUUAUACAUGUUUUAUAUUUUGAAAAUUUGAUUUAUUGUAGACAAACAAAUGAAUUUGGCACAAUAAAUUCUUAAGAUCUUAAUAUAAGGCAUGGUGAAAUGGUAUUUUGACUUAUUGUAGACAAAUUAAAUUUUGGCACAAUAAAUACUUAAUCCAUCAUAAAAUUAAAGGGAAAAUAAUAAUAAUUUGUAUAAUUAAUCUUUUGAGUAAUAAAUCUAAAACAAAUUGGCAAAAAGAAUUUAUUAAGUUUUAUUUAUUUCUAAGAGUGGAUCCAUAACCCUAACUAGUUCAAUUCCAUAGUUUCAUUUAAAUUAAGUUGUUUAUAUUCAAGUUUUAAUUUCAAUUUUUAGAUAAAAUAAAAUAAACUAAUUAAAUCUUUUCUCUGUGGAUCGACCUCGGACUCACCGAGUUAUAAUACAACAAGACACUCUUAUACUUGGGAGUUAAAAUUUACUUUUAAGUUGUGUCACUAACUAUAAAGGCUGGGUUACUUUGAGGACUUUUAGAUUCUCCAAAAUUUUUAUCAAGUUUUUCUAUUUUUUUUUUCAUAAUCUGAUAUAAUUUGAUUGAUUUUUAUAUUGUAUUCACCACGCUGGCUGCUUCGAAAAUGUAAUUUUCGAGUUGUUUACCUAAUAAGAUUAUAAAUUCUUGGUGUGGUGAUGGAAUGAUUACAUGGUGUUGUAAGAGUAAUUCUUUCGUUAGUCAUUAUAUAAAUGAACUGACAAAGGAAAUUGACUUCUAAAAGUAUAUAUGCUCCUAUAUGAUUAUAAGACCAUAAUAUAUGGAUACUUAAAAUGUAAUCUUCGAUUUGGAUUAAAGUUUUUAUCCUACAUGUUCCUAAAAUGAUUUGUUCACCAUUUAUUCCUUGUCCUGUUAAGGGUUUAUAAUCUUUCGAAUAUGAUUUUGGAUAAAUCCUUAAAUUAGGUAAGCUAACUCCUGAACCAGUGUCUAUUAAAGCAUGAAACCAUUCUGGCUUAUGCUUAUAAUAUGGUUUAAUCACUUUUAUAUAAACUAUAAAAAGAUUAGACAUAUCUUGAUAUGGUUUGCUUAAUUCCUUCAACUGUUAAGCUUAUUUUUCUAUCUCCUAUAGAAUAAGGAGUAAAAUUCUCAAGAAAGUUCAUCCCUAAUAAUAAAGGACUUAUUUAUGUUUCAUAAUCUGGUUCUAUGAAAAAAGAAAAGAUGAAUUCUAUCCCUUUUAUUCUUAAUAGUAUUUCACUAUAUUGACUUAAUGUCUUUCUUUCUCCAUUAAAUCCUACAUAAGUAUGAGGCUCAAUUAAAAUUUUUCUUUCUAAAUAUUUAAUAAUUUUAGAAUCUACAUAAGAUUUUGCAGCUCCUGUAUCAAGGAUAGCAAAAGUCUCGUGCCAUGAUUUUCCAUUAUUAUAUUCAAUCUUAAUUUUUAGAUUUUGAUUAUCCAGUAUUGCUAAAUUUACUGGACUAUUUGUCCUUUCUCGAAAAUGAGCUCUUAUCAUGACUUGAAUUCCUCCGAUAUGAACAUAUCCAAUUUUAAGUCUAUCACUAGAUUUUAUCUCAUUUAUCUUAUCUUUUAUAUCAGUUUUUAAUAAUAAUGGUAUAUUUGUAUUUCCUCUAGCAUACCUAAUUUCAAUAGGUUCUUCUCUUACAGUAGCACUAAGAUACAUUAUAUUUUUUCUUUUAAUCAUGUUAGCAAUGCCUUGUGCUAACUUAUUAACCGAAGUCAUAGAUGAUUCCAAUCCUUUUUUAUUAUUCUUGAGAUAUUGCUUUUUAUCAAAGAUUAAUUCUCUAUUAAAAGAACCUUGUUCUUCUAACUCUUCAUCUUGAUAUAAAUCUUUAUUUUCUAAUUCUUCUAUACUCAUUCUGAAUCAGAUUCUAAAUCAGAACUUCUCAAAGUUUCAUUAGAAAGAUAAUAUAUGCUAUCAUUUUCACUAAUAUCUUUGCUAUCGGUGAUUAAUUCUAAAUCAUUGAAAUCUUCAAAUAUUUUUAUAUUUGCUUUCUUCGUUUUAGGACAUUCAUUUGCAUAAUGUUCUUCUUCAUUACAUAACUAGCACUUGCAUUUUUUAGGUGCAUUGGUUUUGGAUCUUCUUUUAAAUUUAUUUUUCUUGUAGAAUUUCUUUUUAUAUUUAUUUUUCUUGUAAUAUUUCCUGUUGGCUUUAAAGAAUUUCUUCUUUUUGAAUUUUUUUUCUUGUGUUUAUAGAUUUUAUCUGAACAUCCAAAUCUUGGCGGAUCUUCUAAUUUAGAACAACAUAAUUCUCGAUUUUGCCUUUUCAUAAGUCUUCUAUCUCUUAUUUCAGAACACUAUUCAUUUAUUCUAUUUUGAGCAAAUCUAAUCCUAUUUCGUAAUGUAUAAGUUUCUGUAGUAUCUUUGUAUUCUUUGUUAUAUUCCAACAUAAUCCUUCUACCCCAUGGGUCUGGUAUCUUUACAAAAUAUAGAUCAUGGUAAUAGCAUAUGUUAUCCUCAUCUUUAUCAAAUUCACAUUUAUAAUAUAAUUCUUCGAAGCUACAUGUAUAUUCUUCUAAAUAACAUAUAUUACAUAUUUCAAGCCUUGUUAGCUUCAUUAAAUUUUCUAUCUGUUUUCUUUUUAUUUCUUGUUGAAAAUCAGUUUCCCAAUCUUCUCCCAAGAAUUUUUUUCUUAUUUCAUUUUCGAAUCUAUUUAAAACCUGAUCAACACUUUCGUUUCGAUUAUUAUUUUCUCCAUACAAUAUUCUAUUUUUAUGAUUAUCAUUUAAUCCCAUAAACCAAUGAGAAACAAUUCCUAUAAACGAAAUUUUAAGGAAUUCUAUACUAUUAUCCCUAUCAAUUUUGUGAAAUGCAAAAGCCAUUUUCAUAGAUUUAACCCAAGCGGUAAUCGUUUUAUCUCUAUCUUUGAUACAGUCUAAACCUAACCAUACACCAUCAUGGUUGAUUGGUCUUUCUCUAUAUUCUCCUGGAGUUUUAUGAUCUUUUUUAGGUUUGUUAAUCCUAAAAUAUUGACCUUGUGCUCUUUCCUGAGUUGGUAUUUCUUCCCUAACAUAGGAAGCUCUAUUACUAGUUUCUCCUUGUUAAAAACCGUUUAACUUUGGUUCAUUCAUUUUUAGAUGUUCUAUUCUAUUUUCAAUAUCCUGCAAAUUAAUGACUAUAUCAUCUUCUUCUUCGGAUUCAGAUUCUUUAUCAGAUAUCUCUUGAUUAGGUAAUUCUAUGUUUUCACUUAGCAUUCUUAGACUUAUUAAUUUUUUGUCUUUGUUUAUUUUGUUAAAUAUCGGUUUAGAUGUUGUUAUCAUUUCUUUAUCUUUAAGUUCAUUAUAGUAAAUUAUGGUAUCUUGUAAAAUUUUAUUUUGUUUAUUGAUCUUCUGUACUUCAAUCCUUUUGUAAUUUUCCAUUUAUGCUUAUAGCGAAUUUAUUACCAAUUUUUUCAUCGAUUUUUUCAAUUUUUUGUAGUUGAUUUCAAUCUUGUUGAAUUUAUUUUCAAUUGAACUUUUGUUCACAAUAUUAAAGAUUUCUUGUUUUAAUCUAUCUUGAUCUUCAAUAUUAAAGUCUUUUAUUAAUAGCUUAACAAAAUCAAAUUCUUCACUCAUUCGCUAUCCUAUCAUUUUGACUUGUCUUAUAUUUUCGGCAUCAAAGCUUUUAAUCUCAAGUAUCUUAUUUACACUUUCUAUAUCAUCUAUGGUUAAAUUAGGGUUUCCUAAUUUAUUUAAUAAAUAUAAUGAGAUCCAAUUUAAUUGAUUAUUUCCCCACAUAUCAGAAUCAUUUACUAAAUCAAAUGGUUGAAAUCUUCCAUAAGUAAAUCCUCUAUGCCUAUAGCUAGAAGGUGGUAAUAUGUUGGUUUCAAUAUUUCUAUAUACUUCUCUCCUGAUCCUAAAGAGAAGAAUAGGAUCAAUAUUUAAAUUUCUAAUUUUUAUUAUGAUGAGUUCUCCAAUUUUAAAUUCAUGAACUCUAACUAAAUAAAAUUGUAUUAAUUGUUUAUCAUCCAAUAUAUUAACUUCUGAAUAAUAAUAUUGUUUAUGUUUUGUUAUAUUAUCUUUAACUCCACACUUGUUUAAAAUUCAACACACAGAUGUGCCUCUUUCUUACUAUACUGGAAUCCUCGGUAAACUUUUUGUUUGCGCAAUUUAUGUGAGCAAAUUGUGUCUUCUUUUUCAUAUGUAAAUGUUUUUGAUAUCUUGAUGUGAAGGUAGAAAAUUGCAUGUUUUGAGUUUUUGCAUAUUUGAUGGAAACACAGAACUGUACCUGAAUCUUUCAGAACCCCCUUUUCUUUGAAGUUUGAACACUUUUCUUGAAUGUAUCAACUUUAUUUAUGGGAUAUGUUGCCAAAUUGGCAAAUCUAUUCGUUAUAAAACUUUCCUUUGACAGUUUAAUCUAAGCAGAUGUUAAUUAUGCAAAUAGAGUGUGCCUAAGAUUAGUUUCAUAGAUUUGUCUCCUUCUGUACAGUAAAAACUUUGAGCAUUUUCGCCAUAUUCUGAUCAAUACACUCCAACUAGUUAGUUCUUGAGGCGUUUUAUGGUUUCGUGGAGUGAGGCAAGAUGUAUACGUUUGCAAAUUGGCAAUGUCUUUUGCUUGAUGGGUUGAGAGUUGUGAGUGUCAACAGGAAACAAGACCUCUGUUUUAUGAACUCCAAAAAGUUAUUCUGUUAAAAAGAUCGAGACAGAGGCCAUACUAUAUUUAUUAUUGCUAUAAAAGUGUGAAAAAAUAUUCUUUGUUUAAUAUUCUAAACGAUUGAGCCAUUUAGUUAUGAUACUCUGCUGUAUUGGGGCUAAUAAUCUAAGUCGGUUCAAAGUGGUAAAUUUAUAAAUUGAUAGGUAUGCCUGGUAUGACCGCUUACGUUGGAUUUUAUGAGGUCUGCUCUCCUAAGCAAGGAGAGUGUGUCUUCAUAUCCGCAGCAUCUGGUGCAGUUGGACAGCUUGUGGGGCAGUUUGCAAAGUUAUUGGAUUGCUAUGUCGUCGGAAGUGCUGGAAGCAAAGACAAGGUAUGUAAUCUGUGUGAAGUACUUGAUUGUUUCCAUGUUACUUUCAAACAUUUAAAUUAAAAAGGAAAUUUUCAUAAUCUUGCCUUUUCUAUGAUUUUCAAAACCAAGGUUGAUCUACUGAAGAACAAGUUUGGGUUCGACGAGGCAUUUAACUAUAAAGAAGAAGCUGAUUUGAAUGCAGCAUUGAAAAGGUUAGCAUCAAUAAAUGCCUUAGCUUGAUGCAGCUUGAUGAAGUAUGAUACACAUUUCUGACCAAUAUACUGCGUUCCCUGAUCUCUUACUUGAAAUAUCUUGGUUUGAGAAUCUCAUGCCAAUGCCUUUAACAUUUUGGCAGGUACUUUCCUGAAGGAAUUGAUAUAUAUUUUGAAAACGUUGGUGGAAAAUUGCUUGACGCAGUGCUACCCAACAUGAAAAUCCGUGGUCGAAUUGAUGCAUGCGGUAUGAUCUCACAGUACAAUCUUGACAAGCCUGAAGGUGUGCACAACUUGAUGUAUCUUGUUUCGAAACGGCUUCGAAUGGAAGGAUUCAUUGUUCUCGAUCACUAUCACCUCUAUCCAAAGUUUCUGGAAAUGAUCAUUCCUCACAUCAAAGAAGGGAAGCUUGUAUACGUCGAAGACAUGGCUGAAGGUCUUGAGAGUGCUCCGGCAGCUCUCAUCGGUCUAUUCUCUGGCCAGAAUAUUGGGAAACAAGUGGUUGCUGUUGCUCCUUAAUGAAGAACAAGUUAGUGUUGUCUGUCCUUUUACCCUUUGACACAAAACUUCAAUGUUAAAGAGAGAAUGCUGUUCAUAUAUACUGCUUUAUAAAAUAAUCAAGUGAGUGCAAGUUUCAUGAUAUUUGCUGAAUAAAAUAUUGGAAAUUAAGCAGCUAGCCUAGCUCCUUCUUGUAGUUGCAGUUUGAAUGAUGCUGCUGCACAACUGCUGCCGAAAAAAUCCUUAAUAGAUGAUUAGCAAGGUUUCAAAAAUAAAAAUAAAUGUUUGUGCAAUGUGUCGAAUAUGACAGCCACAAAGAAAGAGCACACAAAUUGAUUGGUUUUAUGUCUUCUCUAGGAGAAAGCUACAAUACAAGAAAUUGUACUGAUGGAGCCAUGGACCAAAUUUCUUAUUUAAACUUUUAAUUUUUUUAUUAAAUUACUUAUGUUAUUAUGGUUUAUAAUUUUAGAAAUUCUUUAGAAAUUAAUACAGAACUAGUAGCAAGUUGAGAAAUCUAUUGAAUGGUCAAGAUAUGAUCAUGUUUAUUGAAUUAAAUUGACAAUCAUCAUUUUGAUAAAUUAUUGUCAGGAUGUUUGAUUCAUGACACGUGUAAGCAACUAAAUGUGCUAAAAAAAAGUUAAUGAGUUGGGCGUGUUUGAGUUAAUGAGUUGGGCUUGUUUGAUAUUCAUUUGUUGUAAUUCUUUUAAUAAUUAUUGGGGAAAAAAAGUUAUAAUAAAAAAAAUUAUAAUUAUAAAAUAAAAAUUAAUAAUAUAUAAUAAAUAAGAUUUUAAAUAAUAAUUUUAAUAAAAUAAUAAAUAUAUUAUAAAUUUUUUAUGAUUAAUUUUUAAAUUACAACAAUAAAUAUUUAACAAACACCUUAAUACCACAACUAACACCACAACUUUUGAAUUAUGAUAGUACAAUCUAAAUGCCACAGGCCUUAAAAAAUAAAAUUACAGUCAAGUUUUAAAACUGUUAAUGAUAUUCACAAAGACUCUGGAACAAUAUUACAGAAGGUGCUCGUCGUGUAAGCAACACAUGGGACCCAACCAAUAAAUGUUUCUGAUCCUCAACUUUCCUCAUCACUGUCCCUGGAAACAAUUCUGAUUUUCUUGUCUGAUUAAACAACUGAGAAACAAUGGCGGCCGACCAAGAAGCUGGGAGCAAUAAGCGGGUGAUUCUAAGCAACUAUGUGACAGGUUUUCCAAAAGAAUCAGACAUGAAGAUAACAAGUUGAUCAAUAAAGCUGAAGGUAGCAGAGGGUGUUUGGGAGAAAUACGUCGACGAGACCAGGCAUGGUGAGCAGAUAUCUGAUGGCAGAGUUCUGCGAACCGGUGUGUUCCGUAAAAGCCUGGUGCGCGGGGGAACAGGAGCAGAAGUAUCCUGCUCGUCCACGAGCACGUCAUCCGCGAGGCCAAUUUCCUGUAAGAGGCAUAAGGUCAUUCCGGCUAGAGGUCGAGAGGCGAGGAGACCCGGUCGACGGCAGUUGGCAAGACAUGCUCCCCAGCCCGAGAAUCUAGGCACGACAGCCACGCUUUCCCCAGAACCGUGGCGUAACACGCAAGAUCUCACAGAACCACGACAGCCACGCUUUCCCCAGAACCGUGGCGUAACACGCAAGAUCUCACAGAACCACGACAGCCACGCUUUCCCCAGAACCGUGGCGUAACACGCAAGAUCCCACGUUUGCCCAUAACGCAGCAGUCAGAGUCCCAUACCGUCUCGAAAAAAGCGGAAAACUGGGAUUCAGGGGAAGCCUAUAAAAAGGUAGCCAACGAAGGUAAAAGGGUUAGCAUUUUUGAGAUUAGAAAAGAAAUGAAAAAAGAAGAGAAAACCACGAAAAAGCCAUAAGAUAUGUGGCAAGCGUUCCCCGAACCUUCAUAUCUGACUUGAGCGUCGGAGGGUUUGCGCCGGGAAAACAACCGGCGUACUCUGACUUGUCUGUGUGCGCAGGAACCUCUGGAGAAGAAGCCUCACGUGGAGACCUCCUGGUCGUGAAGAAGUUGAUCGGGCAGAGAUCCUGGUCGUAGAACGAGGAGAACCGGAAUCCCGCAUCAACAUUUUGGCGCCGUCUGUGGGGACCGGAGCAAAAAGCUUCUGUUGAUAGCAAGAAGAGGGGUGAAGCAAGUGAAAAACAAUGGAGACAGGAGGAAGUAGUGCACAAGGGGGUGAUAGGAAGCUUAACGAUUCCGUGACGCUGAGGGAGAUAGUCAGUGAAGCACGGGAAAAAGUCAUGUUCGACCGGAUGGAACGGAUGGAAAAGCAGAUGGAGACCUUGACAACCAUCCUGCAUGAGCUGCGGAGCGAGCGAAGUAUAAUCCAAGAGGGAAGGGUGAGAGGCGGUGGAGUGGCACCAGGUCCCGAUAGUGCGGGGAGAAGUCAAACCACCGGGAGAUUUGGUGGUGAGAGAGGUAACGUACCUCUGCGGGGAGAAUUUCAUAGAGAAAGAGAGCAGUCCCCGGCAAGACAGACUGGCGACGAGGACGACGGGGUGGUGAAUGCAGAGGAAACAGAGUUGAGGCAACACUUGCAUGAUGUAGAGCAAGAGCGGGAUCAAGUUGCAGCACGUGACCCUGGUUGUGCAGUGCAGCUGGAGGAGGAAGUGCGCAGACUAGCACAGAUAAUCGACGACAUGCAAGGAAGGAACAGAGCCCCUGGUUGGAGGAUAAUGCUGGACGGAGAAUCACCGCUCGCAGCAGAGAUCAUGAGGGCAGUUAUUCCGAGAGAUUUCCGCCUCCCAGACCUCAGAUACUCGGGAAGAACUGAUCCGUUGGUGCACAUAGAGCGCUUCAACGACAUAACUGGGGUACAAGGAUUAUCUCAAUCCCAAAGGUGCAGAGUGUUCCCACUAUCCCUUGAGGGACGUGCACGAGAAUGGUACAGGAAACUUCCUCGGGGCAGCAUUAAAACCUUCGAGCAGAUGUGCCAGGAAUUCGCGGAGCAGUUUAGUGGGGCAAUGGCGCCGGAAGAUGACAUGAUGGAGCUGAAAAGCAUGAAACAGGGGGAGCAAGAAACCCUUCGGGAAUUCAUCAAGAGGUUUCAUCGGGCUGUCCUUGACUUGGGAGCCUUCAACCACCCUCAGGCGUUAAGGGGAUUGAAAGAAGGGGUGAAGAUAGGAAGGCUGUGGUACAAUUUGAGAAGCCCAGCUAUUCAAACGUAUGCAGCCGCAUACGAACAGGCUAAGAGAGACAUCGAGAUUGAAGAGGAGAAGGCUGCACGGAUUAAGACAGACCAGUUAGAAGGGUUGGGGAGGAAAGAGAAGAAAGCAUUACCGGGGAAUGGGCCGAUCAGGAGGAGGGACCACCAGGCCUCCGGUAGUGGAGCAGGAGGUCGGGUAGCCGCUUACCAGCCUCAUCAAAGGCCACCACAGUAUCAGCGCAGCAGGGCGCAACCUCCUCGUUCCCCAGCUAGGGAGCCUUGGAGAAGGCAUGAGUCGGCAUCUGGUGGUCUCCAACAACACCCCCACGGUAUCAGAGCGAGCAGACCAGAAGUACUUCCACCGCCCCCAACUCAGAGCGGGGCAAACAGAGAAAGAGCAGUGCACCUGAUCGACCAGAACCCGGACUAUGGGCGGUACACUUCCUUGAAGAUGUCCCUGGAUGAGGUGUACGAGGCCAUAAAGGAUCGAGGGCUGCUGCACCUCCCUACACCAAUAACAAAGCUACCCAACAGGAGGGAUAGAGGACGUUAUUGUAAGUUCCAUGGCACCCAUGGCCAUACCACAGCAGAGUGUAGAGAUCUCAAGACCCAAGUCGAAGAUUUGGUGAGAAAUCGGUACCUGGACGAGUUUAUGGAUGGGACUUUCCCGAUGGGGGCCACAACAGGUGAAGGGGAGCAGAGUGGCGGAAACGUUAGGCGCGAGCAGCCCGCAGUAAGGGUGAUAGCUGGGGGCCCGACAUUGGCCGGAGAUUCCAACAGAUCGAGAAAAAAUUAUGCUAGGUACGCCAUGACCAGUAAAGAGGUACUCCUCAACACCCCAGCAGCCAAACGAGCAAGGGUCAGGCAAGUGCCAAUCAUGUGGACGGAUGAGGAUGAGGAAGGGAUUCUAUACCCCCACGAGGAUGCUUUAGUCAUCAAGGCUACUGUCGCUAGCAAGAAGUUUGACCGGAUACUGAUUGAUACAGGGAGCUCAGUUGAUGUGUUAUUUAAGUCAACCCUGGAAGAGAUGGGAAUAGCCGACCGGAAGUUGGAAUACACCAAUACCUCCUUGAAGGGGUUCGGAGGAGGGAAGCUGGUCCCUCUGGGCGUGGUCGAGCUGCCUAUCACAAUUGGGAGCUCUCCGACAGAAAGAACAAUGAUACUGGACUUUGUCGUAGUGGAUGAGGAAGGUCCUUACCAGAUGAUCCUAGGUCGGCCAUUUUUAAGGAUGAGCAAAGCGGUGUUGUCCAACCAUUAUCUGGCUCUGAAGUACCGGGUGAACGGGGUAGUAGGAGUGGUACGAGGAGACCAGAGGAUCGCAAGAAGCUGCUACUCCUCGGCAGCAAGGGAAGCAAUGCAGAUAACAUCCCUCGAUACCCGAGUGGAAAACAAGAAGGGCAGACAAGAACCUGUAGAGGAUCUGGAAACAGUAAGCCUGGGACCAGAGAACCCGGGAAAGACGAUCAGAAUCGGGUCGAGACUUAAGGGAGAGCAAAAGCAGGAGUUGGUGAAAUGCUUACAGGCUCAUGCUGAUGUGUUUGCUUGGACACAUGAAGACAUGCCAGGAAUUGACCCUGAGGUAGCAUGUCAUAAGCUGGCAAUAAAGAAAAGUGCUCGGGCAGUAAGGCAGAAGAGGAGGUGCUUCAACCAGGAGAGGUAUGAGGCUAUAAAUGGCGAGGUGGAGAAGCUCUUGAGAGCAGGGUUCAUUCGGGAAGUCAGUUACCCUGAGUGGAUAUCGAAUGUGGUGUUGGUAAAGAAGGCAAACGGCAAGUGGAGGAUGUGUGUGGAUUUCACAGACCUCAAUAAGGCGUGCCCAAAAGACAGCUUCCCUUUACCAAAGAUCGAUCAGCUAGUAGAUUCAACGGCUGGACAUGGUCUGCUUAGCUUCAUGGACGCGUUCUCGGGAUACAACCAGAUCCCCAUGUACGAGCAGGAUGAGGAGAGCACGGCUUUCAUCACUAACCAAGGUUUGUUCUGUUACAGGGUAAUGCCAUUCGGUCUCAAAAAUGCCGGGGCCACCUAUCAAAGGCUGGUGAACAAAGUCUUUAAGCCGUUGAUUGGGAAAACCAUGGAGGUGUACGUGGAUGACAUGAUCACCAAGUCCAAAAUCCCGGAGGAACAUGUCAGACACCUCGAGGAGACAUUCGAGCUUUUGAGGAAGUAUAAGAUGAAGCUCAACCCGGAGAAGUGUGCUUUUGGGGUCGAGUCAGGGAAAUUCCUUGGAUUCAUGGUGAGCCAUAGGGGGAUUGAAGCACAUCCCGAGAAAAUCCAGGCGAUUGUGCAAAUGACGUCUCCCCAUAACCUGAAGGAGAUGCAAAGCCUCACGGGGAGGUUGGCGGCGUUGAGCAGAUUCAUAUCCAAGGCUACAGAUAAGUGUAAGCCAUUCUUUCAAGUGAUGAGGAGGGGAAAGAAAACAGAAUGGACCUCAGAAUGCGAGGAAGCCUUCCGGAACUUGAAGCAAUACUUGCAGCAAGCUCCGCUGCUGUCCACACCGAGGGAUGGGGACAAGUUAUAUCUGUAUUUGGCGGUAUCGGAUCGGGCCGUCAGUUCUGUUCUGGUGAGAGAGGAAGAAGGAGUUCAGUAUCCGAUAUAUUACACCAGCAAGGCCCUGCUCGACGCUGAGACCAGAUACCCACCGUUGGAGAAAUGGGCACUUGCCCUUGUGGUUGCUGCUCGGAAGUUGAGGCCAUAUUUUCAAGCAUUCCCGGUCUUGGUAAUAACAAACCAGCCAUUGCGUCAAACUCUGCACAAGCCAGAUGCCUCUGGUCGGCUCGUCAAGUGGGCUGUAGAGCUGAGCGAGUUCGACAUAGACUAUAAACCCCGCGCAGCGAUAAAAGCCCAGGCAAUGGCCGAUUUCGUAGCUGAAUUCACAGAGCCCGAAGUAUGCUUAGAUCAACAAGAUGCAGAUAUAGGCAAUGACGAAACUCAAGUAUGGCAGAUGUCUGUGGAUGGGUCAUCAGGGGAGCGGGGUUCAGGAGCAGGGAUUGUCUUGGAAGGCCCAGAGGGGGAGGAGAUCUCUUAUACUGUAAAAUUGGAAUUUGCAGCCACGAAUAACCAGGCAGAGUAUGAAGCCUUGAUAGCAGGUCUGGAAUUGGCUAAGGCCGUGAAAGCAGACAGAGUUAAGAUCAGAACUGAUUCCCAGCUGGUUGCGAAUCAUGUCAGUGAAAGAUUCCAACCAAGAGAGGAGAAGAUGGGGCAGUACCUGAAGAUAGUCAGGCAGAUGAUGGGGAAGUUCGAAGCAGUGGAGGUGAUACAAAUCCCCAGGGAGCAGAAUAGUCGAGCAGACAUUUUGGCUAGGAUGGCAGCAGUAGCCGACCCAAAAAUGCCAAAGUCGGUCCCUCUGGAGGUGAAGUCCAGCCCAAGUAUCGAUCAGAAUUUGGGGGUGUUGCAGAUAGAACAAAAAUGCUCGUGGAGGGACCCGAUAAUUUCAUACCUUAGAGACGGGGUAUUACCACCAGAUAAGAUGCGAGCUCGCAAGCUUAGAGCCCAGGCCUCGAGAUACACGAUGAUUGAUGGGGUACUGUAUCGGCGAGGAUAUACACUACCGUUCCUUCAGUGUUUGGAUGAGGACGACGCGGAUUACGUACUGAGAGAAGUACACGAAGGAAUUUGCGGAAAUCAUUCUGGCGGGAGGUCCCUGGCCCAUAAGGUUCUAAGGCAGGGAUAUUUCUGGCCGACAAUGCACCAGGAUGCGCAAGAGAAGACCAGGAGUUGUGUAAGCUGCCAGAGUUUUGUAAAUUUCUCUAACCAACCACCAGAGAAGCUCACCUCCAUGACCUCCCCCUGGCCAUUUGCUCAAUGGGGAAUUGAUCUGAUCGGCCCAUUGCCAAAGGCACGGGGAGCAGCAACAUAUGCAAUAGUUGCUAUAGAUUACUUCACGAAGUGGAUAGAGGUAAAAGCCCUUAGCAGGAUCACAGAGAAGAAAACAACAGACUUCGUAUGGAGAAACCUGGUCUGUCGAUACGGGAUCCCUUAUGCCUUGGUAACGGAUAAUGGCAGGCAGUUCGAUAAUCACAGCUUCAGGGAUUUCUGCCAGAACCUCGGGAUAGAGCUGAAGUAUUGCUCGCCUGCUCACCCUCAAUCGAAUGGACAAGUAGAAGCAGCCAACAAGACCAUCAAGAGGCUUUUGAAAACCAGGCUUGGAGCAAAAAAGGGUGCGUGGGUUGACGAGCUGGCAGGUGUGCUAUGGGCAUCCAGAACAACAAAACCGCAACUGGGGAGACACCGUUCGCUUUGGCUUUCGGACAUGAAGCGGUCGUGCCGGCUGAGAUAGGAACGACCACACACCGGACAAAUCAUUUCAAUGAGCAGGAGAACGACGAGCAGAUAUGUUUGAAUCUUGAUCUGCUAACGGAAAGGAGGGAGCAAGCAGCCGAGCGAUCAGUCAUUUACCAAUAGAGGGUUGCUCGGUAUUAUAACCAGAAGGUGAACAUACGGCAAUUCAGGGUCGGAGACUGGGUACUGAGAAGAGUGAAUCAGAGCACCAAAGAUUCGACUCAAGGAGUGCUGGGACCGAAUUGGGAAGGGCCAUAUAGAGUCAAGCAGAUAGCGGGACCCGGAGCUUACAGGCUGGUUCGCACGGACGGCCACGAGGUGAAACGCCCAUGGAACGCAGCACACCUCCGAAAAUACUUCCAGUAAGACUUGUUCACAUGUGAAAACUAUUUUUGCUCAUGUUCAUUACCGUUUAUCUUUCACGCUUAUUGUCCAAACAAUUUCAUGUAAGUCGAAUCCUGCCAUUAAUGGAACGUCGAGGAAUUUCUUUCACUUGAAACCGAGAAAAUUUCCCAAGGCAUGCAAAGGCUCACCAAGUCUCAAAGCCUGUCUUAUGGUGAGACAGAAGCCAAGCAUGCCAGGAUCUGCUCGGCCACGAGAAGGCAAGCAGAAUCCCAAUCCUCGAAGAAUCCAAGGCACGCAAAGGCUCACUAAGUCUCAAAGCCUGUCUUAUGGCGAGACAGAAGCCAAGCAUGCCAGGAUCUGCUCGGCCACGAGAAGGCAAGCAGAAUCCCAAUCCUCGAAGAAUCCAAGGCAUGCAAAGGCUCACCAAGUCUCAAAGCCUGUCUUAUGGCGAGACAGAAGCCAAGCAUGCCAGGAUCUGCUCGGCCACGAGAAGGCAAGCAGAAUCCCAAUCCUCGAAGAAUCCAAGGCACGCAAAGGCUCACCAAGUCUCAAAGCCUGUCUUAUGGCGAGACAGAAGCCAAGCAUGCCAGGAUCUGCUCGGCCACGAGAAGGCAAGCAGAAUCCCAAUCCUCGAAGAAUCCAAGGCAUGCAAAGGCUCACCAAGUCUCAAAGCCUGUCUUAUGGCGAGGCAGAAGCCAAGCAUGCCAGGAUCUGCUCGGCCACGAGAAGGCAAGCAGAAUCCCAAUCCUCGAAGAAUCCAAGGCAUGCAAAGGCUCGACAAAGUCUCAAAGCCUGUUUUAUGGCGAGACAGAAGCCAAGCAUGCCAGGAUCUGCUCGACCACUAGAAGGCGAGCAGACUCCAAAGCAUUCGAAGAAAUGCCCAAGGCAUGCAAAGGCUCGACAAAGUCUCAAAGCCUGUUUUAUGGCAAGGCAGAAGCCAAGCAUACCAGGAUCUGCUCGACCACGAGAAGGCGAGCAGACUCCAAAGCAUUCGAAGAAAUGCCCAAGGCAUGCAAAGGCUCGACAAAGUUUCAAAGCCUGUUUUAUGGCGAGACAGAAGCCAAGCAUGCCAGGAUCUGCUCGACCACGAGAAGGCGAGCAGACUCCAAAGCAUUCGAAGAAAUGCCCAAGGCAUGCAAAGGCUCGACAAAGUCUCAAAGCCUGUUUUAUGGCGAGACAGAAGCCAAGCAUGCCAGGAUCUGCUCGACCACUAGAAGGCGAGCAGACUCCAAAGCAUUCGAAGAAAUGCCCAAGGCAUGCAAAGGCUCGACAAAGUCUCAAAGCCUAUUUUAUGGCGAGGCAGAAGCCAAGCAUGCCAGGAUCUGCUCGACCACUAGAAGGCGAGCAGACUCCAAAGCAUUCGAAGAAAUGCCCAAGGCAUGCAAAGGCUCGACAAAGUCUCAAAGCCUGUUUUAUGGCGAGACAGAAGCCAAGCAUGCCAGGAUCUGCUCGACCACUAGAAGGCGAGCAGACUCCAAAGCAUUCGAAGAAAUGCCCAAGGCAUGCAAAGGCUCGACAAAGUCUCAAAGCCUGUUUUAUGGCGAGGCAGAAGCCAAGCAUGCCAGGAUCUGCUCGACCACUAGAAGGCGAGCAGACUCCAAAGCAUUCGAAGAAAUGCCUAAGGCAUGCAAAGACUCACCAAGUCUCAAAGCCUGUUUUAUGGCGAGACAGAAGCCAAGCGUGCUAGGAUCUGCUCGACCGCGCGAAGGUGAGUCGAAUCCCAGGCAUUGAAGAAUCUCCAAAGGCAUGUGGCAAAACCAUGAGCCAAGCCGGAACCUGCUCGUCUAGACAGAGACAAGCAGAUUCUCAACCGAAAAUUAAUUCAUAAUUACAACACAAGAAAGUAAUCAAAAACCAUUUUUAUUAAUUUGUUAAUAAUUAACAGAGGGGAUAAUCUUUAUGAACAUUGUUCAUUACAAUACAAGAAAUAUAUCAGGAAGAUGGUGGACCAGUAAGCCCGGCAGCAUCGGUUGGCUGGACCUCCUCAGGUGCAGGAGGGGUAUCACCAGUUGCGUCCGGGGGGGUGCUCGCCUCGCCAACAUCAGCAGGGACUGCAUGAGCAGGAGAGUCUUCCUCCUCAAUCACGAUCGGCUCUACCCCAUCGGCAUCUUCCUUGGCCGCCUCCUCGUCCAUAUGUUGAGCAACACCAGCUGCAAGGUCAUCCAUCUUCAGAUCAGGGUGUUGCUUCCCGAGGACGGCCAUGAUGCAACGAUAGGAAUGCCGAAGUCCCUGGUCGUACUGGUUGUCAGCCUCCCUCUCUAAGUUCUCGACCUGAGCUCGGUGGGAGUCGCGGAGAGAUUCGAGCUGAGCCUCAUACAUAGCCUUCUGCCUUUGCAGAUCCUCCUUGACCGUGGUAAGCUCCUCCUCGAGGGAAAUGGCUUUUGCUUGAGCAAGUGAUUCUUGCUCUAUUAGCUUCAGAUUCUCGAGAUUCAGGUCCUUCUUGCUCACGAGUUUAGUUAACUCAUUGAGGUAGGGGACCAGGUGUUCUGCUCGGCUGUCAGGUAAGCGAGAUCGAGGCCCGACAGGAGGAAAAGAGGAAGCAGGAUCUGUGGCUGCUCCACUAGCUUCCCCGACUUUUACAGGAGCAGGAGGUAAAAUCUUCAAGGGUGGGACCUGCUGCAUGAUGUUGGCCCGCUUUGCAGCAGGGGCAUCCUUACUCUGGUCCCUCUUCGUGGUUGGAGGUCGGGAACGUUUUCGGGUCAGAGCCCCAAUCACAGCGUCCUCCAUCCUAUGGCCAGGAAGUAUCAAGCGAGACUCGAGCAAGUUGUAUGUAGUUAGCAGUUCUCGGCUCGAGCAGGAAUUGGCUAGUACAGCCUCGACCCGUUUGAGCUGGUCAGGUUCAAGCGGGAAGUGGACACCCCAAGAAACUACAACACAAACAGACACUUGGUUAGAGACAAGCCAAUAAAGCAAGAACAAUUAUGGAUGCAAGACAUCUAGAGUGAGCAGGCAACCUGGGACCGUGAAACGGGGUGGGACGUGACAAUCCUUCCCGCCUAUUUGUGCAACUUGACCCCAAGGACCCCCAGCAAAAAAGAAUUUCCUCUUCCAAGCCCCACCACCACCGGUUGGAAGAUCGGUUAUGGGUUUCCGGCUCUUGGUGCUAGAUUGGAAGUAGUACCAGCCGGCAUCUUUGGGGCUGCUCUUUAGCUGGUACAAGUGCUUCACCUCAUCAACCGUGGGCUCGCUUUGGCAACAUUUGUCCCACAAUAUGAACAGACCAGAGAGCACUCUCCACCCAUUGGGAUUCAGCUGACCAGGAGCUAGAUUUAGCCCGUUAAGUAUCUGGGCAAAGUAGGGUUGCAAGGGACACCUCAGCCCGUACUUAAAGCUCUCUAGAAACAGGGUAACGUAUCCCCUAGGAGGCCGGCUGGGAGCAUCCUUCUUUCCUGGGACCUUGAGAGGUAUCUCACCAGGAAUGCUAUACCUAAGCCGGAGGUCAUUGAGCUCGUCAAACAAGGUCGUGCACGUCAUGUAAUCAAUGGCAUAAUCGCGCGACAAGGCUCUGCCUCCUACUGUACCCCGUUCCUCUGGUCGUGAUGUUCCAGAUGGAGACACCUCACCAGAGUCACCUUCCCCAUUCUCACUUAAGGUGUCCUCAGAGCCAGAAGGUCUCUCUUCACCAUUGCUUCCACUCGUGGAGGUUGUUUGGGGGGACAUCCUCCUAGCACUAGUCCCGACACUAAACCUAAUGGGUUCUAAGGGGAUCCCGGGGUCAAAAGCAGAAUCAGUGAGCAGACCAGGCAGGAAACUUAGUUCGUCGUCAUCAAUCUCAACGACUUUCUCCUUACCUUUCGACAUUCCCUAAGCCCUAACCACAACACCACCAACUACUACCCAAACAGAAGAGAAGAGAAAUUAUCUACAACUAUCCGAGACCAAGGAGAUAGAAGAAAUACCUGAAGUAAUGGUUCAGUCGGUGAAAGUCAGAGAUGGAGGCCUUUUAUGCCGGAACUUCUUUGCCGGAGAAACAGAGACGGAGACGGAGUGAAUGAUGAAUAUGCCGUUCGAGAGGAUUUGGUUUUCCUAAUGAGGACGGACUCUUGGGUUGCCAGCAUUUAACGGCGCCGAAUCCCGAGGGUCUCAUAACCGUCGGUUUGAAAUUCAAAUGGAGGGGGGGAUUUCUGCCACGUCACCUCGUCCGCAAUUAAAUGCGACAUGACUCUUGGCAGCCUUUUCCAAUCCCACGCGGGCGAGUACUAACGAGUUUCUACUGCUGGUCCACUACAUUACCCAACACCAGAAACUGGGGGACCGGUGUUUGGGAGAAAUACGUCGACGAGACCAGGCAUGGUGAGCAGAUAUCUGAUGGCAGAGUUCUGCGAACCGGUGUGUUCCGUAAAAGCCUGGUGCGCGGGGGAACAGGAGCAGAAGUAUCCUGCUCGUCCACGAGCACGUCAUCCGCGAGGCCAAUUUCCUGUAAGAGGCAUAAGGUCAUUCCGGCUAGAGGUCGAGAGGCGAGGAGACCCGGUCGACGGCAGUUGGCAAGACAUGCUCCCCAGCCCGAGAAUCUAGGCACGACAGCCACGCUUUCCCCAGAACCGUGGCGUAACACGCAAGAUCUCACAGAACCACGACAGCCACGCUUUCCCCAGAACCGUGGCGUAACACGCAAGAUCUCACAGAACCACGACAGCCACGCUUUCCCCAGAACCGUGGCGUAACACGCAAGAUUCCACAUUUGCCCAUAACGCAGCAGUCAGAGUCCCAUACCGUCUCGAAAAAAGUGGAAAACUGGGAUUCAGGGGAAGCCUAUAAAAAGGUAGCCAACGAAGGUAAAAGGGUUAGCAUUUUUGAGAUUAGAAAAGAAAUGAAAAAAGAAGAGAAAACCACGAAAAAGCCAUAAGAUCUGUGGCAAGCGUUCCCCGAACCUUCAUAUCUGACUUGAGCGUCGGAGGGUUUGCGCCGGGAAAACAACCGGCGUACUCUGACUUGUCUGUGUGCGCAGGAACCUCUGGAGAAGAAGCCUCACUUGGAGACCUCCUGGUCGUGAAGAAGUUGAUCGGGCAGAGAUCCUGGUCGUAGAACGAGGAGAACCGGAAUCCCGCAUCAACAGAGGGUUCAAAAGACACGGUGCUUUUGAAGAAUCUUUAUCUUUAUUGUGAUCCUUACAUGCGAGAGCGUAUGAGCAAGCUUGAUAGACCUUCUUUUGUUGAUUCAUUCCAUUCUGGUGAGGUUAGUUCAUCACGACCUCAACUUAGAUUUUGGGAUGGUUUACGAUUCACUCUCAGUUUAUGCAGAAAAACAAUCUAGUUUUAAUUUGGCAGGGUUUUUCCUUCUCUCUCCUUUUCUUCCUUUUCUUCAUUGGUUUCUUCCUCUUUUAUAGCCGCUAUCCCACGUUUUCGUUCAUCCUUCAUCCCCAUUUUUCGGGUAGUGGCAGCCCCUCAUGGGACUCCAACUGCUACAUUAUGGGUAAAUGUGGGACACCGUAUCUCCCUCAAUGGUUUUAGAAAAAGCGCAACUGUCGUGAUUUCGUGAGAUUGUGUUCCCGUUCUUUGGGGAAUGGAUAUCUGCUCGGUAUAUGUCUCUGGUCGGCCUAUAUUUAUAGAAGGCUCAUUAUCAGUAUUCUACUUAUACCAUUCAGCUGAGGUGAUCUACCUCGAAAUGAGAAUGAUAACAUGACUGACCUGAUGCUCUUAUUUACUUAACAGUAAAUUUUCUAUGACCCUACAGGUGACUAAUUAAUGAGAACUUGACAAUGACAAAAGAAAGUGUAUGAGCUUUGCAGGCUGGCAUGCCAAUAUUGACUGUGUGGCACCAUCCACCAUCUGCAAUUGAAUAUCAUUAUUGUUUAAUCAAUGUGGUGGAGUCCACUGGAACCACACCACAUGGUCAGUCUUAUCUCUAUUCCUCAAUUUUCAGUAUUCCAUACAUCAAACCAAUUUCAUGUUUGUUAGCAAUUAUAAUUUCAUUGUUGGUGACGAUUCUGAUUCCUUUUGUUGAGAAUCAAAUAAAACGGCAUUGAAUGAAGCUUUCAAAGACAGAAUCUGCACUUGUCAAAGGGGUAAUCUGCACUUGUCAAAGACAAGAUCCGCGCCGAACGGAUUGACACAUUUCCUUCCGUAUUCACAUAUGUAAUCUUUGAAAAAAUGUAGCCUCUGCAUCUAUAAAUAACUCUCAAUGUAUAAUGCUUUAUUUAAGAAAUGAAAACACGUUUCUUCAUGGUAUCAGAGCCAUGAAUACGCUCAAGUUUCUUCAAGUUCCGCUGCUCUGUUUGUAACAAAAAUAGAGGAAACCAAAUUCCUCCCACAACCAUUUUUCCCACCAUUUUCUUUCUUAAACCCAUUCCUACCAUUACAGAUAUCCAUGCCGAUCAAGAAACAAGCCACCCAUACGUAAAAAACUUGAGUUUACAAAUUUAUCAACAAUCCCAUCAAUUUUCUGAGAGUGUGUUCCUAAAAAACCAAGAACACCAUCAAAUUUCUCAGUUUUCAGUGAGGAAACUGUAAAAAUUUCGCAUUUAAACACAUUCCCACGCGCUCCCACGCGCCACCCGAAGCCACGGCCAGUCAACCACGCGCCUCUGUCAUCAUUCACGCGCUCUCACGCGCUCCAGAGGUUGAAGAAGACGCCAGCCGACAUGUCGUUCUUAUCUCAGAAGUUCAGCAGUCACAAAACGACGUGUCGUUUUUUGUUAUAUUAAAAUCGACAUGUCGUUUUGUAAAUUAGAGAUAAAACGACGUGAUGCUUAGUCUCCAGAAGUGCAGCAGGAUUAAAACGACAUGUCGUUUAUAUUCCACCAUAAUCGACAUGUCGGUUUGGCAAGCAGUGGCCAAACGACCUGGCGUUUUGUUACCUAAAAAGGUUAUUUUUUUUCUUCUUCCAAUCUAGAUGGAAAAAAAAAAAACAAACAAAAAAAAGAAAAAAAAGAAAAAAAAGAAAAAAAAGAGAAAAAAAAAAAAACAAAAAAAAAUGGAGAAAACUCCAACUGAAUCUAGUCCUGUUGUCAUUCAAUCUGUUCAAUCUGAUGGAGUAUUUAAUGCUGGAAUUAUCCUCACUGAGACAAACUACGAUGUUUGGUCUCAAAUAAUGGAGAUGCAUCUUGUAGAAAGAGAAAAACUCUCAUAUAUUCGUAGCAGCACAAAGCCAUUUGAGGAAUCUUCAAAGGAAUAUGAGAAAUGGUAUAGUGAGAACCAAAAAGUAAAAAGAUGGUUACUCAUAUCCAUGUCUCCGGAGAUCAUGAAGCGAUAUUUACGAAUUCCUACAGCCUACGAAAUCUGGGAUGCAUUAUCAAAAGCCUUCUAUGAUGGAAGCGAUGAAUUACAAGUUUUCACUCUAAACCAGAAGGCAUUCUCUACCAAGCAAAAUGGACAACCACUCUCUAAAUUCUAUGGAGAAUUGGUCGAAAUAUUUCGAGAACUUGAUCACCGAGAUAAAGUGGUCAUGAAGGAUCCAGAAGAUAUUGUAAUAUACAGAAGGUCUGUUGAAAGAUUGAGAGUGCACAUUUUUCUUGCUGGGCUAGAUGAAGAAUUUGACCAAGUUCGUGGAGAAAUUCUACGAAAAGACAUUAUCCCAGACUUAGAAGAAUGUUAUUCUUUGAUCCGAAGAGAAGAUAUACGGCAAAGCAAACUAAACAAGAAGGUCGACUCAGAAACGUUUGCAAUGAUAGCACGACAGCAGCCUCAAAGGAAGUUUGUUGACAAGUCAUCACUCCAUUGCACUCAUUGUAGAAAGAAGGGUCAUACGAAAGAACAAUGUUUUGAAAUCAUUGGAUAUCCUGACUGGUGGGAUACUCGAAAGAAGAACACCAAGCAUGGAUCAAAAACUGCAGUAGCUGAAUCCACAUCCACUACAGAUCUUAGAAAAGAAUCUUCAGUGCAAAUCGCAACCUCUGUCAGUCCAGGUAAGGCCCUUAAAACUCUUACACCUGUUAUUAAUAGUACAUGGAUAAUUGAUUCUGGGGCAACUGAUCAUAUGACUUUUGAUUCUCGACAAGUUUCUCAAUUGAAACCAUCUUCACAAAAAUAUAUUUCCACUGCAAAUGGAACCACAACCUCAGUUAUUGGGGAAUGAUCUUUACGACUCACAAAUGAAUUAAAUUUAGACGCUGUGUUAAUUGUUCCAUCUUUAGAUUAUAAUCUUUUAUCUGUGUCUCAAUUAACCACUUACUUAUCAUGUGUUGUAAUUUUUUGGCCUGAUCAUUGUGUGUUUAAGGACAUCCAAACGAAGCAAACGAUUGGUUAUGGUAUUAGACGAGGCAGCUUGUACUACUUGGAGAUGUCAUCAACAAACACUGGAAAGCUAAGCCCCGCACUAGUUGCAGAUAGUUCCAUAAAAAAAGGGAAAUCAGAAAUUUGGUUAUGGCAUAGACGUUUAGGGCAUGUGUCAUUUAGUUACUUAAAAAAAUUAUUUCCUAGUUUGUUUCUGAAAUUUGAUGUUUGUAACUUUAAAUGUGAUGUUUGUGAACUUUCAAAAAGCCAUCGAACUACUUUUCCAUUGUCCUUAAAUAAAAAUCCAGUUCCUUUUAUGGUAGUACAUUCUGAUGUAUGGGGGCCAUCUAAAGUUUCUACAAUUGGAGGUGCUCGUUGGUUUGUUACAUUUAUUGAUGAUUGUAGCAGAAUGACAUGGAUUUUUCUGAUGAAAUCGAAAGACGAAGUAAACUCUUUAUUUCAAAGAUUUCAUAAGAUGGUGACAACUCAAUUUCAGACACAAAUUCGAGUUCUACAUACUGAUAAUGGAGGUGAGUAUAUGAGCACAGCAAUUCAACAGUUUCUGAAAUCACAAGGAUCUGUCCAUCAAACCACUUGUGUGGGGACACCCCAACAAAAUGGCGUUGCUGAACGAAAGAACAGACAUUUACUAGAAGUUGUUCGAGCAUCACUAAUCCAAGCCCACAUGCCAUUAUCUUAUUGGGGAGAAGCAUUGACAUCCGCAGCAUACUUGAUCAAUCGAACACCUUCAAGCUCCCUUGGAUUCCAGACUCCUUUCCAAGUUCUGAAUGAUGCAAUUAUGUCACCAAAUGUGCCGAAUCUGCCCCCACAUGUGUUUGGCUGUGUUGCCUUCGUUCAUUUGCCGCAACAAGACAAAUUAUCUCCUCGAGCACUACGUUGUGUGUUUGUAGGGUAUGCCUUACAUCAAAAGGGAUACCGAUGCUAUCAUCCACCAUCAAGAAAAAUAUACAUCACCAUGGAUGUCGUUUUUCAUGAAGAUAUCAUGUACUACUUGUCAGAGUCUGAAUUUCAGGGGGAGUAUAAUGAAGAGGAAAUUCAUACUCUUACAUAUCUUCCACCUGAAGAAAGUCAAUCUUCCAUUGAGAUAGUAAACCUUCAAGAUACUGGAAAAGCAAAUGGUGAUGAUUCGCAAGCUGAGAUAUGUGAAAACACAUUUGGGGAGCACAAUACUCAGACACAACUGCAAUCGAGAAUGAGUCACAUGAAGAAAUACCUAACCAAUCGUCUGCAGAGGAUGUUCCUACCACAAGUCCAAUCAGAAGAAUUCUUCCCCAGCGUCAAAAUAGAGGUAUCCCUAAACCCACAUAUGAGCCUGACUUCUCUAGUAGAGUCAAAUACCCUAUGAGUCAUUUUGUGUCUAACCAUCGCUUGUCAGAAUCAAAUCAGUCAUUUGUGAAUCAAUUAUCUGCUGUAUCUAUUCCUAACAGUGUGCAGGAAGCUUUAAAAGAUCCAAAGUGGAAAGCGGCUAUGAAUGAUGAAAUGAGAUCUCUUCAGAAAAAUCAAACAUGGGAACUAGUUGAUCUUCCACCAGGAAAGAAACCAAUGGGUUGUCGAUGGAUCUACACUAUAAAAUACAAAGCAGAUGGCUCUAUUGAACGAUACAAAGCAAGACUCGUAGCUAAGGGUUACACCCAAACCUACGGGAUUGAUUAUACUGAUACGUUUGCACCGGUAGCAAAAAUUAAUACUAUUCGUAUCUUAUUAUCAUUAGCAGUCAACUUGGAUUGGCCAGUGCAACAGUUCGAUGUAAAGAAUGCUUUCCUCCAUGGAGACCUGUCUGAAGAAAUUUAUAUGGAUCUGCCACCAGGAUGCAGUGGACCAGAACGACUCAAUCAGAAAGUAUGCAAAUUGAAGAAAUCAUUGUAUGGGUUGAAGCAAUCCCCAAGAGCAUGGUUCGGGAAAUUCACGAAGGCUAUGGUUCGUUUUGGGUAUAACCAAAGCAAUUCAGAUCAUACCUUAUUCAUUAAAAAACGACAAGGUAAAAUCACUGCCCUUAUUGUCUAUGUGGAUGAUAUGGUAGUUACAGGCAACGACGAGGAAGAAACAAAGGCUCUUCAGAAGUACUUGUCAAGAGAGUUUGAGAUGAAGGAUUUAGGUGCCUUAAAAUACUUUCUUGGAAUUGAGGUUUCUCGAUCUAAGGGAGGAAUCUUUCUGUCUCAAAGGAAAUAUGCCUUAGAUCUAUUGCACGAAACGGGAAUGACAGCUUGUCAGCCUAUUGACACCCCAAUAGAAGAAGGACUGAAGUUUUGUAUUACUUCAGACCAAGUUCCAGUAGACAAAGGAAGAUAUCAAAGGCUGAUUGGAAGAUUGAUGUACUUGUCCCACACAAGGCCAGAUCUUGCUUAUGCAUUGAGUGUUGUAAGCCAGUUUAUGCAUAAUCUCGGAGAACAACACAUGAAAGCAGUAAUGCGGAUCCUGAGGUACCUGAAGACAAAUCUAGGAAAAGGAAUCUUAUUUUCCAAAAAUGAAGAUUACAGCAACAUAGAAGUUUAUACUGAUGCAGAUUGGGCCGGGUCAGUUAGUGAUAGACGCUCUACUUCAGGAUACUUUACCUUUGUGGGAGGAAACCUUGUCACAUGGAGAAGCAAGAAACAACAUGUCGUUGCCCGUUCGAGCGCUGAAGCAGAAUAUCGAGGCAUGGCCCUUGGGAUAUGUGAAGGGCUAUGGAUAAGUUUUAUCUUAAACGAUUUGGGCUAUCCAUCACAACAACCAAUACAACUAUACUGUGACAACAAAGCUGCACGAGAUAUUGCUCAUAACCCAGUUCAACACGAUCGAACAAAACAUGUGGAGGUAGAUAGAUUUUUCAUCAAGGAGAAAUUAGAUGAAAAAAUCUUAGAAUUGCCGAAAAUUCGAUCAGAAGAUCAACUUGCAGAUAUUUUAACGAAGGCCAUUUCAAGCAGGGCAUUUACAAAAUUCCUAGACAAGUUGGGUAUGCAAGACAUCUAUGCACCAGCUUGAGGGGGAGUGUUGAGAAUCAAAUAAAACGGCAUUGAAUGAAGCUUUCAAAGACAGAAUCUGCACUUGUCAAAGGGGUAAUCUGCACUUGUCAAAGACAAGAUCCGCGCCGAACGGAUUGACACAUUUCCUUCCGUAUUCACAUAUGUAAUCUUUGAAAAAAUGUAGCUUCUGCAUCUAUAAAUAACUCUCAAUGUAUAAUGCUUUAUUUAAGAAAUGAAAACACGUUUCUUCACCUUUCUUUCUCACAAAACGGAACCAUGGUUGCUAUUGGAGAGAUCUUACUCAACGCCUUCUUUCAGGUGUUGUUUGAUAGGUUGGCUUCUUGUAAUUUUCUCAGCUUUGUGCGUCAACUCCAAGGCGGGGUUGAUUUGGAACUCAAAAAGUGGGAGAAAAAGCUGAAGAUGAUUCAGGCUGUGCUCUACGAUGCAGAGGAGAAGCAACUGAUCGACGAGGCUGUGAAGACGUGGCUGGACGAACUCCAAGACUUGGCUUAUGACGCUGAGGACAUUCUUGAUGAGUUUGCUACUCAAGCUUUGGAAAGCGAGUUGAUGGAGCAAAAUCAGGAUAGCUCUGGCCAGCUUCUUAGUUUCAUCCCAGCUAGUUUGAGUCCGAAUGCUAUUAUGUUCAAUUAUAGCAUGGGGUCCAAGAUUAAAGAUAUUACUAGCCGGUUGGAGCACCUCGGCCAAGAAAGAAUUGAACUUGGUCUGCAACGGAUUACUGGAGGGGCAUCAUCAUCUACUGCUGCCGCACACCAGAGGCCACCCAGUUCGAGUGUCCCAACAGAACGUGAAGUAUUUGGAAGAGAAGAAGAUAAGGCCAAAAUUCUUGAUAUGGUUUUGGCCGAUACCCCAAGUGAUCAUGCCAAAUUUGUUGUAAUACCCAUUGUUGGCAUGGGCGGAAUAGGAAAAACAACUCUUGCUCGGGAGGUCUACAAUGACAAGGCGUUGAAGAUUCCAAGUUUGAUGUAAAAGCAUGGGUUUGUGUCUCUGAUGUCUUUGAUGUUUUGGUCAUCUCAAAGGCACUUCUGGAGUCAAUCACCCGCAGGCCUUGUGUUCUAAGCAAUUUAAAUGAAGUGCAGGUUGAGCUGAAAAUAGUUGUGGAUAAAAAAAGAUUUCUACUGGUCUUAGAUGAUGUUUGGAACGAGGACUACAGCUUGUGGGUAGACUUAAAAGCUCCUUUCAUGGCUGCUGCACCAAACGGUAAAAUGAUCAUCACCACACGCAAUUCAAAUGUUGCAUCAAUAAUGGGACCAAUUGAACAUUACAAUCUCAAGAGUCUGUUAGAUGAUGAUUGCUGGUCCAUUUUCAUACAACAUGCACUUGAAUCUAGAGAUCUUAACGCAAAUCAAAUUUCAGAAUCAUUCCGCAAGAAAGUUGUUGGCAAGUGUGGGGGCUUGCCCCUGGCAGCAAAAACACUAGGGGGCCUUCUGCGUACUACGAGGCAUGAUGCAUGGGACGAUAUAUUAGAUAGCAAAAUAUGGGAUUUACCUCAACAAAGUGGCGUUCUCCCUGUGUUAAGAUUGAGUUACCACCAUCUUCCGUCUCAUUUGAAAAGAUGUUUCGCUUAUUGUGCAAUCUUUCCAAAAGAUUAUGAAUUCAAUGAGAAGGAGCUGACUUUCUUAUGGAUGGCUGGAGGAAUUAUUCGACAGUCAAGAAAGAAUGAGCAGCUGGAAGAUUUGGGCGGCAAGUGCUUUCAUGAUCUAGUGUCAAGGUCAAUUUUUCCACAAACCAGCUCGGGUAGUUCUAAAUUUGUAAUGCAUGACCUUAUCCAUGAUCUUGCUGAACUGGUUUCUAGAGAAACCAUUUUCAGAUUAGAGGAGGCCAACUUGUCAUCAAGAAGAUUUGAAAGGAUCCGCCAUGCUUCCUAUACCCGUGGUUGGUAUGAUGGUAAAAAUAAGUUCAAGGUUUUCAAUGAAAUUGAACAUCUACGAACAUUCCUACCAUUACACGAAAGACGAGGAUAUUACAUACCUCGAACGGUUCUAUCUGAUUUGCUGCCAAAGUUCAGAAGGUUGAGAACGCUAUCUUUACAAGGAUACUGUAUUGGUGAGUUACCAAUGUCAUUUGAAGAUCUGAGACUUUUAAGGCUCCUCAACCUUGCUGACACUGACAUAAGAAGUUUACCUGAGUCAACAUGCACAUUGUUGAACUUGGAAAUUUUGAUAUUAAGAAAUUGUUCCCGUUUGAUAAAGCUUCCGCCCAAAAUGAGGAAUUUGAUCAAUUUACGCCAUCUCGAUAUAAGAGGUGCGAAGUUGCUGAAGGAGAUGCCGUUCGGAAUGAAGGAGUUGAAGAAUCUUUUACAAGUUUGGAAGAUUUAAAAUGUUUAAACUUUCUUUGUGAUGAACUCUGCAUGAGUGGAUUAGAGAAUGUGAAUAAUCCACAGAAUGCAAGAGAAGCCACAGUAUGCGAGAAGCACAAUCUUGAAGCAUUGACUCUAGAUUGGGGGUCUCAAUUUGACAAUUCUCGAGAUGGAGUAGUAGAAGAGCAUGUACUGGAAAUUCUACAGCCCCAUAAAUGUAUAAAAAAGGUGGCAAUCAGGAACUAUGGUGGUGCAAGAUUUCCGCAUUGGAUCGGAGAUCCUUCGUUCUCCAAGAUGAAGGUCCUUAAAUUGGAGAACUGUCACAAUUGUGUAUCGUUGCCGUCGCUUGGCCUGUUGAGUUCACUUAAGCACCUUGCUGUUAAAGGGCUGAAGAAACUAAAAAGCAUAGAGUCUGAGGUUUAUGGGGAGGGUUUCUCAAUGCCUUUUCCAUCACUGGAGAUUCUAAGUUGCGAGAAUUUGCCAGAAUGGGAGCAUUGGGAUACCGAGAUCAAAGGAAAUGUGCCUGUUGAUAUAUUUCCUCGUCUCCAAGAACUUUCCAUUGCAGAAUGUCCCAAACUCUCUGGACAACUGCCUGAGCUCCUGCCUUCCUUGGAGACACUUGUUGUUAGUAAAUGUAAAAAGUUGGUAGUUCCAUUGUCUUGCUAUCCGAUGCUCUGCAGAUUAGAAGUUGAUGAGUGCAAAGAACUAGUCUGCCGGACUCCGAUUGAUGUUAAGUUGAUAAAGUCCAUGACUAUUUCAAAUAGUUCAUUAGACCUGAAUGGAUGUAAGGGGAUGCUAUACGAUGGUCCAGCUGGCUCUUCACUGCCAAAGCCCAUGACUACUACAAAUGUUUUGGAGUUUGGAAAAUUAUUGAAGCCUGGAUUUCAGAUAUUCGAAACUUUGGUAAUUGGCAAUUCUGAACAGCUCAAGUCAUGGAGGCAGCAUGGGGAUUUUCCUAAAAAAUACAUGGUCACUGACCAUAGGUUUAAGAAACCAGUACCAGGGCUGAAUAUGCUCGCUUCCCCUGAAGAGGUAAAAAUUGAAGAAAGCUGCGUAAGUCUUGUUUUGUUUCCAGAGAUCAAUUUUUUUCCCAGAAAUCUACGCUCUCUUCUAAUUAAAAACAGCACAACUUUAAAAUCCUUACCCGAGGAAAUGAUGGCAACAAUUCACAACUCGAAAGGUUGUAUAUCAGAGAUCGCGACUGUCUAACAUUCAUCGCAAGACGGAGGCUACCGGCAUCUCUUAAAAGGCUUGAGAUAGAAAAUUGUGAGAAAUUGCAACGUCUGUUCGAUGAUGAAGAGGAUGCUUCUUCUUCUUCUCCUGCAUCCUCGUCGUCCCCAGUGAUGCUGCAACACCUGAGUAUAGAGAACUGCCCAGAGCUCACCAGUUUAUCAUCGGGUGUCCAAUUCCUUGAGGCGCUUGAAUUCCUCGAGAUACGGGAUUGCCCAAAGCUGGAGUCAAUACCGGAUGGCCUGCCCAAUCUUAAAUGUUUACAGAGCAUUUAUAUAUGGAAAUGUCCAAGUCUUGUUCCUUCCCAGAAAGAGGGCUUCCCAACACGAUUUCAAGGGUUGGCAUUGGCGAAUGUGACAAGCUCGAAGCCUUGCCCAAUGAUUUGCACAAAAUCAACUCUCUUCGAUAUUUAAGCAUACAGCUGUGUCGAAAUCUUGUAUCGUUUCCAGAAGAAGGUUUUCCUACCAGUCUAACAUCACUUAGAAUUGGAGAUUUCAAAAUGUAUAAGACCCUCGUCCAGUGGGGGUUGCACAGGCUUACCUCUCUUAGACGCCUCUAUAUCGUUGAUUGUGAUGACGAAGCAGAGUGUUUUCCAGACGAGGAGAUAGGAAUGACGCUGCCCACCUCUCUCACUGAUCUGUACUUAUCGGGAUUCCAAAAAUUGAUAUCCCUGUCUUCGACGGGUUUUCAGAGCCUCAACUCUCUUCAAUAUUUGUUGAUCGCGGGUUGCCCAAAUCUCACAUCAUUUCCAGAGGUGGGCCUUCCAUCCUCACUUUUGGGAUUAUUCAUUUUCAAAUGUCCAAAGCUUAAAAGAGCGUGCAAAAGAGAUCAAGGAAAAGAGUGGCCCAAAAUUGCUCACAUCCCUUGCGUUGAGAUAGACGAAAAAUUCAUAUACGAUCCCGAAUCAGAGGAGUAGAUUUCUGUUAUCCAUUAAAAACGAUCUCCUAUUAGUUUUAUUUUUUAAAUAAUAAUUUUGCAGUUCUGUUUUCUGUAUAAUUAUAAAUCCUCUGCCGUUAAUUAUUGACAAUGUCACUCACGUGAUUCCGUCUUCACUAAUCAGACUGUAUGUUGAGGCUAUUUGCUUUUUAAUCAAAGAUUAAAUUAUAACAUUUAUCUUAAAAUUGAAUAUCAUAGACAGAUAGACGAUUUUUAAAUCCAAAGUUUUUUGAUCCACUUCAAUUAGCAUUUAUUUUUUCCCCCAAAACAGGCAAGCCGAGAGUUUCAAUCAAGAAUUGGAGGAUGUGAAUGGGAUUUUUGUGAAAACAUAAUGGAUGAACGAACAUUUCAUCUGUGAUCUCAAAGUCAACAGAAUUUUAUUUACUCAUUGACUUUUCAACUCCUGUGGUUAUUUAUGGGUGAAAGAUAAGGGCAAUUACAAGAAAUUUGCAAACUUUGUCAACUUCUUUUAAUUGUACCAAUUUGUCGUUUAUGUUUUAGUUUUAUUUUUUCAGUUUUGUUUAUUGCUUAGAUGGUAGAUAUAUCGACAUUUUAGAUUUCAGAUAUUUGUCACCAGUUUCAUUCCCUUUUUUUUCGUUUUUUUAAGCUAGUUUGACUAAUUUUAACCAGAAUUAGAGCAGAAUAUUUUGGAGCGAGCAUACUUGAAAUGAUGCUUUUUAAUUUUGAUCUAGUAAAAAUACAUAGCCCUCACCGGCAGAAUUCUAGUCCCUACCGGGAUUCAAGAAAUUGAAAUUUCUGUCUUCAACGGGUUUUCGAAGCCUGACCUCUCUUCGAUUUUUGUGGAUCGGGAAUUAUAAAUUUACAGUUGUCAGAAGCUUGAAAAAGUGCGCAAAAGAGAUCGAGGAAAAGAAUAUUUCUCUGUUUAGUGAAGGAUGAAUGCUUGGAGUGGAGUAUUUGGUAACAUUUCUGUUUAGUUAAGGAUUUUGAAAUUAAUGAUGGUAAGAUGUGUACUUAUUCUUUCUUCCAGACAACCUUGCCUUCUUUCUUCGGUAGCAUAUCUAAUGAAUAUUUCUCUGUUUAGUUAAGGAUGAAUGCUUGCAGUGGAGUAUUUGGUAACAUUUCUGCCGUAGAUGAAUCCUUGAAGAAAUGCCUGCACUUCCUGAGACCAAAUACAGGUCUGAUUCAAAACAACACCUGUCCCAGAAAAUAUGAUACAAGGCAAAGCCAUGUUCUGAUAAUGUUUCCUUAAGUACAAAGUUGCAAGGAAACUUGAUUCAUUAACUACAAAUUUUUAUUUUUAGGACCUUGCAUCUGAAAGGUUCAGUGUAAUUUUUUUUUUUCAAUUUAUUGCUCAGAUCUCAGACGAGUAUAUGGUUUAGAUUACAAAACACUUACGAUUAAUUUCAUUUUUUUUUAUUUCAGGGAGAAGAAGUGGUCAGUUUCAAUCCAGAAUUGGAAUAUGGCAAUUUGGUGCAAGCACAAAUACCUGGUCACUUCGUCAGUGAACCUGAACUUUACUGAACUUUACACAGUUUUUUCAACUCAGUGAUUUUUGGAACGCAUAUUGGUGUAAGGAAAUCAAACGAAAUUUAUGCAUAGUCAAAUUCUGAUAUUUGCUAUAUUUUAUACAUUCUAAAGUUUCUCCAGUUUGUUCUCAGAUUACCAUCACUUUUUGCCUUCACCAAAAAAAAAUAUAUAUAUAUUUGAGUGGCUUUCCGGUGGAUAUUUAAUCGGAGGCAUGACUGGAUUUUUUUUCACUUCUGUAGAUCUUGCAUUUUAAACUGGCAAAUUUAACUUUAAUUUCAAUACGACUUUGUUGGUGCCUUCUGUUCCAGGAGCUAGAAAGAUGUGUAGUUUUCAGAUAAAGGGGCUUGUGAAUUCUCUAGUAAGAAUCCAAUAAUUUGCUUUUGCACGUUCAUUUUAUUUGUAGAUCCUUGCAUCUGAAUUUGAUCAAUCCAAAAGGAACUGCUUUUAGAGGGAAGAAGAAUAGCAGUACCUAUUCGAUGACAUAGUGUAUGGACCCUCACAUGUUAACUUUCAUGAAAAACACAUUUAAGAAAUUUGCAACUUUUUGGUUAGUUAUGUAUCCAAUGUUGUUUUCUGUUUUAGCAUUUGUAGAAUCUACUGUAUUAUAUUUUGGCAGCUACAGUAUCUGAGGUAUCUUUUGCAUUUAACUUGCUUUAUAUGUUUUGUCUGUGACUUAAGAACACCAAUAUUUGCCAGAGAUUUAGAGAAGCAUAUCAAGAUGCUUGGCUAACUUGACAAACUUCAAGAUCCUUCAUUCUUCACAAUGCAAAACUUGUGAGUACACUUAUGCCCGCAAUUAUUGUGAAAUGCUUGCAAUUUUGAUGCAGCGAAAUGGUUUGUUGAUGCAAAGGUUUGAACUUUUAAGGUUUACCCUGCAGGGUAGUUGGAUGCUGUAUACUCGAAAAGCCACCAACAUCAAGAACUAUACCUCCAAGACUGGGUUUGCAUUAAUUCAAUCAGCUGAAAUAAUGAUGCAAAGGACACUAUCAGCUGGACUUAGAGACCAGUCAGAUCAAUUAUCCAUUUUAUCAACAGUUAAUGUCAUCAUGGUGGCUAUUAGAGGAAACAGAGGAUGUGUCGGAAUCAAUAUGAACAGUGAGAAGAAUGAGAGGAGCUUUGAUUAUAAAUUGGCUCAAUGAACUCAUGCUGGUAAGUGGUAAUUAAAGAAAUUUGUGCGCUUAGCAGAGUUUCAAUAUUUUCUGUUUGGGAUAUAGUUGAUAAGUUGAUACUCUGAUUAAUAAGCCUGAUUAUAGUAGCUGACUGUAUUAACCAGGUUCUUUUCUUUCUUUUUUUUUUGGUGGUUUGCUGUUGUUUUGAUUAUGCUGUAACUACAAGGAAGAGCCGGACUUGGAUGCAGGCGUUCAGCUUUUAAUGGUUAAGAACAAAUGUAUGCUUUAACCAUGUUUCUCACUUAUUACAAUGUACGCAUUGAAGGCAUCUGAGCUGAUCCUGAAAAUGUCAUGGAAAUACUUCUCUGUUUACAUAAAACAGGACAAAUAGAGAUCUCUGAUCAUGCCUGAGAAUUCGUUGCAUUGAAAUUUCUACCAUUGCCAAAAAUAGAAUAAACUAGGGAUACAUUAGCGUAAGACUCAAUUUUGAGAAGGAAGUUUGUACUUGCAGCCUAAAAAAUCAUGUCUUUGUUGUAUACUUGUAUGUUUCUUUGGGAAAUGAAAGAUUCUGUGUUCUUUUAUUUCAAGUUUGCUGAAAUCACAUUUGUUUUCUUAGAUGCUUUCCAGAAGGUAACAGCAUCAAUUUCAAAAAUGCUGGGGUAAUAUGCAUCACGCAGUGCUACUCAACAUGAGAAAUCCUGGCUGCAUUAACUGUAUGUUGAGUGAUCGCACAGUACAACCUUGAGAAGCUUGUAAGGAGUAGACAACUAGAUGCGAGUAGUUUCAAUAUGGAUUCGCAUCAAAUGAUUUCUUGCCACUGAUUACCAUAACUUCUAUCCCAAAAUUCUGGGAACUGGUCAUACCAGCUAUGAAGUAUUGUAUACGUUGAAGAGCUCAAGGCCUUGCAAAAGCUCCGUCAGCCUUUGUAUUGGCAAACAGAUGGUUGUAGUUGCUUCUGAAUGAUAUGAUUAAUAGAUUCUGUAAAAAUGAAUUGUGCUAUACGCUUUCAGAGUUCUGUUAAGAUGUCUUGGUAGUUUUUGAUGCUUGUUUGAUUUAUAUUGCAUUCAGCUAUAAAUCAAAGGUUCAGAACACGAGUAUGUUGCUGAUUUCCAAAUAGAAAAAUUGCCUUGUGAUGUUAGUGUCCAUUGUUUUCACAGGAGAUCAGGUUCCUUGUUAUUGAAUCAAGAAGGCAAACGCAUCCAUGUCUGAGUUCAAUUGUGUCCCUUCUAUUUUCUAUUACUGACUCAUUUAUUUUGAUUUCUUCAUUGUGAUUGAAUUGGUUUUUUAUUCCAAAUUAGUCAAAACCUCAUAGAGUUAUUAAGUUCCGUUAGCAUUCAGAACUACGUACCAAAUGAUUAACAGGAUUAAAUUACAAUAAAGAAUUAAGUUCUUUAUUGUAAUUGAAUUUGCUUUCUCAUGUUUAGAGAUAUUAUGUUCUGGUUAGGGGUGAUUUCUUGAAGAGUCAAUCCAUUUGUGUUUAUACAUUUUUCUAUUGCCUUGAUUUCUGUUUUCUGGGGAGUUUAUACAGAUUCUUAUUUUAUGCUUCACAUGCCACAUGAAAGAUCAAAGCCUUCUGUCUGAACAUAAUAUACGUAGAAAGUUAAAUUUAUUUAUUUAUAAGCAUGUCCCAGUGCCCAGUGGCAUCCUCUUAACUUGUGAUAGUCAAAUGUAUUAUACGAUACAAUAUCAGCUUGACUUUAGCAUAGAGGAGAAUAGGGUUGGUGUUGGACUGAAUUCUGAUCCUUGAAUAAAUAUAACAGCUGCCUGAACCAGCUUAUUUGACUCCACAACUUUAUACUUGUUUUAUAGUCUAUGCCUACCUCCAUCGUCGGCAGCUUACAGUCUCUUUUAGCAUUUUAAAAAGUUUCAUGAUAUUCCAUAGUUCGCAUGGACUGCUACAAUUUAGAGAAACAUAAUUACGGCAUAUUUAAUUACCACGCGAGGAGUCUUCUUUUUUGCGCACCAAUAAUUCUUUGUACUUAAUUAGAAGAUGAGAAAUCCUUUAGCCGAACCACGAACUCACCUAUUAGUGGGGUUUUUUCCGCUUGCAUUCAGUCGCUCAAGUGAAAAUUGCGUGCAAUUUUUUCCUCAACUAAAAUUGGAAUAGAUAUUUUGUUAUUGCUGGCACAAAUUUUCCUUUAAGUCAAAUUGGAAUAGAUGUUUGUGAGAUGCCUAGACCUGAGAUUUUGUUAUGAUUAUAUGCAUUAAAGCUUUCGGUAGACCCUUGAAAUCUUAUGAUCAAUGUAUUAGAAAUUUAGAAUUGGGGUUUAUAAGAGCUAGUUUGACCAUGUUAUAACUUUUAAAAUUAUUGUUGCUAAUUGUGUUAUAGAAAUAAUUAAUCAGUUGUAAAAAUAAUUAGUUAAACAUUUGGUAAAUUUUAUUUUUAAAAGUGUUAGGAGUUUUAAAAGCAGACGUACGUACUUAGUAAAUCUCACUUUUAAAAUAUUAUAAGAAUGCAAAAGGUUUAAAUAUAUAUAAAUCUAUACAAUUUAUUUACACAUGCAUUUAUAGAUACAUGUAUAUAUAAUAAUUGAUAACUAAAAUAAAGAUUUUUAUUUUAUUAAUUUUUUUUGUUAUCUAAAAAAAGGUAAUAAUAAUAUCUUUAAUGACGUAUUUAUUAAUCAGUAAUCGGAAUGGACUGGAAUCAAAAUGGAGGAAUGGAAAUCGGAAUAAAUUGUUUACUUUAACUAUCAAUAUUGGAAUCGCAAUGAACUGUAUUAUCACUUAUAUAUUUAUUUUAUCUGAGAAUCAGAAUGGAUUGAUUUAAAUUACUAGACAGACCUUAUUAUUAUUAUUAUUAUUAUUAUUAUUAUUAUCAUCAUUAUUAAAUAAGGUAAAAAGGAAUUUUCAAUUUUUACUGAAGUAAAAAUAUCAAUUCACUUCUCAUUUUCAGCCCUAGGGAAUGAGACUCCCAUUCCACAUUCUAGAAUUUAUAGAGUCCACUCAAAUUUUCAUUCCCAUUCCCCCUCCUUGUUUUGCAAGUAAACAAGUUAAUAAUCCUAUUCUCUCAUUUCUACUCCCAUUCUCAUUCUCAAGUACUAACACAUCAAGGUAUUCGGUUCGGUUUUUGCCCAAUAGAACUGAAAUUAUUCGGUUUGGUUUGAUUUGGUUUAAUAUAAAAAGCCAAAGGGUUUAUAUUUUUAUGAACCAAAUGGUUUGUAUUUGAUUCAAUUCUAAAACUGAACCGAAAGCACAAACCAAUCGGUUCACGUAAUUUUAAUUAUUUUUAGAAAAAGAAAAACCAAAACUAAAUCGUAGAAUGUGAAUCCCUAAAAUCUAAAUCCCUAAUUCUCCUAACUAACUAAAACUAAUCACAGAACAACACAACCACAACAACCUAGCAAGCGCAGCGGUAGCCCCUCGAACCACGCUCACUCUCAAGUAUAGCAUGACAAUAGGGCUCUCUCAUGCAAUGAUAGGUAAUUUCUUAGUUUAGAAGGGAAAGUAAGAGAAACAGAGGAAGAAUAUAAGUUGAUUAAAAGGGAAAAGUCAAUUCUUAUUCCAAAAACUUGCUUAGUGCAAGUUCAAUAGGGUCUCUUAAAUAGACCUAUACAUAUAAUAAAAACUAGAAAAGACGAAAAUCACUUGAAAAUAAAAAGCAUGAUCACUUAAAUGGUAAACAUACAUAACCGCCAUGAGCUACAUGCAACCUAAGUCAAAUAAUCAACUGAAGAAACUUGAUCCCCAUGCAUAUUGAGCACAUACCAUUCCCCACCCUUUAGAAACACCUUGUUGGUGCGGUUAAAGUGAGGGUGAGCCUUUGAGAAUCACCAACAGUUCCAACGAGUGUCCUCAAUUGCUGCUCCUAUCCCUAUAACCAGUAUUGAGUUGUACGAAUGGCACAUGAUCUUCAAUCAUGAAUAGUUGCAGCUUUUAACAACAGUGUGAUACAAACUAAUAAAAAUAAUAAAAAUUAUUUAUUUUAUUUUAUUGUAUUAGUUAAUUUUGAACUAGUCAAAACUAGUUGCCCUUAUUUUGUGGAACUACAUGUAAUUAGUGGAGCAUUAUGUGAGAACAUGCUUAGUGUUACUAAUUUUUAGGUUGUAAUCCUAAAUAAACUUUUAUUAUAUAAAGCUUAAUGUUACUCAAUAAAAAGGAUCAUGAGUUUAUUAUUUUGGCAACAUAAAAGUUGUAAUUGGGAGUUUAUUGGUUUCUCGAAUAACCAAUACUUAUUUGGAGGUUUGGAUUUCCUUGAAUUAACUCCAUUUGUCAUCUAAUUUUUCUAUUUCAUUUGAUUUCUCCUUAUAAACUUUAGUGUUCGUAUCACAGUGGCCAAGAAUAAGUUUCUCGUCACAAUAAUAACACAACCCUUUUCCACGAUGAGCAUGUGCUUCUUAGUUAGAUAGUUGCUGGAUAUGAGGGGAAGCGAUGUCAUCGGCUAUUUAAUCAACCUUAGGAGGUGGACCUAAGACUCUAACAAAGCUAUUUGGGGUUGGUUGCUAUAUCACCAAAAUAGAGGGUGGUAGAGAAAAGUGACUAGUGCAUUGAGAAAGUGAAUUUCGCUCCUCAAUCAGUCUUGUCACACCAAUGGUGUUAGCCAAGGUAAAGGGCUAUUUAAUCUUGACAUCUAGUUGUAUCUCAUCCUGAAGACCUACAAUAAAACAACCAAUUAAAAAACAUUCGAGUAAGCCAUCAACCUAAUAUAAAAGCUUUUCAAAAGUUUAUUGAUAUUAAGCUAAUAAUGGAAGUCUAUUUCAGGUGCAUCAAAGCCUUAGAUGGGUCCUCAUAAUCCAUUAGUUCGAAUCGUAGAAGGACUGUUGUUGAUGCUGAAAUCUGCUCGCCCUCUACCCAACCAAAUCAUUCCACCAACAUUUGUGUAUGCAAUGGAGAGAAUACUGCCCUUUUGCCUCCUUCAGCAACUGCGGAUGCUCCAGGGGUUGGAAUCACCUUUUUCCCUUCUUUCUAAUCCUGCACUCACAGAGAUAGAUCAGAGACGCCGGUGGUUUUACCAGCAUAAACCCUCCAAUACUUAAGUUAGCACAAGGUGUUUUACGGGAAAACUAUGUAACUUGGAUUGUUUGGUUUCUCGUAAUGCUUUCUAAAACUUGUAAAGAAUAUAAUCUGGUUUCAAUUUGGCAGAGUUUUCCUUUUUCUCUCAAUUUUUCCAUCCCUUUUUUCAUUGGUUUCCCGGCUUCUUGUAACCGUUGUCCCACGUUCCUAUCUACUCCUCAUGCCCCCCCUUUUAUCGGGUGAUGGCAGGCCUUCAUGGCCUCCAACCACUGGAUUGUGGGUAAACAUGGGAUGACAUGUCCCUCUUGACGGUUUGGGGCAUAGCGAAACUACCGCAUUUUCGUGAGAUCGUGUGCCCCUUGUUUGGGUGAUGGGUAUCUGGUUGGUAUAUGUCUCUAGUCGGUACAUUCCUCUGGUCGGUGCUCGUCUCUAGUAGGCCCACUUUUGUAUGAGGCGUUUUACCAGGGCUCUUUUUGUGCCGCUCAGUUGAGGUGAUUCACCUCGGGGUGGGAAAUGAGGGCAUGGCUGAGCUGGUGCUCUUUAUUACUUAAUACCAGUCCCCUAGUUUCUGGUCUUGCGAGUGAAAUGAGUUGAGAUUAGAAACUAAGAAUCGGAUUUUAUCGACCCCGGGAAAUUCCUAUCUGGUCUUCGUGUUAUUGUGAUGGACCUGAGGUUCUGCCUUUUGUUUAGGGAGAUUUUUUAUCUAAGUAUGGGCCUUUGUGAGCAUGUCCAAUAUAUAGCUGGGCUAACAUCUCGUCAGGCCUUUUAUAACGGUCAGUGACGUGUCGUUUCUCGUCCUUUCAUAUUUGAAAUUUGAAACGACGGCUUAUCUGCCCUCGAUAUACGGCGAGUGAGCUAGCACCCGUAUAACUUAAACGCUUCCAUUUCCCUAUUUCAUUUCAAAUCCCUAAAUUGAAGCUGUCAUUGCGUUUCACUAUCCGCCAUUUCACUGUAAACUAAGUCCCUCUUUGGACUUCAAUCACACUUUUUGCGUCCGAAACCUCUAUUUGCUGGGUCCUCUCUCCGUCACAGCAGCACUACCAGUGCCAGUUUAUUCUAGGUAUCACUUUUAACUUCUUCGCUGGUUGUUGUUGAUUGGGUUCUGUGUUGCCCCUUUUUGUACCCAUACACUCGGAUUUACUGUGUUUUCCUUUUUGAGUUUUUGAUAUGUCAAACCGAAAGGGGAAACUAAUUGUAGAUGAGAGUGAUGAAGAGGUGGGGGACUCAUACCCCAACCUGUUUGGGCCUAAUGACCCCUUAUCAUCUUCUCGUAGUAUAAGUCUUUCCCAUCAUAGGGAUACCCUAGAGUAUCCUCAUCGCGUGACCACUUUGCCUUCCCCUGAAUUAGAACCCGUGGGAAACCGUGGUGGUUCAGCUUCUUGCUCUGGUGAAAAUCACAGUUCUGAGGGCUGGGGGGGUCCCUGGAAAGUGGGUGAAGGUAAGGAGAGUAGCUCCGAGCCGAGCAGACCCUCUAAGAAGAGAAACUUUGGUCAUAUGAUGGCGGGAGAUGCUUAUCCCAUUGACUAUAUCACCUGUGUUACCACCCACACUGACCUACUCAAGUUUAGAAACCUCUACCAUAUCCCUGAGGUGGUUCUUCUUUUAAUCCCUGGGAAAGGUGACUUCCCCAGUCGGCCUCCAAGGGGAUAUGUCACGAUGGGCACGAUUACCCCUUCAACCUUACUUUGCUUGGAUACUGGGUGGUAUGCAUCUGGCUCCAGGUCAGCUUCACCCGAAUGGGUGGAGGGUUCUCUCAGCCAUGUAUGUGCUAUGGAAAAAGUGUGGACUUGAGGAGCCUUCUCUUGAGGAAGUGAAGCAUUUAUACCAGCUGAUGAGCUUUCCAAGGGAAGCAGGUUGGUACUACUUCAUGUCAAGCUCUGCAAAGAGGAAGCCUGUCACCGACUUUCCUUCUUCCUGUAAAAAUUAGAAGAACAAAUUCUUCUUUGCUGGAGGAAAUUGGUGUCCAACAAUUCAUUCGCUUAGUGGUGAUAUUCACCUCCCAACACAUUUUGUCACCCCAGGUCGUUAAUUUUUCUGCAUACUUCACUUCUCUAAUCGUUACUUAUCGAGUUCCUUAACCUUGUUUGUUCUUUCAGAAUUGUGGGGUUUGAUCAAGAAACUUGACGAUAGACCACUGCUCCAGGUGGAAAUGGCUCUGGUGAACGCGUCUACCUGUCACGAUCUCAUAUCGUUAAUAAAUCUUGUCGGGUUGCACUUAGUGGACGUAGCUAUUGGGAUGGACAACAAGAUCCUCAGCGCUAUGUCUAAGAAACACACUUUGGGUUCAGGUAGCUCCAGCAACCUCCCUCCUCCUUUGAAGAAAGUCAAUGUUGGUUCCUCCAAGGCUUCUGCUCCUGCUCUGCCCCCUCCUUCACCUCGGAAGAAUGGUAGGGAGAAAGUUAGUGACAAGAGCCCCGAGGUCAGCAUUCAAUUUGGAGACCGAUCCUCUCCUCUACCGCCUCGGGACCAGGGUGACUAUCUGACCCUGUACCAGAGAGAUUACAACAAGUCGAUGGGACCAAAAAUGGUCAAGGACAUUGAAAGCAUGAACCUCAGCGAGCUAGGUGGUUCAGUUCAAAUGGUCUCCUUUAAGCUGGCUACUCUGGUUUCUUGCUACAAGAAUAGGUCUACGCGCCAAGAGAGGAGGCUUCAAGCUGAUAACGAGGACUUGAAGAAAAAGGCUAAUUCUGUUGAUCGCUCGAAGGAGAAGCAGAUUGAGCUACACAAGCAGAUCAUGGACCUGGAGGAGAAAGUGGCUAUUGCUGAGUCUAACUCCUCCAAGCUUGAGGGUGAGUUGGGUGAUCUAAAGUCCGAUCUCCAGGUUGCUCACAGUGAACGAGAUACUUUGAGGACGACCCUUGAGGAACAUAUUAGGUCCUUAGAUGAGCAGGUAGCCGAGCUGAAAGGCAAAUCUGUUGAGGUGGACAAUUGACUGGAUGCAGAAUAUAACUCUGGGCUCGCCUUUUGCUACAAGUGCAUCAUGUUUGUGCUUAAGGGAGAAUAUCCUGAGCUUGACAUGAGCAAGCUGGAGGCUGGAGUGCAGAAAUACAUGGCCGAGCCCGAUCAAGGGGAUAAGGAGCAGGGAGAGCAGGAUCAGGUGGAGGCUCCUUCAGAUGGGGUGCAGGAGAGGGAAACAGAGGAUUAUGCUCUUGAAACAGGUCAGGGGUCACUGCCUGCUCCCCCAGAAGUUGCUGGUCCACCUUUUAUCGAGGCUGCUGAACCUCAUAAUCCUUAGGCUUAUAUAUAUAUAUAUAUAUAUAAAUAUUAUUUUGUAUAAAUUCUAAACUCCCAUCUGUCUACAAAUGUUUGGAUGUUUAUAAACUUUGGAUGCUUUUUGUUUGCUUUCUUGCCAUGGUUUUGGUUGUGAAUCGUUUCUACAAGUUACCUUAACAAUUUUGAGUGACUUUGGCUGCUGGUCCUUUUGUCGUCCGAGCAGGAACUGACACUUGUUUGCCUUAGCGAAAUUUGUAAAACUUACAUUUCAGUUUUUCAAACGACUGAGCAGGAACUGGCGUUGGUUUGCCUUAACGAAAUUUUGUAAAAUUGCCUGCUGGUGCUUUAGGCGACCAAGCAGGAAUAGGCACUUGCUUGCCUUCAUAAAAUUUAUAGAUUUGCCUGCUGGUCCUUUAGGCGAUCGAGCAGGAAUAGACACUUGCUUGCCUUAAUAAAAUUUGUAGAUUUGCCUGCUGGUCCUUUAGGCGUCCGAGUAGGAAUAAACACUCGCUUGCCUUAAUAAAAUUUGUAGAUUUGCCUGCUGGUCCUUUAGGCAACCGAGCAGGAAUAUGCACUUGCUUGCCUAAAUAAAAUUUGUAGAUUUGCCUGCUGGUCCUUUAGGCGAUCGAGCAGGAAUAGGCACUUGCUUGCCUUACUAAAAUUUUUAGAACGAGGGAAUUUAUGCUGAAUUCAUCUUUAUUGAACUUUGCAUGGAUUACAAGAGGCGAGAUAUAGUCACGUGUAACAAUUCAUCAUGCUUUUAACAUAAAUAACUUAUUGAAAUAAAACUUGGUAAGGCAGUUUGCUUACUGGAAGUAUUUCUUCAAGUGCUUAGCGUUCCAUGAUCUUUUCACGUCUCGUCUAUCUGGGUAAAUCAGCUUGUACGCUCUUGGGCCAGUUAUUCAUACCACUCUGUAUGGGCCCUCCCAUUUCGGGCUAAGAACACCAUGAAUAGGAUCUCUUGUGCAUUGGUUCACUUUUCUAAAUACCCAAUCUCCUGCUCGGAACUGUCUCAUGCGAACAUUUUUGUUGUAGUAACGCAUGAUCCUUUGCUGGCAUUUGGCUGUUCUCUGCGAUGCCCCUUCUCUUUUUUCCUCCAGCAGGUUCAGGCUCAAGCAGAUCUGCUCGUCAUUUUGUUCUUUGUUGAAAUACUCUGUCCGAUAUGCCCCCACCCCAAUUUUUGCUGGGAUUACUGCCUCAUGACCGAAAGCUAAAGCAAACGGGGUUUCUCCCGUGGCCAUUUUGUGGGUUAUCCGGUAGGCCCAUAACACUCCUAGUAACUCGUCGACCUAAGCUCCUUUUUUUUCUCAUAGCCUGGUUUUCAAGAGUUUCUUUAUUACUUUGUUGGCUGCUUCCACCUGCCCAUUUGCCUUGGGGUGUGCUAGGGUACAAAACUUCAGGUCCACCCCUAAAUUUUGGCUAAAUUCUCUGAAGUUGUGAUUGUCAAACUGUCUCCUAUUGUCUGUAAUGACAGCAAUGAGGAUCUCCUAUCUGCAGAUGAUAUUCUUCCAAACAAAAUCCGUUAUCUUUCUCUCUGUGAUUUGACUGAGGACCCUUACUUCUACUCAUUUGGUGAAGUAGUCUAUAGCCACAAUUGCAUGUAUUACUUCUCCUCGGCCCUUGGGUAAUGGGCCAAUCAGGUCAAUUCCCCACUGAGCAAAAGGCCAUGGGGAUGACAUAGUGGUUAACCUUUCUGGGGGCUGAGCAGGGACUUCCGAGAAGCUCUGGCUGACUUUAUAGUUUUUUGCCAUCCCCGUCGCAUCCUGAUGCAUGGUCGGCCAGAAGUACCCUUGCCGAAGCACCUUGAAAGUCAAAGUUCUCGCCCCCGAGUGGUUGCUGCAUAUUCCUUCAUGAAUUUCCCUCAACACAUAAUUUGCUUCCUCGUCAUCCAAGCAUCUCAAAAGGGGCAAGGUGAAUCAUCGGCGGUAGAGUACCCCAUCGAGUAGCGUAUACCUUGCUGCCUGACAUUUCAACUUUCUUGCUUGCUUCCUGUCCUCUGGUAAGAUGCCCUCACGAAUGUAUAAUAGAAUGGGGUCCAUCCAGGAUUUUUCGAUGCUCACCUGCAUUACUUCUGCUUCCUCCCCUAUGCUUGACGAGGUUCUCACUUUUAGUGGAAUUGACUUGGGUAAUUUUGGAUCUGCAAUUGCGGCCAUUCUGACCAAUAUAUCUGCUCGGUAAUUCUCAUUCAGAUAUAUCUGCUUUAUUUCUAUCUCUUGGAAGAGCUCAACCAUCUGUUUUGCCUUCUUCAAAUAAAGCCCCAUCUUCUCUUCCCUCGCUUGGAAUUGAUCACUGAGCUGAUUACAGACUAAUUGGGAAUUUGCUCAGAUUUCUAUCCUUUUUGUUCGUAGUGCGUGUGCAAACCCCAGCCCAGUGAUGAAAGCUUCAUAUUCAGCUCGGUUAUUCGUAAGCUGAAAUUUAAAUUUCACUGCAUAAGAUACAUCGGCCCCUUCUAGGCUUCGUAUUACAAUUCCUGCUCCAGAUCCCUGUUUACUACGUGACCCAUCAAUUAUUACUAGCCACACCCCCUUUGAUUUCUCCUGCUUCACUGGUUGCUCCUCCCAAAUUUCCUCCCCUAAUUUAACACGGUCAACCAUAAAAUCGGUCAAGGCUUGGGCUUUGAUUGCUUCUCGGGGUUUGUAGGAUAGGUCGAAUUCGCUCAACUCCACGGACCAUUUACUAACCGACCAGAUGCAUCUAGUUUUAGAGCAUUUACCGAAGAGGCUGGUCAGUCAUCACAACUAUCGGGUGGGCCUGAAAGUAAGGUCUGAACUUGCGUGCUACUGUUAUUAAAGCUAGUGCCCAUUUCUCCAUUAGUGGAUAUCUGGUUUCUGCAUCUACCAGGGCCUUGCUAGUGUAGUACACAGGGUGCUGCUUUCCUUCCUCUUCUCUGACUAAUACCGAGCUGGUAGCCCAUUUAAAGACUGCCAAGUACAAAUACAGCUGGUCACCUUCUCCAGGAGUUGAUAGUACAAGGCGCGGGCUAAAUAUUCCUUCAGCUGCCCGAAUGCCUCCUCACAUUCUAACGUCCACUCCAUUUUCCUUCAAUUCUUUAUGAUUUGGAAGAAAUGGUGACAUUUAUCUGUGGCUCGCGAGAUGAAACGGUUCAAUGCUGCUAACUUCCCUGUAAGACUCCGUACCUCUUUAACUGUCCGGGGGGACUUCAUUUUUGUUACUGCCCGUACUUUUUCCGGGUUGGCCUCAAUCCCUCGAUGGCUCACCAUGAACCCCAAAAAUUUACCCGCGCUAACUCCAAAUGCACACUUUUCCGGAUUCAGCUUCAUCUGAUACUUCCUUAGCAGUUCAAAAGUCUCUUCCAAAUGCUUCACAUGAUCCUUCGGUUCCUUGGACUUUGUGAUCAUAUCAUCCACGUAUACCUCCAUAGUGUGACCGAUCAGUGGCUUGAAAAUCUUAUUCACCAACCUUUGAUACGUAGCCCCUGUGUUUUUCAGGCCAAAAGGCAUCACCUUGUAGCAAAAUAAACCCAUGUUAGUUAUAAAGGUGGUACUCUCCUCAUCUUGCUUGUUCAUGGGUAUCUGGUUGUAUCCCGAAAAGGCAUCCAUGAAGCUAAGCAGACUAUGACCUGCCGUUGAGUCCACCAACUGAUCUAUUUUAGGUACGGGAAAGCUGUCAUUUGGGCAUGCCAUAUUAAGGUCUGUGAAAUCCACAUACAUUAUCUAUUUCCCAUUGGCCUUCUUUACCAGCACUACAUUAGAAAUCCACUCCGCAUAUUUAGCCUCCCUUAUAAAUCCUGCUUUCAACAGCUUCUCCACCUCGGCAUUUAUGGCCUCGUACCUUUCCUAGUUAAAGCACCUCCUUUUCUGCAUCACCGGCCUUGCCCCUUUCUUGAUUGCCAACUUGUGGCAAGCUACCCCGCGAUCAAUUCCUGGCAUGUCCUCAUGAGACCAGGCAAAUAUAUCUGCGUGGGACUAUAGGCACUUCACCAGCUCAUCUUUUAUUGCUUCACCUAAUCCUGACCCGAUCUUAAUCACUCUGCUCGGGUUAUUCUUGCUCACAAAAAUCUCCUCCAGUUUCUCGACAGGCUCUUGACGACCCUUCUUAGAAUCUCUUCGGUUAUCCAGAGAGGUAACAUGUAGCGUCUCCUUGGCCGCUGUUGCGUAACAGCUCCUUGCUAUUCUCUGGUCACCUUUUACUACGCCCACAACUCCGUUUACUCUGUAUUUCAAUGCUAGAUAAUGCAUGGAUAUAAUGUAUUAGCUUGCUCUCAUAAAAGGUCGCCCUAGUAUCAUCUGGUAGGGGUUUUUCUCUUCCACCACUACGAAGUCCAGCAUAAUUUUCUUUUUAGAUGACUUCGCUCCUACGGUAAUCGGCAGCUCUAUGAUCCCCAUAGAGGUCAACUGUCUUCCUCCAAAUCCCUUUAAGGAUGUGUUCGUUCGCUCCAAUUUCAAAUCUGCAAUCCCCAUAUCAUCUAGGGCCGACUUAAAUAAUAUGUCGACCGAGCUGCCUAUAUCCACCAAUAUUUGUCGGAAUUCCUUACCCGCCACUAUUACUUUAACUACCAGUGCAUCCUCAUGAGGGUAUAAAAUGCCCUCUUCAUUAUCAUCUGUCCACAUAAUGGGAACUUGUCUUACUUUCACCCUCUUGGUCGUUGGUAAGUUGAAAAGUACCUCUUUGCUGGUCAAAGCGUAUCUCUCAUAAUUCUUUCGUGCUCUGUUUGAGUCUCCAGCCAAUGUUGGCCCUCCUGUUAUCACCUGAAUAUUUAGCUGUUCCCGCUCUAGGCUCCUUUCAACUCCAUCACCCAGCGUAUAUUGUGAUUCAAUGACGGGGGAUACUCCAUCUACAUACUCAUCCAAAUACUGGUUCCUCACCAAAUCUUCCACUUGAGUCUUCAAGUCAUGAUAUUGGCUGAUAGUGUGACUAUGAGUGUCGUGAAAUUUGCAGAAUCUGUUCUUAUCAUGUCUAUGAGCGGGUUUUGUUAUAGGGGCAGGAGGGUACAGCAGGCAUCGUCCCUCGAUUCUCUCAUACAACUCCUCCAUAGAGACUUUCAGUGGGGGUGUACUGUUUGUACGCCAAGCUUUGGUCAAUCAGUUGGACCGUUCAGCUAUCGUGGGUAUCGUUCCGAGCUGGUAUUGUAGGUAGCUGGUUUGGUUGACCAGCCCUGGAGUUAACUAUAUGCAGUACCCUGGGAGCGCUGUGAUAAGGGUGGGCGACUAACUGCCUGAAUUCUCGUUGCCACUCGGGGAAUGAGGGGCGCGGAGGCUGAGCUCAGUUGUGUUGGAGCUGUUGCGGUCUCUGAGCCAUGGGAUAAGGGCGAGACCAAGCUGAUAUUCCACACAUCACUAGCGAUUCUCCAGCUCGCCUUCCUGAUCCGCUCCCGCUCAGGGUUCUUCAAUCUCCAUGUCUCUCUUUGCCUGCUCAUACCCCGUUGAAUAAUUCUGAACGAUGGGACUUCACAAGUUGUACCAUAAUCGGCCUAUUCUUACACCCUCUUUUAAUCCCCUUAACGCCUGCAGGUGAUUGAAAGCUCCCAGAUCAAGCACGGCCCAAUGGUAUCUUUUCACAAAAUCCUGAAGGGAUUCGUGUUCCUCCUGCUUCAUCCCCAUCAAAUCCAUCAUAUCGUCAUCUGGGCCUACUGAUUAUCGGAACAGUGUUGUGCAAAUUUUAAUGAACUCGCAAGCACACGAAUCUAUUGUAGUAUAGAUCAUUGGUAACGAGUGUCGAUCUCAUGAGGAGGUGGAUUUUAAUUGUGUAUAGAAUUGAUUUUGUAAAUGGGUGGUUGGAUUUGUGGUGGAAGUGAUUCAGAUUAUCCUAAAAUUGGAAUUAAAAUGGUGAAAAUAAUUUGAAGAGAAUUCUAUUGAAAUGACGUACUUGGGUAUCUGGAUCCGUAUCAACAUGCAUCAUGGGCUAAAUAUUCCUUAUUAAUACCAAUUAAAUCAUGAGGGGGGAAUCCACACCUCAUGAACCACGCUCUAAUCAAUAUGGUGUUAAGGGCUUAUCGUGCCAAAUAAUAAUAACCUGUACUAGAGAGCCGGUGUAACCAAGGCGGUAUCUAGACAAUACUAGUAUUAUUUGUCAACGAGAAGUCAAAACAUCCAAAAAAACUAGAGGGGAAGAGAAAAUAAAUUUACCAAAUAAAGCCCAUGACACAUGUUGAGACUUCACCUUCAACCCAAGCUUGAAAGAAAAUUAGCUACUCAUAAUUGAACUAGGGGCAAAAUGGGAAUUUAUUAAAAUACGUAGAAAAUACAAGAUGGAGAGAGAAUUACAGAAAAUGGAGUCCAAAAAUGGAUUUAGGGAUAUCAAAUUAGGGGGAGAGGCCCCCUUUUUAUAGAUACAUUGAGUAAAUCGUGGUCAUCGGAUAAAAAAUAGUUUGGACGCUCAGGAUUGCGCCACGUCAUCAGUCAACAGUCCGCGUGAACAGUACACGAUUUGACCACGCGGAUGAACAGUAACACAGUUUGACCCGGGUGAACAGUGACGCAGUUUGGUUGAAAAUGAUCCUGUGUGUUGCAUGUACCGUACAUGAGAUUUUUGAUCCACUGAUAUGCUGCCACGUCAUCGAUCAACAGUGCAUAAGAAUUUUAGUCCAACAGGAUCGUGACACCUCAUCAGUCAAUGCCACAUCAUCGGUCAAUGCCACGUCAUCGAUCCGUCUAUGUGAACAGUGCCGUGAACAGUAACGUAGACAGUACCCGUACAUGUGAAUAGUACCGUAUAUGUGAAUAGUAUUAUUUUUCUUUUUAUGCUCCUCCUAAGAUUUUUGACCGUCCUAAGUUCAAAAAUGAUGUCCGUUUUGCCAUCUGAUCUCUCGUUUAUUGUGAAAUGACUGUGAUACCCCUAAAAUACAUAAAAUACUUGAUUAAAAUAAAACACACGUAAUUAAAUUACAAGUAAGGGUUGUUAGUAAGACAUUUUCUAACACUCAACAAACAGCUCGGCCAACUCUUGGUAUAUCUGCUCGUAUCCCCUUAUACUUCCUCGUGGUAGCUUACGAUACCAUUCUCUGGCUCGUCCUUCUAGUGUCAAUGGGAACACCCUGCACCUCUGAGCUGCUGUUAGCCCCUGUAUGCCCGUCAUGUCAUUGAAGCACUCAAUGUGCACUAGCGGGUCGCUUCUCCCGGAGUACUUGAGGUUGGGAAAGCAGAAAUCUCUUGGGAUAAUAGUGCUUAUGAUCUCGGCUGAUAGCGGAGAUUCUUCAUCCAGCAUUAUCCUCCAGCUUGGAGGCUUUCUCUUGCCCUAUAUCUCAUCCAUCACCUGCGCUAGCCUGCGCACCUCACCUUCCAAUUCCAAAGCACGGUCAAGGUCGCGCGCAGCUACUUGAUCUCGCUCCUGCUCGGCAUUAUGCAGUCGCUGUCUGAGCUCGCCUUCGUCAACAUUUACUCCUCGGUCAUUGAUUUCUAGAACUCGCCCAAGGCGAGAUUGAUCUCUCCUUUCAUCCACACGCUCCCCGGGGAUCCGACCAGCACUUCUAUGGGGAUGUAUCCCAUAGGGUUGUUCUACUAGCGGAGGGAUCUCCUCGAUUCUACGCCUUCGUAGGUUGGGUUCCGCCAUAGUUUCAUCCCUUACCACAGUGGUCUCGCCUUCCCUUCUCCGCUCAUCCCUAAAGUCAUAUAAUAUAGCUGUGAGCGUCUCCAUUUGGUUUGCCAUCUGUUCCAUUCGGUCUUGCAUCAUCCUCUCUCUAGCUUCAUUCGCGAUCUCUCGGAGAGUGAUCGAUUCACCAGUUUCAUUGUCGCCCCCUAAGGCGUCCUUCCUUGUCAUAUCCAUAACUAAUCGUUCACUGCGUCUCUGGUGAUUACUAACUUGAUGGUAGCUUUUUAUCCAGCUCCCUACAGACGGCACCAAAAUGUUGAUGCUGAAACAUGCUUGCCCUCUGCCCGGCCAGAUCGUUCCACUAACGUUUGUGUAUUCAAUGGAGAGGAUACUGCCCUUUUGCCUCCUUCAGCAACUACGGAUGCUCCAGGGGUUGGAAUUACCUUUUUCCCUUCUUUCUAAUCCUGCACUCACAGAGAUAGAUAAGAGACGCCGGUGGUUUUAUCGGCGUAAACCCUCCGAUGCUUAAGUUAGCACAAGAUGUUUUACGAGAAAAUUAUGUAACUUGGAUUGUUUGGUUUCUUGUAAUGCUUUCUAAAACUUGUAAAGAAUAUAAUCUGGUUUUAAUUUGGCAGAGUUUUCCUUUUUCUCUCAAUUUUCCAUCCCCUUUUUCAUCGGUUUUCCAGCUUCUUAUAGCUGUUGUCCCACGUUCCUGUCUACUCCUCAUGCCCCCCCUUUUAUUGGGUGAUGGCAGGCCUUCAUGGGCCUCCAACCACUGAAUUGUGGGUAAACGUGGGAUGACAUGUCCCUCUCGAUGGUUUAGGGCAUAGCGAAACUGCCGCAUUUUCGUGAGAUCGUGUCCUCCUUCUUUGGGUGAUGGGUAUCUGGUCGGUAUAUGUCUCUAGUUGAUACAUUCCUCUGGUCAAUGCUCGUCUCUAGUAGGCCCACGUUUGUAUGAGGCAUUUUACCAGGGCUCUUCUCGUGCCGCUGAGGUGAUUCGCCUCGGGGUGGGAAAUAGGGGCAUGGCCGAGCUGGUGCUCUUUAUUACUUAACAACUGUCUUUGAAAAUUUUGGCUAAGUUAGUAGGCCACAAAAUUUUAUUAACCAUCUAUGCAAUUAUAGAGCAAUCCCCUCCAAAUAGAAUGAUGCCAAUUGUAUUUAUUGUUCUAGGACUACAUUCUCAAAUCCGAAGAAUUAUUCCACCUUAUGAAUCCAACCAGUCGGAUCAUCUCCGUUGAAAUUUGGAAAGUUUAGUUUGAGAUAGUGGUGAUGGUUGGGAAAGUUUGAGGAGAAAGGUUUUAUGGCUUGGUUAGAGGAUGUUGUAGCCUGUAGGUGCAAAGGGGUUAAUUUCAGAGGCAAUUAUGUGUGAGGUUUGUGAUGCACGAAGAGAUUGAAGAUUUCUUGAACCUCAUUACGAAACUCAGCAUUUGAUUGACUUCGGGUAGCCGUAUUUCGAGCAACCUUUGUUUGAUACCAGAUGAUAGGUAAUUUCUUAGUUUAGAAAGGAAAGUAUGAAAAGUAGAGGAAGAAUAUAAGUUGUUUAGAAGGAAAAAGAUAAUUUUUAUUCCAAAAGCAUGCCCACUAUAAAUCCAAUAAUUUCUCUUAAAUAAACCUAUACAUAUACCAAAAACUAAAAAACUAGAAAAGAGGAAAAUCACUUGAAAAUAAGAACAUGAUCAAUUAAAACGGUAACAUGCACAACCGCCACGAAUCAAAACCAAUCGAUUUUAAAUAGUAUGAAUUGAAAUCAAAUUAAACCAAACCAAACUAAAUCGGACCGAACCGAAAUAUUAGGUUCGGUUCUAAAUUUUGGUUUGAUUUUGGUUCAGUUCUAAAUUUUCGGUUCGAUUCUAACUUGUUGUUUUAACACCACGAUUUAUGUUCGUUGGAAGUAUCUUCCUCGUCGUCCAAAAUUCAUCCCACUUGCAGCUCAUUCUCUCAUGCAAUCCCUCAUCUUCUGUAGUGAUUUGAUUGCUCUGAUAACUAUAAGCAAUAAACCACUGCCCAAGAAAUUUUGCCAAGAACAAUUCAAGAUGAAAAUAAGCCAAUGAUUGAUUUAAAGUUCUAAUGAUGAAACGAAACCUUAGCUCUAGGUUAAUGGAGAUUUAACAAAAGAUUGAAACAAAUCAAGAAGCAAACACACUCAAUGCAAAGACAGGAUUUUAAUGUGGUUCAAUUAUGCACAAAGUUCAUAAUCUACAUCCGCGGGAGAAGCCACAAAAAUCUCUUUAUUGAUGAUUCAAGAUGAAUUUUAUUGAGAAAAUACAGAGAUCGUUACAAGGAACAAGAUUACUCUUUCUCACUUUCUAGAAACUCUCUGAAAAGCUCAAUCACACACACGUAAUCUGCUUCAACAACCAGCCUCUUUAUACUCUCUUAUGAAAACCCAGAUUGCACAGCCCUUUGACACGUGUGUAACAGCUUCUAACGACUUGAUUCCUCCCUCACAUGCUAGCUCACGUGUUUUACUUAAGUUUCCUAAAAACGACACAAAGCAAUGUCGUUCUGCCUUAUGCUGAAGAGCCCGUGACUGCACGUGAGUUGUAAGUAAUUCCAACUGAUCAAAACGCAAUCGUUUUGGGACUCUGAGUUUUGAAUUCAUAACACUCCGGUCCACAUCUUCCUCACCCACUAAUAUAAACAAAGCACAAAACAAUUCCAAUCUCAGAAUUAAGAUCAUGCUCAGACAAAUCCUUAAGCCCAUCAGCGAUCUAUCGUCUACUGCGAGCUAAUCGAGAGUGCCAUCUAAUACGAGGUGGCUGAGAGACCGUGAGAGUGAGAUGUUGACCAGAGAUAGACAUAGUGAGAGUGAGCGUGGUUGCGUGAGUGUGGAAGAAAGGGGAUGCUGCUAUGCUGCGUGUUGUGCUUGAGAGUGAGCAUAGUUGCAUGAGAGAGAGAGGGGCUACUGCUAUGCUGUACUUGAGAGUGAGGGUGGUUGCAUGAUAUCUGCUCAAUAUGUAUGGGAUGAAGUUUCUGAUGGGUAAAAAUCAUGUUUUUAAAUUUUUAUAAAACCUUUUUAAGAUCGCUUUCAUAUAAUAUAUAAGAAUUUGUAAUCUAGAAAUCAUACCUUGAAAAUCCGAUUUAGCUUUUUCCGCUGGAAUGAUUUAGGCUCCCAGAUCACGAUCCAUCACCACCACUCCUGUUAGAUUACGAUCCGUCACCACCACGCUUGUUAGAACACGAACUGGCACCAAUGAUCUUCCAGGUUAUGACUCAAGUUUGAUCUGCACUUGACGUGUGGGCGCCUUUAUCACUACCAAAGCAACUAGCACAAGAAAACUUUUCUCUCAACAAUAGAGAGAAAAAUCUUUUUCUCUGAUCUGUAUAAAGUGCCUGCUCCCUUUUUCUUUAGAGAAAAUAAGCAUUUUAUAUCUCCCUUUAGUGAAAACCCUAAGCUCCAAAAAAUCAAAAAACAAAACUCACGUUACUUGCUUUUUCUAUAGGGGACACACCUUGUAAAAUAACAUAAUAGCCCUUACACACAAGCGAAUUAAAUGGAGCCUCCCACUAAAAGAUAUAUUUAGGCUUUUGACCCAAAUAGCUUAUCUUACUUAUUAGUCCAGUAGUGGUGCAUUCAAUUAAAUGAGCUAACCCGGGGAUCAUUUGGGAACAUACAAUAGUGGCUAUAACAAUUAGACCUGUAAUUAAACUAGCCUAAUUAUUUAAUUCCAAAUCUACUCCACUAAAAGAUUGGAAUUGACCUCCAUAAUUGUAUGCUCGAAUAAUAAUUUGUCCCAAGUCUAAUUGAUUUCUUUACUGCACAAUCCUUUGUAUCACAUCGUUAAUUCAAUUGAUAUCUCAACUGUCCAAUCAAUUUAAUAACAUCUUGUUCCUUGAUACUUAUUGGUUUUCUCUAAUGAUCAUUUUCAACAUACUAAAUAUGUUGACACACUCUGGCCAAAGAAUUCUAUGAUCAAGUGCCGAAAACCCAUCAAGAGAUGUAUUGUACAAAUUCUAUAUUGUUAAUCCAUAACUCCAAUACUCAUAAUUGCUCCCACCAAGAUACCGGGUAAUCUUGACCACAAGAAUGUGUCGUGCCCAUUGGUAACUCAAAUGGAAUAACAAUUACAAUCAUGAAAUCAUAAUUAACUCAAGAUUAAGAUUACAGUAAAAUCAAUAGAUUUAAUAAGUCUGACAGUCAUUUCAAUGUUAAUUAAAUCUCAUAUGUGAUCCUGUUCAAUGUAGUCGUACUACAUUAAUAAAUUCAUACAUGAUUAAGACAAAUCAUUCAAUGAAUUCAUUACAGUCUAUACUUAAAUAAAGUGCCCAACUUUAUUUAUCAACUGCGAACUAAAUUUAUUUAAUCAUAAGAUAACUUAUAUUUAUGUCUUCUGUGAAUCCACAUGGUGAUCACAUAAAUACAUAUAAUAUGAUUAAAUGGACUUUGAUCAAAAUAUUAAUGCAAUUAAGAUAUUUGAAUAAAAUACCUCAUUAAUUUUAUUAGUCAGAAAAAAUGUUUAUUAUAAUUAAAUAAACACAUAUACUUUUAAAGAGUAUAUUUUCCCAACAGUUUCUUCAGUUGGUUAUUUCACUUAGUCAAAAUAAAUUAUAGUAGUGGUUGCAUACCUGACUUUGGAGGUAAGGCUGGAGGCAAACUUCUACAUUAAUUUAUAACUUGUUUCACAACAUAUUACGGUUAUAAAUGAGACUUAAUCCAAAGACGGAAAGAGAGAAAUUUGCUACACUCUUUAGUAUCCAUUAUUGAGAAAAACACCAAAAUUAACUUUUACUUCUUUAAAAUCAUUUUUGAAACCUCCCAAAAGAUAUCUCAAAUGGGUUCUCAAUUUUUUAAAACAUUACUUUUGGCUAAACACCCCAUCCUCCAGUAGAUUUUGAAAAUGUCAAAAUGUAUAAGACACUCAUCCAGUGGGGGUUUCACAGGCUUACCUCUCUUAGAAGUCUUUGCAUUCUUGGAUGUCAUGAAGCAGAGUGUUUUCCAGACGAGAAGAUAGGAAUGACGCUGCCCAAUUCUUUAACUUGUCUGUCCUUUCGAGGAUUCAAAAACACAUUUAAGAAAUUGGCAAUUUGUUGUUAGUCACAGUAUCUGAUGUUCUUUUCUUUUAUAGUUUGCAGAAUCAACUGUAUUAUAUGUUGUCAUUUGCAGUAUCUGAGGUGCCUUUUGCAUUUUACUUGACCUUUAUUUGUUUUGCUAGUGACUGAAGAAUACCAACAUUGGUUAGAGAUUUGGAGAAGCAUCUGAAGAGGCUUGACAAAGUUGGAGAUGCACUUGCUCCCAAGCCUUCAAUCAUCACAAUGCAAAUCCGAUGAGUACUUAUGCCGGCAAUUAUGUAAAAUAUUUGAAAUUUUGAUUCAGGGAAAUGGUUUGUUGAUGCAAAGCUUUAAACUGUUAAGACUUACCUAGCAGGCCUGUUGGAUGUUGUAUCAACUCCAAAAUCCAACAAGAACUACGGCACCAAGACCCAUUUUUUACUGAUUCAAUCAGCUGAAAUGAUGAGGCAAAUCCCACGUGUUCGAAUCAGUCAUCCAUUUCAUGAACUGUUAUUUUCAUGAUGCUGGCUAUUGGAGUUGAAGAGGAAACAAGGAUGUGUUGGAAUCAAUGAGAACAGUGGGAAGCAUGACUCGAGCUCUGAUUAUAAAUAGACAUUUUAAAAACAUGUGCUGGUAAGUGGUGAUUAAAGAAAUUUGUGAGCUUAUUCAAGUUUCAGUAUUUGCUGUUUGGAUAAAGCUGAUACCAAGUUUGGCAAAAUCUGUGCUUUCUUUGUUCAAUCUGUGUUAUGGUUAAAGUAGAUGCUCUGAUUAAUAAGCCAGCCUACGAUAGCUGGCUCUAAUAAUCGGCUUCCUUUUUCUUGUUUGCUGUUGUAUAUUCUUUCAAUUUUUUUUCCGCAUUAGGACGAUCAGUUGAAGAACAAGUUUAUGUUUGACGAUGCAUUUAAGGAAGAGCCAGACUUGGAUGCAGAUCUGAAAAGGUUAGCAUGAACGAAAACCUUCAGAACUGACUGAAGGUUUCUGAGUUGAUCCUAAAAAUGUAGCAGUUGUCUGUUUCAUAAAGCAGAACAAAAACAGAAUAAGAGAUCACUAAUCAUGCUUGAGAAUUCAUUUAAAUAAAAUUUCAAAAAUUGCCAAACACAGCAUAAACUAGGAUGCACUUGCUUAAGAUUCAUUUUCAGAAGGAAGUUUGUACUUGCAGCUCAUAAAAUCAUGUUUAUGUUGUAUGUUUAUUCAGCAAAUGAAAGAUUCCAAGUUUGCUGAAACCAUAUUAUUUUUUUACCAGGCGCCUUCCUGAAGGUAUCGACGUCAAUUUCAAAAAUGUUGGGGAUAAGUUGCUUGAUGCAGUGCUACACAAAUAUGAAGGAUUUCUUGUCGGUGAUUACUACCACCUCGAUAAAAAAAUUCAUGGAACUGGUCAUGCCGGCAAUAAAAGAAGGAAAGGUGGUAUACGUCGAAGACAUAGAUGAAGGCCUCGAGUCCAUCAGCCCUCGUUGGGCUAUUCACUUGUCGGAAUGUCAGGAAACAACUUGUUGAAGUUGCGUGGGAAUUUUAAAACUACCAUAUGUUGUAGAAAUGCACUGAGCCAUGUGCUUUCAGAGCUUUGUGAAGAUGUCUUGGCCAUGUGUUUGAUACAGGUUAUGCUUGUUCCAUUAAAUUGUAUGCACUUAUAAAUCAAAGAUUCAGAACAUGUGUAUGUUACUGGUUUCCAGAAUCCAGAUCAAUAAAUGCCUCCAUGUAGAAGUUCAAAUUUUAAAUUUUUUGAAGUAGAGGUGUAGAGUUUCUUUUUUCAAAAAAGAAAAAGUAAAUUCUGAAGACUUUCUUUAUUUAAUUUUACAAUCUUAUUUUAUUUCUUUUACGAUAUAUUUUUAAAAUACUUAUUUAGUAAAUUAUUAACAUCUAUACCACUAAAAGAUUUUUUUUGUUAAACGCUCUACUUACAAAGUUAUAUUAAUUAUAGAUUUACUCAAAGAAGCCCUAUUUAAAAAGUUACAGCAAAAAAAGUCAUAGUUACCUUUAGUAAAUAAUAAUCUUCUAAUCUGUCUUACAACGGACUUUUGACAAAAGUGUGCUACUCCCACCUCCUCAAAGUCCACCCGACACCCCGUCUUCUCUAUUUAAAAUUUUAUAUAGUUGAAAAUUAUAUUUUCUUUUACUUGACGCCCCUCCAAAUUCUAAAACUUAGCUUCGAUGAACCUUCUUCGUUAAAUCUCGUUGCUUUCCUUUUUUCUUGUUACUUGAGAAGAAGAACCAGAGUCUAGAAGAAUGAAAGAAAAUUCAGCGUGAUAGAAAUUUAGAAAUUUCAUCCGAUCUUUUUUUCUUAAAUUUUUUGGUAUUUUGAUUCGUUCAAUGGAUUCUUGAUCAUUCUUCAUUCUUUCUAGUUUCUACCAUGAUUCGGAAAUUUUUCUUAAAAAAACUACUACUCUUGUGUAUUUAAAAAAAAAGGAAAGAAAGAAAAAAGGCAUUAAUAAAGAAUUGCGCACGUAACAUUAUUAGUACCCUGUUGAUUGGUCGUUUGGUCUUCAAGAAAUGCUAGUUAAUAUGUGCUUGAAAUUAUAUUCUGCUUUUUUUUUCCCUAUGUAUUGUUUCCCGUUUGAUUACAUUUCAAACAUUUUUAACACGAAUGAAUGUUUUAACCAUUUUUGUCACUUCAUUAUUACAAUAAGCUGAUUGAAGUUAUCUGCGUUGGCCCUGAAAAUGUAAUGGACACUACUCCGUUUACAUAAAACAGGACAAAACAUCGAUAUUUCUACCAUUGCCAUACAUAGUAUAGCCUAGGAAUACAUUUCCAUAAUUAAUAUUUAUUUCAGAAGGAACUUUUCACUUGCAGCUAACAGAAUCAUGUUAAAUUUAUGAUGUAUGUUUAUUUGGGAGAUGAAAGAUUCGCUGCAUUAUUUUAUUCCAAGUUUGCUGAAAUCAUAUUUGUUUUCCCGGCUGCUUUCCUGAAUGUAUCGACAUCUAUUUCGAAAAUGUCGGGGGUAAGAUGCUUGGUGCAGUGCUACUCAACAUGAGAAUUCAUCUUCUAACUCGUUACCUGAUAUUAUUGUCUUCUUGAAAAUUUAAUUAAGCUUAGAAGUCCCUUAACCACAAAAUCAAUGGAGUUUAACUCUAUCGAUAGACAACUUUUAAGUAAUAAACCAACACAUGAGUUCAUCUCUAUUGAUACUCAAGUUCUAAGUCCCUUAUUCAAUACUAAAAUCCAUGAGAAUUAAACUAACCGUAGUUUAACAUGUGAUUAACAAAUGGUAAAAGGUUCAAAAAAUACAUCAAUUAUAAAAGAAAUAAAAUCAGCAAAGAGACCACAUCAGAAAUUUCUUAGAUGUCCGAAACUAUUAAAAGAAUUCACAUACCAAAUCAAAAAAAGUAGAAAAUGCUUAAGCUCCUUAAGGUAAUUUGAAGUAUGAAAGUGAAUGGCAUAUAAUCCAAUAUAAAAAAAAAAUGGUUUUAGUGCCGUAUAAAGAGAAGUUAAUGGUGGUUACAGAAGUGGGGAAAGUUGAGUACAAAUCAGAUAAUGGGAGGUUCCUAAACUUCCUUAAAUCAAUUUUAAUUUCAAAAAUAAAAUAAUAAAAAAUAAAAAAUAGCAUAAAAGAAAUAAGAUAAAAAUUACUUUUCUAAAAUUGCAUGCAAGUAUACAAAAAUAACAUAUGUUGAUAUUACAUCGAGAAAGGUCCAUCAGCCCUAGUUGGGCUAUUCACUGCAUAGAAUGUCGGAGAACAACUUGUUGUGGUAGCUGUUGGGAAAAUAUGCUCUUUAAAAGCAUGUGUGUUUAUUUAAAUGUAAUAAACAUUUUUUCUGAUUAAUAAAAAUAAUGAGGUAUUUUGUGCAAAUAUCUUAAUUGCAUUAAUAUUUUUAUUAAAGUCCAUUUAAUCAUAUUAUAUGUAUUUAUGUGAUCACCAUGUGGAUUCACAGAAGACAUAAAAUACAAGUUAUCUUAUGAUUAAAUAAAUUUAGUUCGCAGUUGAUAAAUAAAGUUGUGCACUUUAUUUAGGUAUAGAUUGUAAUAAAUUCAUUGAAUGAUUUGUCUUAAUCAUGUAUGAAUUUAUUGAUGUAGUACGACUACAUUGAACAGGAUCACAUAUGAGAUUUAAUUAACCUUGAAAUGACUGUCAGACUUAUUAAAUCUCAUUGGCAUUGAUUUUACUGUAAUCUUAAUCUUGAGUUAGUUAUGAUUUCAUGAUUGUAAUUGUUAUUCCAUUUGAGUUACCAAUGGGCAUGACACAUACAUGUAGUCUAGAUUACUCGGUAUCUUGGUGGGAGCAUUUAUGAGUAUUGGAGUUAUAGAUUAACAAUAUAGAAUUUGUACAACACAUCUCUUGAUGGGUUUUCGGCACUUGAUCAUAGAAUUCUCUAGCCAGAGUGUGUCAACAUAUUUAGUAUGUUGAAAAUGAUCAUUAGAGAAAACCAGUAAAGAUCAAGGAAUAAGAUGUUAUUAAAUUGAUUGGACAGUUGAGAUAUCAAUUUAAUUAACGAUGUGGUACAAAGGAUUGUGCAGUAAAGAAAUCAAUGUGGCUUGGGACGAAUUAUUAUUCGAGCAUACAAUUAUGGAAGUCAGUUCCAAUCUUUUAGUGGAGUAGAUUUGGAAUUAAAUAAUUGGGCUAGUUUAAUUAUAGGCCUAAUUAUUGUAGCCACUAUUGUAUGUUCCCAAAUGAUCCCCGGGUUAGCUCAUUUAAUUGACUGCACCACUACUGGACUAAUAAGCAAGAUAACUAGCUAUUUGGGUCAAAAGCCUAAAUAUAUCAUUUAGUGGGAGGCUCCAUUUAAUUAGUUUAUGUGUAAGGGGUCUUAUGUUAUUUUACAUGGUGGGUCCCCUAUAAAAUAAAAAGUAACGUGAGUUUUAUUUGUGAGCCUAGGGUUUUCACUAAAGGGAGAUAUAUAAGGCUUAUUUUCUCUAAAGAAAAAGGUGAAGCCACUUUAUACAGAUCAGAGAAUAAGAUUUUUCUCUCUAUUGUUGAGAGAAAAAUUUUCUCGUGCUAGUUGCUUUGGUAGUGAUAAAGGCGCCCACACGUCAAGUGCAGAUCGUACUUGAGUCAUAACCUGGAAGAUCAUUGGUGACAGUUCGUGAUCUAACAAGCGUGGUGGUGACGGAUCGUGAUCUAACAGGAGUGGUGGUGGCGGAUCAUGAUCUAGGAGCUUAAAUCACUUCAGCGGAAAAAGCUAACUCGGAUUUUCAAGGUACGAUUUCUAGAAUACAAAUUCUUAUAUAUUAUAUGAGAGCGAUCUUCAAAAGGUUUUAUAAAAAAUUUAAAAACCUAAUUUUUCCCCAACAAUUGGUAUCAGAGCCAUCUCAUAUUAAUAUAUAAGAAUUUCGUAUGAAAUUAAUCUUGAUAUUUAUGUAUUAGAGUGGCACAAUUUAUUCAGAUAUAUAUUAUUUGUUUAAUAUAUGAAUAAAGCAUGUUUAUGGUUUGUCUUAAUUCAUGGUUAGAUUUUCUGUUGUAUUUUUCGUUUGGAUCUUUAACAAGAGGGGUGGUUUUUAUCACAAUGUUUCCCUCUUGAUUUAUUUUACUGUUAUAGAAUUUUUGUAAGCCAAAAAUUGGCCUAGGAAAUUUGUAAAUAAAUCACGGAUGACAAAUCAAAGCGACGGAGGCCGGAAAUUUCGACAUCGACCGCUGACCAGCGCACUCGCUACAACCAACGAGCGGCACACGCUGCAAGCGCAUGCUGGCAGUGCGCGCAGCAAGCAGCGCGCGCGGCCAGCCUGGCCAGCGGCGCGCGUUCCAGCAAGCAGCGCGCGCAGGGAUGGUUUGUUUCCGGCAUAUCGGCAACGGCAAACUCGACGUUGAUAGCGGCUGUCCGAUGAGAUUGGCCUGAACAGUGGCCGUUUGUGGAGAUGGCGACUGGGGAAGAAGAAAGAAAGAAAAAUAUGGAUUUAGGGUUUCAUGGCUUUUAUCAUGGAGAUCCCUAUGGUUCCAUAAUUUUUCACUUGGGCAAUUAAGUUUUAAUUUUUUGCAUUUAAGUCUAAAAAUAGUUUUCGGCUUAAAGAAUCCUAGUUUUAGGUCCAAUUGAAAUUUGGGCUUAAUGGAUUAAAAAUGCAUAGAUAAAAUUAAAUACAUUAAAAUUUAUUUUUGGUCCAAAAGUUUUAUUUUAAUAAAAAAAAUUAUUUAUUUAUUUAUUUCCUUUAAAAAUUAAAAUUGGACCAAUUAGAAAUUAUUUAUUUAUCUCUCAUUUGUACUUGGGAGACAGUCUAUUGUAAGUAGUGUGUAUUUUUGCAUGUCUAGGAAAGUUCUGUCAACAAAGGCGAUAAGUGUAUAAGGAUUCUGGUUUUUAAUUGGGACCAAGUUCCCAUCUAGUUUCCUGGAAACUUUCUUGGUGCAUUUAUUCACGCGAAAUUAACAUCAUAGAGACUGUUUUUCAAGUGAAAAUAGUUCGUUGAGAAAAUGGUAGAAGGUGAAACUUUCAAAAUUGGGGAGAGAUCUACCGAGACUAUUUCAGGAGACACUUCAGGUGGGAGGCGAGAUUUGUCAAAUCGCUAUUCAGCACCUGUAUAGAAGGCCAGAAGAUCGAUGUUGAAAAGUUUGAUGGGAAAAUCAACUUCGGCAUGUGGAGGCGCGAAGUUAUGGAUGCCCUUAUUCAAAUCGAUCUCGAUGUUGUUCUGAAAAAUAAAAGACACUUGUAUGAUGAAGAAAUUUGGGAUCGUAUGAAUGAAAAAGCAUGUGGUCAGAUCAGAUCUUGUUUGACCAAGGAGGUGAAAUACUUGGUGAAAGAUGAGGAGUGUGCGGUGACUUUGUGGCGUACAUUGGAGGAGAAGUACCUGGUGAAAAGUCCUGAAAAUCGCCUUCAUGCAAUGAGCCAAGUAUAUGGCUUUCGAAUAAAGUCUGGGGUGUCAAUGCACGAUCAUGUUUUAAGAUUUGAAAAGUUACUUGCUGAUUUGAAGAAUCUUGAUGAAGAUAUUAAGGAUGAAGUCAAGGCUAUGAUUCUGUUACACUCACUACCAGAGGAAUAUAGCCAUUUUGUGACUACUUUAAUAUAUGGGAAGAGUGUGAUCAUCUUUAAAGAUGUUUGCACAACAUUGACUAGCUUAGAGAUUCGAAAUAAUGAUAAAAAUUCUAAACGAGCAUCGUCUGAAGCUUUGGUGAGUAGAGAUUGGGCGAUGGAGAAACAAAAGAAGCGUGGUGGAAAGAAUUCUCGAUCCAAAUUGAAAAGCAGAAAUAUAGCUCGAGAUGAGUGUGCCUUUUGUCAUGAAAAGGGCCAUUGGAGGAAAGAUUGUCCAAAGGCUCAAAAGAGAGAUGGGAAGAAACCAGCAGCAGCAAACAUGGCACGGAAAGAUGAGGGCUCUGAUUAUUCACUAAGUAUUACUCUUGCAGCAUACGUGGCUAGUUCGAGUGAGUGGAUACUUGAUACUGGAGUGGUUUACGGAUUUUUAUCAUUUGUGUCCUAUUAAGGAAUGAUUUACGGAUUUUCGUAAUCUGGAAUCCGGUGCAGUUGUGAUGGGGAAUGAUCAACCUUGUCGCACAAUGGGGAUAGGAACAAUUCGGCUCAAAAUGUUUGAUGAAAUGAUCAGAGAACUCAAAGAGGUUAGAUUUGUUCUAGCUUUAAAGAAAAAUCUAAUUUCUGUGGAUUUCUGUGGGUGCUUUGGAAGCUAAAGGCUACAAGGUUACCAUUGAAGAUGGUAUAAUGAAGUUUACACAUGGGGCUAUGGUGAUUCUGCAAGGGGUUCGGUGUCACAAUCUGUACUAUUUGAAGGGAGGUACAACUGAUGAAGCAAAUGUUGUUAAGGCGCACAGUGACACCACCAAGCUAUGGCAUGUACGAUUGGGACAUGCUGGAGAGAAGUCUUUGCAAACUCUGAUGAGGCAUGGACUCUUAAAAGGUACCAAAACCUGUAAAUUAAAUUUCUGUGAGCAUUGUGUAGUAGGCAAGAAAACAAGGGUCAAGUUUGGUAUAGUUAAUCACGAUACUCGUGAGAUUCUUGAAUAUGUUCAUAGUGAUGUAUGGGGACCAACCAAGACUGCAUCAAUUGGUGGAAGCCAUUACUUUGUUACAUCUAUUGAUGAUUUCUCUAGACGUGUGUGGGUGUACACCAUGCGAGCAAAGGAUGAGGUUCUAGAGAUUUUCGUGAAAUGGAAGAAAUUGGUGGAGACUCAAACUGGCAGAAAGAUCAAAGUAUUACGAUCUGAUAAUGGGGGUGAAUAUACUUCUGAUCCAUUCUUACAAGUAUGCCAGAACGAGGGUAUUAAAAGACAUUUCACGGUGAGACAUACUCCGCAACAGAACGGUGUGGUUGAGCGUAUGAAUCGUACUUUACUGGAGAAGAUACGGUGUAUGUUAUCUAAUGCUGGUUUAGAUAAAAAGUUUUGGGCUGAAGCUGUGAGCUACGCAAGUCACUUGGUAAACCGGUUGCCUUCUGCUGCAAUUGGAGGUAAAACUCCUAUGGAAAUGUGGUCUGGAAAGCAUGCACAAGACUAUGAUUCCCUUCGUGUAUUCGGGUGUUCAGCUAAUCAUCAUGUCAAAGAUGGUAAACUGGAUCCUCGUGCUAGAAAAGCUAUCUUUGUGGGAUUCAAAGGUGGAGUAAAGGGCUUUAAGCUUUGGGAUCUCGAAGACAAAAAGUUUGUGUGUAGCAGAGAUGUCACAUUUGAUGAAGCUUCAAUGAUGAAAGCGUCAAGUUCUCAGCAGGUGGAGAACAAGACCAAAAAGGUAUUGCAGCGGGUGGAGUUUGAUGCAACUCCAUAUGUACCAGUUAGUUCUACAUCAAAUAAGAGUUCAACUAUGGAGGUGACACCUAGAGUUGAAGAAGAGGUCAUUUUUUCUGAUGUCUCACAAAAUGAAGAAACAAUUGAUGAUGUAGAUAAUGAUGAUUUUAUAGCAACAAGGAGGCCAAGAAGAGAGAUAAAGAAACAGGGAUGGCUUACUAAAGAUAUGGUGGUAGCAUAUGCACUUCCAGUUAUUGAUGAUGACAUCCCCAACACUUUUUGUGAAGCAUUACGCAGCAGUGAAAGUGAUCAGUAGAAGUUAGCCAUGGAGGAAGAGAUGAAAUCUCUCCAUCAAAACCAGACUUGGGAACUUGUAAAGUUACUAAAUGGGAAAAGGGCUAUUGGUAAUAAAUGGGUCUACACCACAAAGCAAGGAUCUCCGAAUCAAACAACUCCUCGAUACAAGGCAAGGCUCGUGGCAAAAGGUUUUGCUCAAAAGGAAGGUAUUGACUACAAUGAAGUUUUCUCCCCAGUUGUAAAACAUACUUUCAUUCGUAUCCUACUUGCCGUCGUUGCAGAAUAUGAGUUAGAGUUGGCUCAAUUGGAUGUUACGACGGCGUUCUUACAUGGAGAUUUGGAAGAGGAAAUCUAUAUGAUUCAGCCUUGUGGUUUCAAAGUUGCUGCAAAGGAGAAUCAUGUGUGUAGGUUGAUUAAAUCUUUGUACGGACUGAAGCAAUUGCCAAGGCAGUGGUACAAAAGAUUUGAUCAAUUUAUACAAGGGCAGAAAUUCACCAGAAGUGAACACGAUCAUUGUGAUUACUUUAGAAGACUACCAGAUGGAGCUUUCAUCUAUUUGUUACUCUAUGUCGAUGAUAUGCUUAUAGCUUCGAAGAAUAGAGAUGAGAUCGAAAGAUUAAAGAAGCAGCUGGCUUCUGAGUUCGAGAUGAAAGACUUGGGUGAUGCACAGAGAAUACUUGGGAUGGAGAUUCGUAGAGACAAGAAGAAUGGGAGCGUAUGAUUGACUCAAAAGUCUUAUUUGAAGAAAGUGCUAGAAAGAUUCAGUAUGGAUGACAAAACUAAACCGGUAUGUACACCUCUAGCUCCUCAUUUCAAAUUAAGCUCUUCUUCAUGUCCUAGAUCUCAAGAAGAGCGCGAUUACAUGGCUCGUGUUCCAUAUGCUAGUGCUGUGGGUAGUCUUAUGUAUGCUAUUGUAUUCACAAGGCCCGAUAUAUCUCAAGCAGUGAGCAUGGUUAGUAGAUACAUGCACAAUCCGGGUAAAAAUCAAUGGCUUGCGGUAAAGUGGAUUCUCCGAUAUUUGUAUGGGACAGUUGAUGUUGGGUUAUUAUUCAAGAAAGAUUGUGGUCAACAAUGUGUUGGGUAUUGUGAUUCUGAUUUCGCUGGAGACCUUAACAAGAGAAGAUCAACAACGGGCUACGUAUUCACAUUGGGUGGAGGUCCGGUUAGCUGGAGAUCGAUUCUACAAUCGACAAUUGCUCUAUCCACUAUGGAAGCAGAGUAUAUGGCAGCAAUUGAAGCUGUAAAAGAAGCUAUCUGGUUGAAAGGCUUGUUAGGUGAUUUGGGAGUAAUCCAGGAGAACAUUACGAUCUUCUGUGAUAAUCAAAGUGCGAUAUUCCUUGCAAAGAAUCAAACAUAUCACGCUCAGAUGAAGCACAUAGAUGUGAAAUAUCAUUAUGUGAGGGAGAUUAUCGAGAGCGGUGUUGUGUUGUUGAGAAAGAUCGAUACCAAAGAUAAUCCAUCAUAUAUGUUAAUGAAGGUAGUUUCUGGAGUUAAGUUUCAACAUUGCUUGAAACUAAUUCAAAUCCUUCGAUUGUGUUAAGAUAUGUCCUUCGGAAAUUUUGAACUACGGUUGGCUUGAUCCCAAAUUUUGGGUACGUUUGGCAGUCACAGAGAUACAGCCACUUUGCGGAUGAUGAUUGGUUGGGAGUCGGCUCAGAUUUGAACAAACCUUCGCCGAGGUGGAGAAUUGUUGAAAAGUCAAAGAAUUGCUUGCCAAUUUCAAAAGCAAAGUUGGUGGGUUUGCCAAAUUCAAAAAAACAAAGUUGGCCGGCUUGCUAAUUUCAAAAGGCAAAGUUAGGUGUUGAAAAACUUGUACAUGCAAUAUAAGAUCCAGCUCAACGUUUUGACCAAAUGAACCCAACUUGGAGCAGAAUGCACUCUAUAAAUAGAGAAGCAUUUUGCAAUUGUCAAUCAUCCCAACAAUUUGUUAAGCUUAUAAAUUUCUAAGCUUUUGAGAGUUCUAAGAGUGUGAAUAAUUGGAGAGUGUGUGUGAGAGUACUUGGUAUAUUUGGGUUCUGGGAAAGUGAGAUUUCUUUACUCAAAUAAUUAUUAAUAAUAUAAUUAUUUUUCUCUUGCUUCCGUGGACAUAGGCAUAUUGUCGAACCACGUAAAUUUUGUGUCCUUUAUUUUUCAGUAAUUAUUUGGUGUGUUUGAUUCCGCAUUCCGCGCACAACACCUACAGGUGACUAAUUAAUGGGAAAUUGACAAUGACAAAAGCAAUUUAUGAGUUUUGUAGGCUGGCAUGCCUAUGUUAUAGCAUUGUUCGAUGAACUGCCACACCACAUGUUUUUGACGAGAAAUAAAAACAUCAAGAUAUUGCCCGCUUGCCGUAUUCCACAUCGUGAAUUGUAUCUCUGUUCCUCAAUUUUCAGUGUUCCAUACAUAAAACCAUUUUCAGUUUCUCUUGUUAUCAAUUCAAUUUUCUUGUUCGUGACGAUCUUGAUUCCUUUCUUUCUGGUAAAACGGAGCCAUGUUUGCUGUUGGAGAGGUCUUCCUCAACGCUUUCUUUCAGGUGUUGUUUGACAGGUUGGCUUCUCGUAAUUUGCUCAGCUUUGUGCGUCAACUCCAAGGCGGGGUUGAUUCGGAGCUCAAAAAGUGGGAGAAAAAGCUGAAGAUGAUUCAGGUUGUGCUUAGCGAUGCAGAGGAGAAGCAACUGACUGACGAGGCUGUGAAGAUGUGGCUGGACGAACUCCAAGACUUGGCUUAUGACGCUGAGGACAUUCUUGAUGAGUUUGGUACUCAAGCUUUGGAAAGGAAGUUGAUGGCGAAAAAUCAGGAUAGCACUGGCCAGAUUCUUAGUUUCAUACCGGCUAGUUUGAAUCCGAAUGCUAUUAUGUCCAAUUAUAGCAUGGGAUCCAAGAUUAAAGAUAUUACUAGCCGGUUGGAGCAACUCUGCCAAUAUAGAAUUGAACUUGGGCUGCAACGGAUUGCUGGAGGGGCAUCAUCACCUACUGCUGCUGCACACCAGAGGCCACCCAGUUCAAGUAUCACAACAGAGCGUGAAGUAUUCGGAAGAGAAGAAGAUAAGGCCAAAAUUCUUGAUAUGGUAUUGACCGAUAUUAGAAUUCGUAAUAAGAUGUUUGGAAACAAAGAAAAACAGAGAAAAUGAAAAAGGAAACUUCACGAUUUAUUAACCAGAAUAUUCAAUGCUUAUUAAGCUUACUUAGCUAAGCUUAUAUACAAUUAUUCUAACUAAUUAAACAACUGCAAAACAACUAAUAACAACUUCAGAUUUAGUUUAGCCAUUGAGCUCUUGCCACAUGUCAUUCAGUUACAUUCAAUCUUGUCCAGCUCAGCAGCUCUGUCCAGCUCAGCAGCAACUAUAUCUUCAACAUCCCCCCUCAAGCUCAACCGAGGAAGUAAGGUUGAGCUUGUCACGUAAGUAGAGAAAAGGGUGAUAAGAAAGAGCUUUGGUGAGAAUAUCAGCAGUUUGUUCUGAGCUAGAAAUAUAUUGAACCUUAAGACAUUGAGCAGCAACUUUCUCUCGAACAAAAUGAACAUCUAAUUCAAUGUGUUUUGUUCUGGAAUGAAACUUAGGAUUAGAGGCUAAAGCAGCUGCACUUUGAUUAUCACACCAUAUGAUUGGAAUGGAGGGAAGAGUAAGACCAAUCUCAGCAAGAAGAGAACGAAUCCACAAGACUUCAGCUGCUGCCAUUGCUAGUGCUCGAUAUUCAGACUCAGCACUAGAUCGAGAGACCACUGCCUGUUUCUUAGAGCACCAAGACACUAGAUUUGGACCCAUAUAGACACAAUAACCAGCCACUGACCUCCUAUCAUCUCUGUCUCCAGCCCAAUCAGCAUCACUGAAACAAUCAAUCUGUAUGCUGCCAUGAUUGUAGAACUGUAAACCAAGAUUAACAGUACCCUUCAGAUAUCGUAAAACCCUUUUACAAGCCUGCCAAUGAUUGACAGUUGGAGAAGAUAGAAACUGACUGAGCUUGUUGACAGAGAAAGCAAUCUCUGGUCUGGUCAAUGUUGCAUACUGAAGAGCACCUAUGGUGCUUCUGUAUAGAGUAACAUCAGAAAAGGGUUCACUAUCAGCUUUAGUAAAAGCCACUCCAGAAAGCAUAGGAGUAGAACAAGGAGUACUAUCCUGCAUGUGCACCUUGGCAAGCAAAUCAGUGAUAUACUUGGAUUGAGAAAGAUGAAUACCAGAUUUAUUGUAAAUGACCUGAACUCCCAGAAAAUAAUUCAAUGCACCAAGAUCUUUAAGUGCAAAAACAGACUGGAAGUUGGUGAUGGUCUGCUGAACAAGCUGAGGAUUGGAGCCUGUAAUAAUAAUAUCAUCUACAUACACCAAGACAAGUAGCAGAUGACCUUGUGUGCUCUUAAAGAAGAGUGAAGUGUCUGAAAUAGAAUUUGUAAAGCCCCACUGAGUUGUAAGAACUAGUUUGAGUCUGUCAAACCAUGCCCUUGGAGCCUGUUUAAGGCCAUAAAGAGCUUUGUGCAGCUUACAGACAUAAUCAGGCCUGGAACUAUCUAUAAACCCCUCAGGCUGUUGCAUAUAAACUUCUUCAGUGAGGUAGCCAUUAAGGAAGGCAUUAUUAAUGUCUAUUUGCCUCAGUACCCAAUGAUUCAUGACAGCCAUACUCAAGAUAAUUCUGAUGGUUGAAGACUUAAUGACAGGACUGAAUGUUUCAUGAAAAUCCAGCCCUUGAGUUUGGUGAAAUCCCUUAGCAACAAGUCUAGCUUUGUAUCUAGAGACACUGCCAUCAGGAUUAUAUUUAAUCCGAAAUACCCACUUAUUCCCAAUUACUUUAAUGGGAUGUGUAGGUUUGACAAGAGUCCAGGUAUGAUUAUUGACUAAGGCUUGAUAUUCAUCUGUCAUUGCUUUAUGCCAAGCUGAAUCUUGAAGGGCUUUUAAGGUAGUAGCAGGUUCUGUAGGUUUGGUAGGAUUGGCUGUAAUAUAGGCUUUAGGUUUGAAGAUACCAGCCUUUGAUCGAGUGAGCAUUGGAUGACCAGUAGAUGACUGCAAUGGUGGAGUUAAAUGAUGAACAGGUGAGGUAGAUGGUUCUGAGUGUGAUUGUAUAGAAGAUUGAGAAGGAGAGUCUGGAGAGGAUUGAGAGAACCUGAGAUCAGCUGCUGUAGAGGAUGAAGACUUGGUUAUAUCAAGUUGAAUCAAAGGACAAACAGAAGAUGAACAAUGUGAAGAAGACUGAGAUGAAUGAUCUGAAGAAGAGCAAGAGUGACUGACAGAGGAAAAAUCAACUCCUGACUGAAAAGGAAAACAUGACUCAUCAAAUGUAACAUGGUUACUGACAUAGAUUCUACCAGAGGAAUGAAGACACAAGUAGCCUUUGUGAAGGGAGCUGUAACCAAGAAAAAUACAUCUAGCAGUUCGAAACUCUAACUUAUGAUGAUUAUAAGGCCUCAGAUAUGGGAAACAAGCACAUCCAAAAACUCUCAUAACAGAAUAAUCUGGUCUUUUGUUGAAUAAUUUUUCAAAAGGUGAUUUGUUAUCCAGAAUGGGUGUAGGGAGCCUAUUUAUGAGAAAUGUGGCAGUAUGGAAAGCAUUCCACCAAAAUUUCAGUGGUAAAUGUGCUUGAGCAAGAAGGGUAAGGCCUGUUUCCACUAUAUGUCUAUGUUUGCGUUCAAUCUUUCCAUUUUGAUGGUGAAUAUAAGGACAAGGAUGUCUAAAUUGGAUUCCCUGCUCAGCAAGAUAAGGAAGAAAUGGCCUAAAUUCACCUCCCCAAUCUGUUUGAAGACACUUGAUUUUCCUAUUUAGGCAUUUUUCUAUCAUAUGCUGGAAUUCAAUAAAGGUUUGUAAGGCUUGAGAUUUGGUAACAAGAGGGAAUAUCCAGGUGAACCUAGUGAAAUCAUCUAAGAUGGAAAGAUAGUAGUGAUAGCCUUGAGAGGACAGCAAAGGAGCUGGACCCCAUAGAUCAGCAUGCAACAGCUCCAGUGGUUGAAUGGUAGUGGUGUCUAUAGAAGGAAAAUGCUGCAUGUGACACUUUCCAAAUUGGCAAGCAUUACAAAAAAUUGGUUUCAGGGCUCUAUUGAUAUCGAGAGAAGGAUGCAAAUGCUUCACAAUUUGUUUAAGAGCAUGCACAGUUGGAUGACCCAUUCUUUUAUGUAAAACAUUGUAAUCAACUGAUUUUGAAUGAGUAACAGACAAGGCCAUUGAGGCAUCAUUAUUGAAUUGAGAAAUAUUUACAUCUGUCAAAAUUUCUCCAGAAUGUAUAGAGUUUGAAACAUUGGAAUGACUAAUCAUUGACACUGGAGAGGAACAGACAUUUGACACAGAACUGGAAUUUGAGAUGACACAGAAAACAUUAGACGGAACUCUAUUUGAAACUGCAGCAUGAGACACUACAACAGGACCUUCAACUUGAUAUAAUCCUCCUCUAGCAAUCCCCUUGAGCAAGAUGAUCCCUGAUUUCUUGUCCUUGACAAAACAGGAGGUUUUAUGGAAUUCAACAACAACAUCAUUGUCAGCAAGUAAUUUAGAUACACUUAAAAGGUUUUUGGUUAUAGUUGGGACAUGCAAAAUAUUAUUAAGAUAGAUAGAUGUUGCAGCAAGUGUAUUCAAUCGUGUGCACCCAACAUGUUUAAUAUGUAAUCCCAUGCCAUUUCCUACAUGUAGCUUAUCAAAACCAUGAUAAACUGAGUAAGAAGAAAAGAUACCUGCUUCCUUAGUCACAUGAUUGGUUGCCCCGGAGUCAAUAUACCAAGCAGGAUCAGCUACAACUCCAUAAUCAGCAACUGGACCAGUGGGAGCAAAUUGUGCAGUGGGAAUAGCAGAAGGAGCAACUCCAUAGUUAGCAAAUGGAGUAGCAAUUGCACCAUUGUAUUGACCUUGUAAUCCUUGAAACACAAGAAACCCUUGAGGAUACAUAACAUUUGCAUUCUGAUAUGCAACAUUCCCUUGAAACAUGGGUGCAUUAUAUCUAGGAGCACCAGUUGCAGUUCCAUAAAAAUUUCCAUAACCUCUUCCAAACAUGUUCUGAGGCUGACCAGGAAAGCCUCUAAAAUUGAAUCCACCUCUAGGCCUAAAGCCACCUCUUCCUUGUCUAGGAAUAAAGUUCUGAUUAAAUCUGUUCCUGCAUUUGUAUGCUCCAUGACCAGGUAUGAAGCAUAUUUGACAAAUUACUUCCUUAUCAACAUUAUAUCCUCCUUUGCCAUUAUCAAAAUUUCCACCAUUAAAACCUCUCUGAUUAGCAUUAUUGAACUUAUUGUAAUUCUGUCCUUUCUGAGCAAAAUUAGCUGACAUAUCAUGCAACAAUUCAUUUUGCACCUUUCCCUUACUCAUCUCAACCCUAGUUUCAUGACUAAGCAUUAAGGAAUACACUUCUUCAAUAGUGAGAUUAUCUUUUUCCAGCCUAGCAAGUAUAGUUGUCACUAAUGACUCAUAGUUGUCAUCUAAACCAGUGAGCAAAUGCAUUAUAAAAUCUGUUGAAGCAAGAGGAUUACCACCAAUAGCUAAGCUAUCUGCAAUUUUUUUCAUCUUAUUGAAGUAAUCACUUACUGACAUAGCUCCUUUCUUUGUGGUUUGAAUCUGCAUUUUCAGAGGCAUGUAUCUAGCCUUUGACUGUGACAUGAACAUCUCGGCAAGUUUCUCCCAGAUCUCAAGUGAAGUAUCACAAUCCACAACCAUGAUAAGUACAUUGUCUACCAUAGAUGACAGCAUCCAGCUCUGUAGAAGCUUGUCAGCUUUCUUCCAGUCAAUAUAGUCAGAAUUUUCACGUCUGCUUGAGCUAGGAGCUUCUGAUCUACUGGCAGCAUUCUCAUAUGAGGAAAGAAAACGAUCUGGACAAGGAGAUUCUCCAUUGAUAAAACCUUCAAGUCCAUUGGCAAUAAUCGAAGCUUGAAUUUGAGCUCUCCACACCAGAUAAUUUGUUCGAUCAAGUUUUGUUGGUUGAAUAAAAGAAAAAGAAAGUGAAGACGAUCCUGAAUUGCUUUGAUUCGUCAUGUUUCGUGGCUCUGAUACCAUAUUAGAAUUCGUAAUAAGAUGUUUGGAAACAAAGAAAAACAGAGAAAAUGAAAAAGGAAACUUCACGAUUUAUUAACCAGAAUAUUCAAUGCUUAUUAAGCUUACUUAGCUAAGCUUAUAUACAAUUAUUCUAACUAAUUAAACAACUGCAAAACAACUAAUAACAACUUCAGAUUUAGUUUAGCCAUUGAGCUCUUGCCACAUGUCAUUCAGUUACAUUCAAUCUUGUCCAGCUCAGCAGCUCUGUCCAGCUCAGCAGCAACUAUAUCUUCAACAACCGAUACCCCCAGUGAUCAUGCCAACUUUGUUGUAAUACCCAUUGUUGGCAUGGGCGGGAUAGGAAAAACAACUCUUGCUCGGGAGGUCUACAAUGACAAGGCCGUUGAAGAUUCAAAGUUUGAUGUAAAAGCAUGGGUUUGUGUCUCUGAUGUCUUUGAUAUUUUGGGCAUCUCAAAGGCACUUCUCGAAUCAAUCACCCGCAGGCCUUGUCUUCUGAACAGUUUAAAUGAAGUGCAGGUUGAGUUGAAAGUAGCUGUGGAUAAAAAAAGAUUCUUGCUGGUCUUAGAUGAUGUUUGGAACGAGGACUACAGCUUGUGGGUAGACUUAAAAGCUCCAUUCUUGGCAGCUGCACCAAACAGUAAGAUGAUCGUCACCACAUGCAAUUCAAAUGUUGCAUCAAUAAUGGGACCAAUUGAACAUUAUAAUCUCAAGAGACUGUUAGAUGAUGAUUGCUGGUCCAUUUUCAUACAGCAUGCACUUGAAUCUAGAGAUCUUAACGCACAUCAAAUUUCAGAAUCGUUCCACAAGAAAGUUGUUGGCAAGUGUGGAGGCUUGCCCCUGGCAGCAAAAACAUUAGCGGGCCUUCUACGUACUACGAGGCAUGAUGCCUGGGACGAUAUCUUGGAUAGCAAACUAUGGGAUUUACCACGACAAAAUGACGUUCUCCCUGUGUUAAGAUUGAGUUACCAUCAUCUUCCGUCUCAUUUGAAAAGAUGUUUUGCUCAUUGUGCCAUCUUUCCGAAAGAUUAUGAAUUCAAUGAGAAGGAGCUGACUUUCUUAUGGAUGGCUGGAGGUAUUAUUCGACAGUCAAGAAAGAAUGAGCAGCUGGAAGAAUUGAGCAGCAAGUGCUUUCAAGAUCUAGUGUCGAGGUCUAUUUUUCAACAAACCAGCUCUGGUAGUGCUAAAUUUGUAAUGCACGACCUUAUCCAUGAUCUUGCUGAAUUGGUUUCUAGAGAAACCAUUUUCAGGUUAGAGGAGUCCACCAACUUGUCAUCAAGAAGAUUUGAAAGGGUUCGCCAUUCUUCGUAUGCCCGUGGUAGGCUUGAUGGUAAAUCUAAGUUCGAGGUUUUCAAUGAAAUUGAACAUCUACGAACAUUCUUGCCAUUAUGCAUAAGAGGUGGCGUUACUUCUGGUUAUAUAACUAGCAUGGUUCUCUAAGAUUUGUUGCCGAAGUUCAAAAGGUUGAGGAUGCUGUCUUUAGACGGAUACCGUAUUAGUGAGUUACCAAUUCCAUUUGAAGAUCUGAGACUUUUAAGGUUCCUAAACCUUGCUGAUACUGACUUAAGAAGUUUACUUGAGUCAACAUGCGCAUUGCUGAACUUGGAAAUUUUGACAUUAAGAAAUUGUUCCCGUUUGAUAAAGCUACCGCCCAAAAUGAUGAACUUGAUCAAUAUUCGUCAUCUCGAUAUAAGAGGUGCAAAUUUGUUGAAGGAGAUGCCAUUCGGAAUGAAAGAGUUGAAGAAUCUUCAAACAUUGUCCAACUUUAUUGUGGGCAAGGGUGAAACUGCAUCUGGUUUGGAAGAUUUAGGAAGUUUAAACUUUCUUUGUGAUGAACUUUGCAUUGCUGGAUUAGAGAAUGUGAAUAAUCCACAGAAUGCAAGAGAAGCCGCAUUAUGUGAGAAGCUCAAUCUUCAUGCAUUGACUCUAGAUUGGGGGUCUCAAUUUGACAAUUCUCGAGAUGUAGCAGUAGAAGAGCACGUGCUUGACAUUCUACAGCCUCAUAAAUGUAUAAAAAAGGUGGCAAUCAGGAACUAUGGUGGUGCAAGAUUUCCACUUUGGAUAGGAGAUCCGUGGUUCUCCAAGAUAUAAUUCCUUGAAUUGGAGAACUGUAACAAUUGUGUAUCUUUGCCAUCGCUUGGUCUAUUGAGUUCACUUAAGCACCUUGCUGUCAAAGGGCUGAAGAAGCUAAAAAGCAUAGAGUCUGAAGUUUAUGGGGAGGGUUUCUCAAUGCCUUUUCCAUCAUUGAAGAUUCUACGUUUUGAGAAUUUGCCAGAGUGGUGGCAUUGGGACACCGAUAUCAAAGGAAAUGUGCACGUUGAUAUAUUUCCUUGUCUCCAAGAACUUUCCGUUGUGAAAUGUCCCAAACUCUCUGAAAAACUGCCUGAGCUUCUGCCCUCCUUGGAGAUACUUGUUGUUAGUAAAUGUGAAAAGUUGGUAGUUUCAUUGUCAAGCUAUCCAAGGCUCUGCAGAUUAGAGGUUGAUGAGUGCAAAGAACUAGUGUGCAGGAUCCCAAUUGAUUCUAAGUUGAUAAAGUUCAUGACUAUUUCAAAUAGUUCAUUAGACAUGAUUGGAUGCAAGGGGAUGCUAUACGAUAGUCAAGCUGGCUCUUCACUGCCAAAACCCAUGACCACUACAAAUGUUUUGGAGUUUGGAAAAUUACUGGAGCCUGGAUUUCAGAUAUUAGAAACUUUGGUAAUUGGCAAUUCUGAACAGCUCAAGCCAUGGAGGCAGGGAAGGGGACUUUCAAGUUUUAAUAGACCAGAACACCGGCUAAAAAUACUUGCUCACCCUGAUGAGGUAACAAUUGAGGAAAGUUGCGUAAGUCUUGUUUUGUUUCCAGAGAUCAAUUUCUUUCCCAGAAAUCUGCACUGUCUUCGAAUUUACAACAGCACUGCUUUCAAAUCCUUACCGGAGGAAAUGAUGGACAACAGUUCACAACUCGAAAGCUUGUAUAUCAAAGAUUGCCAUUCUCUACCAUUCAUCACAAGACGCAAGCUACCUUCAUCUCUAAAAAGGAUAGAGAUUGAGAAUUGUGAGAAAUUGCAACGUUUGUUCGAUGAUAAAGACGAUGCUUCUUCUUCUUCUCCUUCAUCCUCGUCUUCCCAAGUGAUGCUUCAACAUCUAAGUAUAAAGAAUUGCCAAGCGCUCUCCAGUUUGUCAUCGGGAAUUCAAUUACUUGAGUCGCUCGAAGAACUUGUGAUAACAAAUUGUCGAAAGCUGGAGUCAAUACCCGAUGGCCUGCACAAUCUUAACUGUUUACAGAAGAUUACUCUAGUGAGUUGUCCAAGUCUUGUUUCCUUCCCAGAAAGAGGGCUUCCCAACGCCAUUUCAUGGGUUGACAUUAGUUAUUGUGACAAGCUUGAAGCCCUGCCCAAUGACAUGCACAAACUCAACUCUCUCCAAACUUUAAGCAUAAUUCAAUGUCCAAAGCUUGAGUCGUUUCCAGAAGAAGGCUUUCCCACCAAUCUUAGAACGCUUAAAAUUGGAAAUUUCAAAAUGUACAAGACCCUCGUCCAGUGGGGGUUGCACAGGCUUUCCUCUCUCAGAAGCCUCUACAUUUAUGGAUGUCAUGAAGCAGAGUGUUUUCCAGACGAGAAGGUAGGAAUGACGCUGCCCACAUCUCUAACUCAUCUGUCCUUAUUGGGAUUCCAGAAAAUGAUACUUCUGUCUUCAGUGGGUUUCCAAAGACUCACGUCUCUUCAAUGUUUGAAGAUAUGGAAUUGCCCAAAUCUCACGUCAUUUCCAGAGGUAGGCCUUCCAUCCUCACUUUUGGAUUUAUACAUUAACAAUUGUCCUAGGCUUAAAAAGGCGUGCAAAAGGGACCAAGGAAAAGAGUGGCCCAAAAUUGCUCACAUCCCUUGCGUUGUGAUAGAUGGAAAAUUCAUAUACGAUCCAGAAUUGGAGGUGUAGAUUCUAUUAUUAAAGUCGGUUUAUUUAUAUUAUCCACUAUAACAAUCUCCUAUUAGUUUUUUUUUUUUUUUUUUAAUGAAAAAAAUUGCAGUUCUGUAUAAUUUAAAAUAUAUAUAUUAAUCCUCUGCCCUUAAUUGAAAAUACCACUCACUUGUUUCUGUUUUCACAAGUCAGAUUGUACGUUGAGGCUAUUUGCUUUUUAUCGGUGUUUGUUAAGGUAAUUAGUGUCUCAUAGGCUGAUUAUAGGCAGAUGAAAUUAUAACUUUUAACUUAAAAUUUAAUACCAUAGACAGAUAGAUGAUUUUUAAUCCAAAGGUUUUUAGAUGUGAUCAAAUUGUCACAUGCAUAACAUAUUAGGCAUGCAUGAUGUAUCACAAGGUUGAUACAUCUUAUAUGCCACGUGAUGAAAUUAAGGAUGUUUCUCUUACAAGGGACACAUCCUUACAUGUUCAAAUUUGAACAUGUAACUUCCAAGUGGUUAAUGGAAGUUACUUGUUCAAAAUUCGAACAUAUAACUGUCAUAUUGUUGCCUAUAUAGAGGCAUGAACGCAUCACAAAUUCAUACAUUCCAAGACAUACUUAAAGUCUUAUCAUAUUAUGAUCUUGCAGUUUUGCAUGUAGCCACCAGCCUAAGGGCAGUGUAAAACGAUCCCAAAAACCAUCAAUAAUAACAAUGGAUAUAGUUCCUAAAUAAACUGAUGAAAUUUAAGGAUGAUUGGAUGAAACAGCUAUGAUAAAAUGAACUAUCUCGAACCGAGCGAAUGGCACUGACUCAUGAAUAAGUGUGGAUUCCAAAUAUCUUCAUAUCUUCAUAGAUAUUCAUUUCCGUGUUAAUUCGAGGACUUCUAGAAAUUUAGUUAGUUAUUCUAUGAAAUAGAUAUACUAAUAAUAAUAAAACAAAAACGACGGGUGUUACACAAAUUCACAAGUAAAACUGUACUACUUGGAAACUGUGAACAGUAUAGAUUGAAGAUCAUACGAUUGCUAUUUUCAUUGAGUUUCAUGCAUAAAACUUUAUCGAUUAUUAAAUUAGACAUCUUUAUCUUUCUAUCCAUAUGUUUAUUGUUCAAAAACUUAUUGUAUAUUAAUUGUUUUGAUUUUUAAAAAUUGAAACACUGGUGCUGGAAAAUUCUGAUUUUCAGUAGCGAUUCUCAAUUCUAUAAUUUAUUUCAUAACUCCAAAUACUUCUGAAAAUUCUGGGAAUUUUUAUUACUGUACACUUAUAUGUCUAGUUUCUGUCUUUUUAAUUUCGUAAUUUUUGGCUUUAUAUAAAAAUCAUAGAGUUAGACUGCGCAAUCCCAGAAACUGUUUUCCAGAAUUGCGAGGGCUGAUAUUUAGGGCAGUUUGGGAUAGUUUUUCAUCAGUAAAUGUCUUAUAAAUCUUUAAUUCUGACUCCUAUUGUUUCCUCUAAUUGUCAAAACUAGAAUCACUAUUUUUGGACAUGUGUAACUAAAGUUAUAAAUUUUUCAAGCAACAGUCCUCUGUUUAUAUCGUUAUUGGACAGUUUGGAUAAUUUUGUGGAAAAAUAAGUUUUCAGGGGAUGUUUUUAAACUCUAAUUGAUUAUGUAAAAAUUUAAAUUGAAUGCCAAUAUGUUGACAAUAGUGUUUUGUGAUAUUUGUGAUAUUUCCGACGUACUUAUAGCUUGUUAGAAAUCAGCUCCUAUAUAAUGGUCUAGUAUAGUUUAGUGAAUUGAUGUGCUUAAGUAAGAGUGCAUGGUUUAAGGAUUUUUGGAUUUUCCUAUCUAGGUCAGAAUUGAAUAAGAUAUUGAUAGUACUUUUUUCUUAACAAUCAUAGGCCAAAAGUGAGCUCGUUUGAUUUGGGUUAUUGUUGAUUGCUUUGUAUCAUGGUAAGUAAAUUCAUGCAUAAUAUUUAUUAAAGUAUACACGUAAAUAUUUAUUAAUAGAAUAAUGUUGUCCAAAUGGAUUGGCAAGUUAUGGUUUUGAAGUUAUUUUAAAAUGUUUUCUUAAAUUUGUUUUAAAAAUAACUUCAAAAUACCUGCUUCUCUAUAAAAUGUUUUCCUUAAAAAUAUUUGUAAAGCUUUGCCAAUUCAAUGUCUUGUAAGCGUUUUAUCGAAAUAUUAUGGAAUGAUUGAUAUUGGAAAUCUGAAAACUGUUUUUAAGGUUUUGGCUCAUUGUCCGUAGUUAUCGUUACUAAUAUUACUAAAUAGCUAGUUGUAUUGUGCGCACCUAUUGACGAUUAUUGCAGGGUAAAGUACCCUGGUAGAACUAUAAGUUGGGUCACCGAGAUUAUAGGUGACAUAUUGAACUAUUGACCAGGUCACCGGGGGUAUAAGUGACACUAUGUGAUAUGAGUAAAUUGAAUGAAAGAAAAGUUUUAUUGAUAAAAGAUUUCUUACACGAUUAUUUAUUGAAAAUGAUUAUUAUGCUAUGACUUAAUUGAUUAUGAGUUUUACCGCACACAUAUGAUUACAAAAUGAUUUUUGUUUCCUAACUUGUGGUACUACAUAAUAAUGAUUAUAUACUUUUUUCCUUAUUGGUAACCUUAUGCAUGAGUUCGCUUACCGAUUGACGGCUCACCCCUCGUCUCCAACAUUUUAUAGAUUGAUUUUAGUGAUGUGCGCUUUUGGUCUAGCAAAGAGGAUUUAGCUGAAAAACUUUGGCAUUUUCUAGAUGAAUUAAUUGUAGCUAGUUUGAUUAUUGCUUAGAGCUAGAUUUUAUUUUGGAGGAUUUUUGAGUUAUUUUUUAUUUUAGAGACUAUGUUUUGUCAAUGAACAACAUUGACUUUAUUUGAAAAUAGUAAUAAGAUUAAUGUUAUAAGGUUUCAUUUGGGGUGUUACAACUUGUCUCUUAGUAAGUUUAUUUUUGUUAGCCUAUCCAGUAAGGUUUAUUAUCGACUGACAUCAUUUUCAAUGAAAUCAUCUUAUGUUGUUAAGUUUUGCAUAAAUAAAUAUUUCAGUAGGGUCAAAAGAGCAAGAGUUUACCUAUAAAAAAAAAGUCAAAAUUAGUUUAACCACCCCAGUGCGAAUUUCUGACCACGUCUUGCUUUGUAUGAUUUAACUCUAUUAUUAAUUAGUACUAAAAUAUCGAUGAAAAAAAUGGACAUGAAUUUUGAUCUCGUGUUGCUUUGUUUUGGUUGAGUGGCCAAUUUUAACUUCAUGUUAAACUUUCUCAAUUAUUAGUUGAAUUAUUUGGAUUUGAAAACUUAAAACCACCAUUUUAAUUUGUUUAGUAAUGACUAUGUUGAACUUCAACAUUUGUUUUCAAGAAAAAAAUUGAUCAAACUAUGAUGCUCUUGUUUCUAUUAUUAUGGAAUCUCUUUUUCAAUCGUCAAAGUUUGAAUUAUAUUAUGCUGCCUCUGUAUUUCCGCAGAAACAGAAUCAGUUGGUGAUCCUUCAAAACAAGAAAAACCAAAAAAAGAUGUAGUGCGUGAUAAGAUAAUGAGACAGAUGGCUCAUGUUGACAUUAAUACUCAAGUUGGAAGUUGCAUGCCCCUUGCUUGUAUGCGGACUGGGACCAUCAUCCACAAAAUUGAGGUAUACCCGGCUGAAGGUGGCAAGCUAGUUCGAGCCGCUGCGACGUCAGCCAAGAUUUUGAAGAAGACCCACUUCAAGGUACUGCUUAGUAAGGCUAACUUCUGGAAAUGAGAAACUGAUUGACGCUAGAUGUCGAGCCCACCAUUGGUACAGUGUCUAACCCCAGCCAUGGAGCUACGAAGCUUAGGAAGGCUGGUCAGAGCCGUUGGUUGGGUCGAAGGCCUGUGGUUGGAGGAGUAGCCAUGAAUCCAGUUGAUCAUCCUCAUGGUGGAGGUGAGGGACGAAGCAAAAGUAGCCGUAACCAUGGAAGGUGUUCACUUACGCCUUGGGGCAAGCCUUGUAAUUCUGGGUAUAAAACUGCAUUUCCUAAGGGAAAAAAAAAAAGAAAAAGAAAUUACCCGUCUGAUAAUAUUUUCCUUCUUUGCUAUUUAGCCUUUUUAAUAAUGUUACAUUGUUUGUCAUAUAUUUGAGGUUAGUUUUAGACCAAUUUUUAACUGAUCCAUAAUGAAACUGAAGUUUAAUUUUCUAUUGAACUUUUCCUGGUUUUACUCUUCUGUCAUUUCAAUUUAGCAAUGAUUUAAGAUGUUGAGUUCUGUGCUUGGAACAUGUAAAUGGGAAAGAGAGAUAUAAUGGGGUAGAAUAUAGAUUUUGUGUUUUGGUUUCUCAUGUUUAGAGAUAUUCUGUUCUUUUUCAUUUGUUCAAUUUGGUUAGUGGUGAUUUCUUAAAGAGUCGAUGCACGUGUGUAUAUAUACUUUUCUUUUGGCCUUGAUUCUGUUUCUUGGGGAGUUUAUGCAGUUUCUUUUUUUAUGCUUCGUAUGCCACAUGAAAGAUGAAAGCAUUUUGUGUAUUUAGAAUUGACUUGCAUCAUAGUAACUUUGAAUCACUGUUAACAUUUGUAUAAUAGCAGUCUGAGAUCUCCUUGAAGGAUUCAAAAGCAUUUUAUUUGAUGGUCUAGACCUAAAAUCAACUCCUUUAUAUAGAUAGGUUGGUCUUCUUCAAAGCAAUUCCUAUUUUAAGUAAUCAAAAUUUUGAUUUGGAAGUGUGUUUUAACACUACCAAAAGUUCUUUAAAUACUAAAAAUGUGUUUGGGAGUGAGGUGAUGUGGCUUUUAAGCUACAAUUACUGCAAAGUAAAAGUCAGUGAGUAUAAAUAAGAAAAAAUGACUGUUGAGUUGCCAAAGCCCAACUGCCGCACAUCACUUCCAAAUGCACCGUAAAAUGAUUUUGAGUCUUCUAUAUUAUUGAAACAAAAUACAUGAAAGCACUUUUGGCUACAGAAGUACACUUGGGGUUCUUUAUAAAAUUCUUCGACAGCAAUUUUUCCCCCUUUUUGCUCAUGGCGGUUUUUCUGGUUGUUCUUUUAAGAAAACACUUAAAGGUUCUUUUUAUAGAUUUCUGAAAGUACUUCCAACAUAAGCAUUUUUCAGAAAUUUUUUCUGAAAUUAAUUUUAUUUACUUAUCGACUUUUCAACUCCUGUGGUUGUUUAUGAAAUGAAAGGCAAGGGUAAUCACAAGAAAUCUGCAAACUUUAUCAAUUUUUAACUAUACCAAUUUGUUGUUUAUGCUUUACUUUUAUUUUACAGUUUUGUUUAAUGUUUAGAUGAUAGAUAUAUAGACAUUUUAGAUUGGAGAAUUUUGUCAACAAAUUCAUUCCUUUCUUUCACUUUUUCCCUUUUCAGAGGAAAGCAAUUUUGACUAAUUUUAGCCAGAAUCGGACUAUAAUAUUUUGGAGCAAGCCUACUUGAAAUGAUGCUUUUUAAAUUUGAUCUAGUUAAAAUACACUGCCGUUACCCAAAAAAUUCUAGUCUUGGAUUUCAUAGAAUGCCCUUUUAAGAUAUUUUCUCAGCUCUUUGUUGGUCGCAGCAUCUGAGAUUAGCAUUCUCACAUUUCACUUGUUUUGCCUUUGUUUUGAAGGUAACUUAGUUGCAUAGGUGAAUCGAGGUUCAAGAAUGCCGAGAUGGCUACAAGUUUCAAGAAUCAUUUAAAGAGGCGUAAUGACAGCACCAAGAUGGGCUUUGUGAUUAACAAGAUUACUAAUUGAACCAAUCUUGAUGGGACAGAGGACAUGUCAGAACCGUUGCGCACAGGGAGAAGAGUUAGGGGAGCUUUGAGAGUUGAGACCAUCAACAUCCAGAAAGGCUGCUGGUAAUGUUUCAUGUGUUACAAAGUUGCAAGGAAAUUUCAUUUAUAUUUUAACACCUUGUAUUUGAAAAAUUUAAUGUAAUUUUCUCUUUUUUCAAUUUAUUAUUCAGAUCGUAGACUAGUAAACGGUUUAGAUCGCAAGCUUUUAUUAUGCAGUUAUUUUCUCCUUUUCAGGAAGAAGUGGUCAGUUCCAUUCCAGAAUUGGAAUAUGGUAAUUAGGUGCAAGCAUACGUUGUAACAAUCAUUUCUUGUUUGUUUGAUUAUGCUUAUCUAUUUAGUUGUUUAUCGUUUGGUUGUGUUAAAUUAUUUGAAUUAGCAUUAUUUGAGAUAAAGCAUAAUUCUUUUAUUUAUUUAUUUAUUUUUUAAAUAAAUUAUUAUAGAAUAUCGUCUUUAUCGUAUAAUGUAUUUUUAUAAAAGUAAGCAUUUUUAUAAAAUUUAAACUCUUCCAAUCUCCUUAUGAUUAAAACCCUUAACCUAAUAAACGUAUAAAAGCAAAGAGUCCUAGGAUUUUCUUUUGUGCACAUUUGGAAGAAUUUUUGAGGUAAUUAUCCUUCUCUAAAACAUAUUCUCUAAUCUUAGGUGUUUAAUGAUGAAUGCAUGCAUUGUUUUUUUAAUCAUGAAUGACUAGCUAGACAUUAUGAGGCAUGAGUACUGUGAUUCUAUUACUGUUUUCCCUUUAUUUUUUAUUCAGGUUUUCACUAAAGUUUUCAUAAAAUUAAACUAGACAUUUUAAGGCUUUCAAUGAUAUAUUUUGUACGAAAAGAUUACCAGUAACCAAUUUGUUGUGAAUUUUCGAAUUCAGAACAGUGGUGCUGGAAAAUUCUGAUUUUCAGCAGCAUGUUUGACUUUGCCCAUUUUUCUGUCUGUCUAAAUGAUCCCUAAAAUUAUGCUGAUUUUUCUAUUAAAUCCUCAUUAUGUCUACUUACUAUAUGUUCACUUUCAUAAUUUUCAUUGAGUAAAAAAAAAAUUAAAAAUCAUUAUGUUGGGCUGCUGCAGUUUUGGAAACUGCUUUCCAGAAUUGCGAUGGCUGACAAUAAAAUUACUUUAGGCUAUUAAAAGGCUUUAGAAUGGCCUAUAAAAAUUAUAUUCAUAUAAUUUAUGAAUUCCUUAUGAUUUAAAGUUUAUUUGACUAAUUUUGAUAGUUAACAUUAAGUUAUGAAUUUUUCAAGUGCAAAACAUAAACCUGAAUGUUUCUGGACAGGUUUGCUGGUCUCUUAAUAUAAAUUCGUUUAAAAUAGUGUCAUAUCUUCAAAAAUUCUAGGAAUUUGAAGCUUUGUUUCUUGAUGCAUCUACUGUUUUAAAAUCAAGUGGUCUAAUUUUUAAGAGUUCUAUUAAAUAUUUUACAAAUUUUCCAGUUCAGCAACCUCUGUUUUUAUCACUGUUGGACAGUCUGGAUAUGCAUGUAAAAUUCUUUUUGCAAUAUGUUUGACUUUUAUUCAUUCUUUUGAAUUUUUAUUUGAAAUGUUAUCCAUGUUUAUGGUUUAUUUUCUUUGAUUUUACAAUUUUCCAACAUUUGAUUAGCUUGGUAAAAAUCGGCUCAGACUAGCUUUAAUGGUUUAGUGCUUAUGACUAGGCUUGAUUAUGUUAGAUUUAUAUCAAGAUCAGAAUGAGUAAUAGUAUUGAUAAGAAUGUGUCUUGAUAUUUUAGGACGAGAUUGAGCUCGAGGCUAAGGUUACUAUUCUUUAUUGUUGAGGAUUGAGAUAAGUAGAUUCAUGCAUGGUAUAUGUAUUUCACUAUUAAAUUAUUUUUAAUUCGAGGUAUCUAUUAUGUUAAAUGAAAAGUAUUUGAAACUAAUUUGUUUUAGCCUAUUACAAUAUUUUGUUAAAAUAAAAUCGUUCUUUAAAUUAUUUAUAAUAAACCUUUUAUUUAUUAAAAACUUGUUUUAUAAAUUGUCUUAAAAAAACUUUUAUUAAAUUGUUUUAAGUCAAAUACUUUGAAAUAAUUAUCAAUUAUUUAAAUGAUUAAAAGUUCAAGGAUGAUUUUAAAUGUUUUUGCUCAUUGUCUGUAAUGAUGCUAUGUUAUGUUAUAUGUUGUGGAAGGCUAGUUGGAAUAUGUGUACAUAUGAUGUUAAUGUUAAUGAUUCUCGUGGGGUACAGUACUCUAAAUGAUGUCAUACGGAUGGGUCACUGGGUCUACAAGUGAUACUAUGUGGAAUGAGCUAAGUAUGUUUUAUGUAUUUAAAAAGCUAAUUAUGUUUUACAUGUUUGAAAUGCUAUUAUUAUGUUUAAAGGAUUUAAAUGACUUUCUGAUGUUUUGAUUUAUUUUUUAUAAAUGAUUAUUUACAAAAGUAAUUUCCCUUAUUAUUAUUAUGCAUAUCUAAGAAAUUCAAACAAUUAUAAUUUAAUGGUUUUUAGUAUUGUGCAUGAAUUUACUUACCGAGUUGACGGCUCACCCCUUGUUAUCAUAUUUUUGUAGAUAGAGUUAGAUGAUGUGAGCUCAUGAUCUUAGGAGGAAGAAUGAGAGCUCGUUUAUUUUUGGGGAUUAAUGUUACAUUAAUAAUUUAGCUUCCUUUGGCAUGAUAUUUAUUUGAGAAUUUGUUAUUUCAUUACUUAUUAUCUUUUGGAAGAGGAGCAUUUACUGUUGGAUAUUAAUUUGAUGAUUUUAGAUACGAGAGUGAUGAAAUACAGUUUCACUUCAAUUUCACUUUAGUAUCUUAUUAGUGGAAUUGGGGUGUUACAUACGUGCCCGGUCAAUGAACUUGAACUUUAAAUAGUUUUUUCAACUCAUUGAUUUUUGGAACUCAUAUUGGUGCAAGGAAAUCAAAAGAAAUUUAUGAUUAGUCAAAUUCUGAUAGUUGCUAUAUAUUAUACAUUCUAAAGUUUCUUGAGUUUGUUUUCAGAUGAAAAUAUGAUCAAUUCAUUUUGUUUUUGAAGUGUAGGAAAAUAGGCUGGGAUAUUAAUGCAUAGGCAAAAACUUUUUGAGUGGCUUUCCAGCGGAUAAUUAUCGGAAACAUGACUGGAUUUUUUGACUUCCGUAAAUCUUGCAUUUUAACCUGGCAAAUUUAACAAAAGUUCAAUACAACUUUGUUAGUGCCUUGUGUUCCAGAAGCUAGAAAGAUGUGUAGAUUCCAUAUAAGCGGGCUUGUAAUUACUCUAGUAAGAAUCCAAUUAUUUGCCUUUGCACCUUCAUUUUAUUUGUGGAUCCUUGCAUGUUUCUGAAUUUGAUCAAUCCAAAAGGAAUUGCUCUGAAGAAUAGCAGUAACUAGCCUAUGUCUUAGUGCAUGGACCUGCAAACCUGAGCUGACAAAGCUGAAACUAUUAGUUUGAGGUGACAAAUCCAUGAUCGUCACCUGUUAACUUCUGCUAGUUGCUUUCGUGAAACACUUUUAAGAAAUAAGCAAUUUGUUGUUAGUCGCCGUAUCUGAUGUGCUUUCUUUUAUAGUUUGUAGAAUCAACUGUAUUAUAUGUUGUCAGUUGCAGUAUCUGAGGUGUCUUUUGCAAUUUACUUGACCUUUAUUUGUUUGCUAGUGAGUUAAGAAUACCAACAUUGGCCAGAGAUUUGGAGAAACAUCCGAAGACGCUUAACAAACUUGGAGAUGCACUUGCUUCCAAGCUUCAUUCAUCACAAUGCGAAUCCGGUGAGUACUUAUGUCUUCAAUUAUGUAGAGUGUUUGAAAUUUUGAUGCAGCGAGAUGGUUUGUUGAUGCAAAACUUUAUACUGUUAAGGACUUACCCUGCAGGCUUUUUGCAUGUUGUAUCAACUCCAAAAUCCAACGAGAACUACAGCACCAAAGCCCAGUUUUCACUGAUUCAAUCAGCUGAAAUCAUGAGGGAAAUAACAGUAUAGCACCAUCAAGCUGGACUUAGAGAAUAAUCAGAUCAGUCAUCCAUUUCAUGAACUGUUAAUUUCAUGAUGGAGGCUUAGUGGAGCUGAAGAGGAAACAAGGAUGUGUAGGGAUCAACAAACAACAGUGAGAAGCACGAUUGGAGCUCUGAUUACAAAUAGACAAUUUAAAAAUAUGUGCUGGUAAGUGGAAAUUAAAGAAAUUUGUGAGCUCAUUCAAGUUUCGGUAUUUUCUUUUUGGAUAACGUUGAUACCAAGUUUGGCAAAUCUGUGUUUUCUGCGUUUAAUCUGUGUUUUGGUUAAAGUAGAUGCUCUGAUUAAUACUUGUUUGUUUUCAUAAAACAGGACAAAAAGAGAUCACCAAUCUUGAUUGAGAAUUCAUUUAAGUAAAAUUUCAAAAAUUGCCAAACACAGUAUAAACUAGGAUGCACUUGCUUAAGAUUCAUUUUCAGACGGAAGUUUGUACCUCCAGAUCAUAAAAUCAUGUUUAUGUUGUAUCUUUAUUCAGCAAUUGAAAGAUUCCAAGUUUGCUGAAACCAUAUUAUUUCUUUCCCAGGCGCUUUCCUGAAGGUAUCGACAUCUAUUUCGAAAAUGUUGGGGAUAAGUUGCUUGAUGCAGUGCUACAAAACUAUGAAGGAUUUCUUGUCGGUGAUUACUACCACCUGGAUAAAAAAUUCAUGGAACUGGUCAUGCCGGCAAUAAAAGAAGGAAAGGUGGUACACGUGGAAGACAUAGAUGAAGGCCUCUGUAUACGUCGAAGACAUAGAUGAAGGCCUGGAGUCCAACAGCCCUCGCUGGGCUAUUCAUUGAUCGGAAUGUCACGAAACAACUGAUUGUAGUUGCUUGGGAAUUUAAAAACCACCAUAUGCUGUAGAAAUGCACAGAGCCAUGCACUUUCAAAGCUUUGUGAAGAUGUCUUGGUCAUGUGUUAGAACAGAUUAUGUUUGUUCGAUUAAAUUGUACGCAGUUAUAAAUCAAAGAUUCAGAACAUUGCAUGUAGAAGUUCAAAUUUUAAAUUUUUGGAAGCAGAGGCGUAGAGUUUUUUUCUUUUGGAAAAAAAAAUCUAAAUUGUGGAGACUAUUUUUAUUUAAUUUUACAAUCUUAUUUUAUUUCUUUCACAACAUAAUUUUAAAAUAUUUAUUUAGUAAAUUAUUAACAUCCAAACCACUAAAGAUUUUUUUGUUAAACGCUCUACUUACAAAGUUAUAUUAAUUAUAGAUUUACUCAAAGAAAGUAUAUUUAAGAAGUUAUAGCAAAAAAAAGUUCUAAUCUGUCUUACAAAGGACUAUUGACAAGAGUGGUGCGACUCCCACCCCUUCAAAGUCCACUUGACACCACGCUUUCUCGAUUUAAAAUUUUAUAUAGUUGAAAAUUGUGUUUUCUUUUAAAUCUCCUUGCUUUCCUCUAUUCUUGUUACUUGAGAAGAAGAACCAGAGUCUAGAAGAACGAAAGAAAAUUCAGCGAGAUAGAAAUUUGGAAAUUUCAUCCGAGCUUUUUUUUUCUUAAAUUUUUUGGUAUUUCUUCCUUGUUUCUAUGGAUUCGUUCAAUGGAUUCUUGACCAUUCUUCCUUCUUUCUAUUUUCUACCAUGAUUCAGAAUUUUUCCUUAAAAAAAAUCUAGAUGCAUGGCCAAAUGAAAUGACCCCCUUUAGAGCUUCGGUUACUGUUGCAUAUUCAGCGUCUGCAUUUGACAAAGCAACUAAAUGCACACUAAAGACUUGCUGUUUCCAUUCAGUAUGCAGUUACACAGACAAAGGCCUUAAUUAUUGUCAAGUUCUCCAGUAGCAUACUCCGAAAUCCACAUACCAACCCACCAGAACUCCAAUCUUGAAACUCCAUAAAUCAAAAUUGAAGUGCCUGCCUCUCUGGUACCUCUCAAGGUCCAUUUUACUACUUUCCAUGUCUUUCCAUGCAUCUACUGACAACUUGGGAAAUGCCAGGUCUUGCAAGCACCACUACUUACAUUUGAGUCUGCUAUUAUUAUUAUUACUAUUUUAUUAUUAUUAUUUAAAAAAAAACACUCUAACUAGGAGAGACAAGUUCCGUGUAGUAGGACUGAGCAACAGGGCCGUAGCAAAUAUUAUGUUUUUAAUCAUUCUUGUACCAAAGUAUUUAAGUAUGCGAUAAAAAAUAAUAAUAAUAAUUUAUUGACAACUAAAAGUUAAUAGUGGCUGGGGUGGACCUGGGUUUUGUUUAAAAAAAUUGAUUAAUAAAAUUUUCGAAAUUUCAAAUUUCUAGUACAGAGAAAAUUGAUGAAUAAAAUUCUGCAAGUUAAUUUCUAAUAUGCCAUGAAAAUAUUAUCAAGUUAAAUUGUAACAUCGUUAAUCACUUAAUCCUCAGUCUAAUAUGCCAUAUAUUUGUUUCUCAGGCUUUAAUCGAAAGUGCCGGUGAUUUAUUGUUAUUUUCAGUAAUCAGAUAGGUAUGUUAAGGCUGUUUAAUUCAUCGACAAUGUACCAACAAGACUCAGAUUGGGAGAUUGUAAAUGUAAUUAACAAUAAUCUUUUAUUCAUUUUGAAGUUCAUUCUAUUGUUUACACAGGAGCAGCGUUCUCUUAUGUUUUAUGGAUAUAAUGUUUGGUAAUCCUAAUUUAAGCUAAGGUAUAUAUAUUUCCUAAUUACAUCUAAUUUAAGCUUAUUCAAAUGCAAUCAAUUAAUGUUCAAUAGUAAAAAUUCCAAAUACUAUAUAUUGUAAGAAUUUUAAUCGUAAUGACAAGGUGAUCAUUUGAAUUAUUAUUAUUAAAUUAUAUGUAUGGUGGAGUCCACACGGUUUUGACUAGAAAUCAAAGAGUUAAGAGACAAUAUUAAUUUAUUUAAGUUAAUAGUAUUUGUUCUGUUUAGUACGUCUUUUGACCAACAAGCAUCCCGGCAUUGCACGCAUUAAUUAAUAAAGCAUUGUGCAUGUCACAUUAUUAGAGCCAAUUGCGCCCGGUACACCUCCAUACUUCAAAAAUUAUCUUAAUACCCUAAAAUCUGUUUUUACCAAAAUUUUCAUCGAUACCCUUUAAAAACGGAUAGGAAAUUACUAAGCUAUCCUCAUUUUAAAACAUUUCAACUCAACGGACAGCACCUCUCCCUUCUCUACUGAAGCAAACAAACACUCAUCUGCUGCAAUUCCCUCCAUUAUCAAACUCAAAUAAACAAACACUGCAAUUCCCUCACCGGCAUCACCUCUGCAAUUCCCUCACCGGCAUCACCUCUACCGAAACAAAUAUUCAUUCUCCAUACAUGAUAAAUUGAACUUCAACACGAGCAAACUAAGCUUGAGAAGGGGAAGCUGCCACAACUGAGAAAGAGAAGCCUAGUUCGUCUCUACAUAAUCGCCGGCGAGAGCUGAUCCUUUACUGUAAAAUAGUCAUAAUUUAACUAGUUGAGGUAAGUAAUUCUCUAUAAAUAGUUUUCUUGUUGAUAUUCAGGGAAAAAAAAAACAAAAAGUUAGGGUUUAUAUAGAAAAAUUAGAUUAAUUAGUUGCGGGUCUCUCAUUACAUGUUCAAAAACAAAUUUCUAGUUGUUUUACUACAUGCAAAUUGUGAACAAUUGAUGGAUUGUGCCGAUUAUAAUUUUGUCAUGUAACACACAAUUUGGUCGUGUAAGGUUAUGUAGGAUUCAAGGUUGUGUAUUACACGACCUUCAUGUAUUGCACUUACACGACUUCAUGUAUUGCACUUACACGACUUCAUGUAUUGCAAUUACACGACUUCAUGUAUUACACGACGUUCAUGUAUUACACGACGUUCAUGUAUUACACGACCUUCAUAUAUUACACGACCUCAUGUAUUACACGACCUCAAAAUUACACGACUUUUUUUACUGUUGUUAAUUCAUUAUAAUAACUUAGUUGUUUAAACACUUAAUUUUUGCUAAGAAUUUAUAUUUGUUGCUAUGCAGAAAAUGUCAACGAAAAGUAUUCAGGAAAAAAUGAAACGAGGCAAACCGAAAGUGAAAAUUACUAAUUUGUCAUCGUUGGAACCAAUAAGAAUAAUAAAAAAUAACCUUAGUGACGUACAAUUGGGGAUUUUUCGCAAAUCAUGUUUUGGGCACUUUUUGGACUUGAAUGAGUUUCAGUUUUGUGCCCAGUUGUUGCACAAGUUGGUAUUAAGUCAUAUGCAUUCAUCCGAUAAGGCAAUGUAUUUUAAGAUAGGGAAAAAAGUUUGUCGAUUUUCAAUGUUUGAAUUUGCAUUAGUUACUGGACUGAAUUGUGAAGAAAUUUAUAAACCUAACUUGGACAUUGUUGAUGACGGUGGUCGUGUAUGUGAUGUUUUGUUGGACGGUUGCACAAAGUUCACUAACACAACGCUAGGUCAGAUAUUUGAAGCAACUAAGUCCAAGGAUGAUAUGAAAAUGGUUAAAUUUGCCAUGUUGUACUUUUUGGAGGUUGUAUUACUUGGAAAAGAAUAUAGAUCAUCUAUAAUUAGGGAUCACAUUCUCCACAUUGACAACUUUGAAGAUUUCAAUAAAUAUCCUUGGGGCCGUGUCUGUUUUGAGAACACAUUAGAAAGUAUGAAGAAUGUGAUUGCAAUUAGACAGAAUAGAGAAAGGGCAAAUCCAGACUAUGUCCCUGAAAAGGAGGCAUACAGUCUUCAUGGCUGUCCAUUUGCAGUUCAGGUAACAAAUUGUCAAUAUUGGUUUCGUAAAGAUUAUUAAGAUUAGGAAUAUUAAUUAUUUCUUUUACUUGCACAGGUAUGGGCACUUGAAAUUUUCAGUGAAGUGUGUGAAACUUUUUCCUCGAAAUGUAAGCAUGUCAAAUAUCCAAGAAUUCUAAAUUGGACAAUCACUAAACAUGUUAGCUCUAAUUUGCUUGACUAUUCCAUAUUUGAUAAGAAAAAGGUAAUAACAAACAAUCUAGAUCGUUAGUGUCUUUCUUUUUUUCUUUUUAAUUUAUCUUUGACAUUUAUUAAUUGGCCUAAUUAUUACAGCUUAAGGUACUGGAGAAGUUGGAUGUCGCUGAUGAAAUAGAGGCAUCACAGCCUAAUCUACAAUGGUUUUGGCAAACAAAUUGGCUGCAACAACUUGAAAAUGAUUUUCGUGUUGACUCAAAGAGUAAAAAAUCAGCCACUCCAGUCUCAGAACAGAAAAGUAGCAGUGUUGUGCAGAAAAAUUAUGUGGCCAUGGAAGUUAAAGAGACUAAUAAACGUGCGAAGUGUCAAGUUAUGUCCAUGAAAUACAAAAUGAAUUAUGAACAUGCAAAUUCUGUUGAGGACAAAACUGUAAGUUUUUUUAAUCUUUUAAUAACAAUUGCAUUUUUCAAUUUUUUUUUUGUUUGCCUAAUAGGCUCUGUCUUGUUCUGCUUGCAAGGGUAAACGUCUUGGUUACAUUGAUAAUUUGAUUUCUUUUAUCGAGGACAAGUUUAAUUGUUUGGAUAAGCGUCUCAAAAAGAUCGAAGAGAAGGUGCAAAAAAUUGACUCAUUAGAGGAGAAUACAGGUGAUGUGAGGGAGAUGAGAGAACAAGUCAAUAAAAUUGUAGACUUAGUGGAGUUCCUAAAUUCAGCGGACUACAAUGUGAAGGUUCAUUUUAUUAUUAUUUUUAACUAAGUAUGUUAUUAUUUUUAACUAAGUACAAAUUGUGUAAAGUUAUUAAUAUUUGCUGCUGUGCAGAUUCCGACAACAUUUGAUGAUAACCCGAGUAUUGCCACACCUGCGACUGUGUUUCCAAGCUUCACCACAAAUGCAGGCAUAGUCAAAGAGGAUCCAAUAAUUAUUCCGUCUACACAGCAAGAGGUGAAAAAAUAUGAAAGAAAAAGGCGAUCUCGAAAGGAUGCAGCUGUUUUACGCACGCCAUAUACUAACCCAUUUCGAAAAUCGCGACAUGUCAACGUCGAUGAAGCAAAACAGCAAGUUCAGUUUGAGCAUUGGCUGAAGGAGGAUAAUAUGGAAUCGUAAUUCCUUAUUUCUCUUUGUAAACUUACUUUUAUUUGAAACAAUAUUUCCUGGUUGACUAUAACAAGCAAUAAGUUUUACUCACAUUUUCUUUUUCGUUACUGCACAGUAAAAUAUUAUCGUGGCCUAUGCAUAAAGCAACAAAGAACUUCUUCCGCAGCUUGUAUGAUGCAGACGCGUGGUUAAAUGGCGGGGUAUUAUUAAUAUAGUUUUUGUUUAGCAUGUAAUUUACUGCAGUAAUGUUUGCAUUUAAUAUUAAUUUACAUAUGUUGGUAAUAUGUACAGCAUAUAGACGUUGGUUGUUACGUGAUAAGAUAUGAUUUGGCCAAGCUCACUAUGCCACAUUUGCACCAAUGUGCAAUCAUGGAUAGUGUAUUUCAGGUACUUAGUACUCUGUAGUAAUAAACAAAUAAGAUAUGUAAAUUUGUGCACUGAAAACUUGCAAAAUUCAUUGUUUUUUCAGCAAAAGCUUUUGUUGAAGUAUGAGUUGUUUAAGAAGGAUCCAACUACAAUAUGGGAUGAAGAUCAAGAACAUGAUUUGACAAUCAAACAAGCAAAUGGCGAAGAUCUUCCAUUCGCUAUUCCAUGGAGAGAUGUUUAUAAGGUAAAGUUUAAAUUUUCUUAAUGCAUCGCUAAAGUUUAAAUUUUCUAUUUUUGAUUGGCUCAAAUUAUUGUAGGUUUAUAUCCCAAUUAAUGUACUUGAGUGUCAUUGGAUUCUUGCUGAGGUUGACAUUGUAAGGGAGACAAUUUCCAUAUAUGACUCCAUGGUUUCUAUAAUGAAUGACUCAACAUUUUUGAAAGAAUUAUUGCCAUAUGCUGUUAUUAUUCCUCUUCUACUGGAGAAGGUUUUAUGGUAUGAUUCGCACCCUGAAACUACCCAAAAAAAUAAAGUUUGGAUAGUUUUGCGUUUAGCGAAUACGCCACAGUAAGAAUCUCGGUGAGCAUACCAAAUGCUCAAUUUAUUUUCAUUUUACUGUUAUAGUUAUAUAUUCAGUAUAUAGUUAACUAUUUUUUAAAAUUCUCAGUGGAGAUUGUGGUGUGUUUGUUUUGCGUUACCUGGACACACUUGCACGUGGUGAAGAUAUUCAAACAAAUUGUACGCAGGCACAUGUCUCUUCUUAUCGCAAGCAACUAGCUGAAAGACUUUUCUAUGACCAGUCAUUACUUUCAAAGAACAACUAACAUGUGAGUAUUAUUUUUUUAAAUGAAGUCAUUGCUGUUGGAAUAGUUUGGUUUCUUAAUGUGAAACCAAAAUAGGCCAUCACUGUUAGUUUGGUUUCUAAUUAAUUUCAUGGAUUUAUUAUAUGCAGGCAUUCCUCAUGCAUGCAUGUAUGCUUCGGCAGAGGAAGAAAGCAAUUUCAAGAAAAAAAAACUUUUAAAUGGUUGUAAUAUGUUUAAUUGCGAUAUCCAUUAGUGUAUCCUAUCCAAAUAUUGACAUUGUAAACUGAUAACUUUCUUUAUUUAUAAUAAUUAAUCUCAUCAUUUCUCAAACUGUCGAAUAUGCAAACUUAUUUGUUUGCUGUAAUUUAUGAACACACAAUUUGGUCAUGUAAGGUCAUGUACACGACGGUCGUGUAUUACACGACCGUCGUGUAGUACACGAGUAUAUUACAUGACCUUAAUAUAGUACGCGACUAUUACAUGACGUUCAUGUAUUACAGGACUUCAUGUGUUACACGACUUUUUCCAAUAAUCAUCAGAUUAAUUUAGUUCUUUAAGGACUUAAUUGGGGCUAAAAUUUUAUAUUUGUUGCUUUGUAGAAAAUGUCAACUGAAAUUAUAAAAACAAAGAAGUUAAAUUAAAUUGGAAUGUAAAGAAAUUUAGUUAUUUCAUAAUGCAACAAAUUACAGUUUCCAAGCAUAACAUAUCCAAGACUAAAAAAUUGUAAAUCCAAUUAUCUAAGUUUGGUUAGCCGUAGGGCCAUGCUCUUGCUCUGAAAGUGGUGUUGUUGCAGUGCAUGUUAGUCGAUUAUGCCCCUCAAUCUGCACCUACUACACUUGCGGUGCACGAUGUCUUCCCCUUGAGAAGGUAUUCUAGUAGUUCGCGGUCGUCCUACCUCUCGCUUUUUCAUUGGCAGUGACAGCACAUAUGCACGCACCUCUUCUGAAACAUCCCAUUCCUCUUGUGGACCCACAAGAUAAAUGCUCUCUGCAUAUGCUGUAACCCAUGCAUUGACAGAAUAAUAAUGAGCACAUAAAUCAUAAAUAGAAUAGUUACGCAUAUGCUUACAUACAGCUACCACAUGUUCAUAGGGAAAUUGGUCAAUUUGAAACUCAUUACAACUGCAAGUCUUUUGUAGCACGUCAACAUGGCCAUCAAGGUCGCCAUCCUUAACUAUAAACUCAUGGAAAUUAAUCUGUAUUACUGGAUAUGUGUGUGAUUUAUCCAAUUUCCCUUUCAACUAUUUCUCAACCCAAGUAGUCAUUAAAGUACAUGCAUCCAUUGCCAAAUCUCGCCUUUUUGCAAACCAUUCUUGUAAUUUGUCAAUGAUACAAUCCAUUAACUUAUAAAUAGGCAAGGUUCGUGCUUCUUUUAAGAUAGAAUUCAUACUUUCUGCAAUGUUAGUCGUCAUAAUCCCAUAACGCCUCCCCUCAAAAUGAGAACGAGCCCACUUCUCAUAUCCGGCAUCAGUCAGGUAUUGGUGAACAUUCAAACUAACACUGCGGAUGACAUUCAUAUAUUGAGUAAACUUAAUGGGCCGAUAUGCCUUUGCAGCCAAUUCAAAUAAAGCACCCACAUCAACUUCUUUAAAAUGAGCAUUUACAUUUCGUUUUAGAUGAUGCGUACAUAUGUCAUACCCUACAGUAGGAAAUACUUUAUCAACUGCUUUCUUAAUACUUCCAUGACGGUCAGAAAUGAAUACUAAAUUAGGAACAUCACCAAUAGACUCUCUUAACUUCAUAAAAUACCAUUCCCAUGAAGCGUCAUUCUCACUGUCACCUACACCAAAUGCAACAGGGUAAAGUUGAUUGUUGCCAUCAAGAGAUGUUGCAAUGAAUAAUGUUCCUUUGUACUUGCCCCUCAUGAAUGUACCAUCAACUGCAAUAACAGGCCUAAUACAUGAAGUGAAUCCUCUCAAAGAACUUCCAAUGGCCAUGAAACAGUACUUGAAGUUGUUCGCACUGUCUUUUUUAAUGAAUGUUCGACUUCCAGGAUUUUUUUUUUUCAACCAUUGCCAUGUAUGAGGGUAAUAAAUGGUAUGAAUCAGCCGGACUGCCCCUAACCAUCUCCAUUGCAAACUCCCUUGCUCUCCACGCCUUGUGAUAACUUAUUUCAUAACCAAACUCUUUUUGAAAAUCUUGCAUAAUAUCAGCUGGCUUAUACGUAGAUGAAGCACCAUCAAACUUGUGCCGAAAAUUUUUCCCAACUAACUUGGAUGAAGCUUGACGGUUGUCUUUUUCCUGUGAAUCAAGGGAGCAAGUAUGGACAUUGUAAUACUUUCUAAUUUCAAACAUGUUGCAACCUUUAAGUCUACUUGCACGAAGGCGCCAUUUGCAGUUGUCAUCCAUACAAACAACAACAAGUAAGUCCUUGUCUGAUUUUGGGGUUUUGAAUUGGAACCUUUUUUUCACAACUAGUGCUUUAAGCUUUUCUUGCAAUGCCUCCUUUGACUCAAACACCUCUUUCACCAUCGACACAUCAGUAUCACCACUAACUUCUGUUGAUAAUAAAUUACUGCUACUAGUAAGUAAAUUUAUUCUGGGCACAUGUCCAUUGUUUGAGGUUCUUGAACUUAUAGGAGCUGGAGUAUUAUCUCCUAAUGCUAAAUCAACAGCUAAUGGUGGCUCAUCCAAACAAUCAACUUCAGUUACAAAUUCAUUAACUUCAGUAAAAUUGUUCGAACUGAGAAUAGGAAAUGAUGGAGGCACGUAGCUGGAGAAAGCAUGACUCUCUUCCCAUGAAAGACGAGGUGAAGGUUGUCUAUCCACCGGAACUGUCGAAAUUGAUCUACGUUCAAAAGUAAUGCAGAGCGGGUUUCUAAACUCCAUUCCACUAGCUACUUCCUCUAAGAAAAAUUCCACAUCAUCAUUGGUUUGAAUUGUAACUGGUGGCAUAGGAUCAGAUGUCUUAAGUUUGAACUUCAUUGUGAUUUCGAAUUCCGAAGUAUCUAUAUCAAUAACUUCAGCUAUCUUGUCCACCAAUUCGGCAUAUGUUGUCGAUCGUGGUAUCAUUAUCCCUUUAGCCUUGGAACCUUUGAACUUAUACUCGUCAUUUUGCUCAAUCCAUUCACCAUUAAAGAGAAUAGGCACACGUACCAAAACCAUUUCUGAUGAUACAAUAAAAACAAUAAUAUCAAAUUUCAUAUACAAGUAAGUACACGACUUACACGACUAUAAUACUUACACGACUUACACGACUAUAUUUCUUACAUGACCUACACGACUUACACGACUAUAUUUCUUACAUGACUUACAUGACUUACACGACUAUAUUACUUACACGACCUACAUGACUAACUAUAUGACGUACACAGUAUCAAGAGAAUGCACGGCGCGAAACAUUUUCGCUAUAAAUAAGUUAUAUUGCUGAAAAAAAUAAUUAAACAACCUACAUUGCAUAUAUUUCUACAUAUAAGAAAAAAUGGUGAAAAUAAAACAUUGUAAUGUGAGGAAAAUUUCUAAAUUUUUCUCAAAAUUAAUAAAUUUAAAACCCAAAAACAUUAACAUACCUUAUUGGGUUGUUUAAUAAGCAAUGCACCUUUAAAGAAAGAGUGGGUGUUAAAGAAAUAAAUACAUAAUUGUAUUUGUGUAAGAAGUUAUGAGAGAUUUUGAGAGAUUCUAAGAGAUUUUGAAAGAAUCGGCAGCAAAAAUGGAGUUGGGUGAAAGAAAUGAGGAAAUGAAUAUGAAGACAAUUUAUUGAAUGAAUUUGAUGCAUUCAUUAAGGGUAUUUCUGACUUUACUCACAUUUGUUAGGGUAUUCAUGAAAACUAAAAAGGGAGGGGGUAUUUCAAUAAUUUUGAAACUAUUAAAGGGUAUUUAAUUAAAAACCCCACAUUAUUAGUACCUAGUUGAUUAGUCAUUUGGUCUUCAAUAAAUGUUAGUUGAUAUAUGCUUGAAAUCAUAUUCUGUUUUAUAUGCCGAAUCAUAUUGUAAGAUGGUGAUAUUAGCAUGUUUCUUUUUCUUUGUGCUGUUUCUCGUUUGAUUACAUUUUCAACAACAAGUCGAUCUGUUGAAGAACAAGUUUGGGUUUGAUGAUGCUUUUAACUAUAAGGAAGAGCCAGACUUGGAUGCAGCUCUCAAUGGGUUGACACGAAUGAAUCCUUUCACCCUUUUUCUCACUUCAUUAUUACAAUGCGCUUUGAAGUUAUCUGUGUUGUUAAGGUUAAGGUUAACCCUGCAGGCUUGUUCGAUGCUGUAUCAACUCCAAAAUCGAACAACAUCUACAGCACCAAGACCCGGUUUCAAUCAGCUCAAAUGAUGAGGUAAAUAACACCAUCAAGCUCAGCUUAGAGACUCAUUAGAUAAGUAAUCCAUUUUCUCAGCUGUUAAUCUCUUGAUGGUGGCUAGUGGAGAAGCAGAGGAAACAAAGGAUGUGCCGGAAUCAAUUAGAACAGUGAGAAGCGUGAGGGGAGUUAUGAUUAUAUUUAGGCUUUUUGAUGAUGCUUUGAACAAAAAGGAAGAGCCAGACUUUGAUGAAGCUCUUGAAAGGUUAGCGAAAAUGAACGCUUUAACCAUGUUUCCAACUUCAUUAUCACAAUAUCUGACAUUGCAUAACUUCAAGUAAAGUUGCUCUUAAAAGGUUAGCAAAAAGCCAAAAAUGAUUGAAGUUAUCUGAGUUGAUCCAGAAAAUGUAAUGGAAAUACUCCCCUGCUUCGUAAAACAGGACAAACAGAGAUCGCUGGUCGCGCAUGGGAACUAAUUGCAUUAAAGUUUCAAACAUUACCAAACAAACUAGGAUGCAUUUGCUUAAGAUUCAUUUUCAAAAGCAAGUUGUAUGUUUAUGUUGCAGCCUAUAAAACCAUGUUUAUGUUGUAUGUUUAUUCAGGAAAUGAAAGAUUCGUCGUGUUAUUUUAUUCCAAGAAUUCGCUGAAACCAUACCUGCUUUCCCAGAUGCUUUCCUGAAGGUAUCGACAUCUAUUUAAAAAAUUCUGGGGGUAAGAUGCUUGAUGCAGUGCUACUCAACAUGAGAAUUCACGGCCGCUGCUGUAUGCUGAAAGAUCUCACCGUACAACCGUGAGAAGCCUGAAGGUGUAUUCAACUUGAUACAACUGGUCGUAGUUGCUAGGGAAGGAUAUAAGGUGUACUCAACUUGAUAUGCUGUAAAAGUGCACUAUGCCAUGUACUUUUAAAGCUUUUUGAAGAUGUUUUGGCCAUGUGUUUGAUUAGAUUGUACUCAGAUAUAAAUCAAAGAUUCAGAACAUGUUUGUUACUGUUUUUCAGAAUCCAGAACAAUAAAUACCUUGAAAUGUUUUUGUUCAAUGAUUUUGCAGAAGACCAGCUUCCUUGUUAAUGAAUCAAGAUGGCUGAAUCCGUCCCUAAGCCAAAUCUGUUUUCACUUUUAGGUUAGAAAUUGUCAUUAAAAAGUGUUUGAUAAAAUAUGCUCCGGGAACGCUAUUCGUCAGAUGGUUACUCCAAGUUUAUGAAAUCAAUGGUAUUUCAUCAUAUUCAUAACACUCUGCUUUAAUAUCUAUUCUAACAGAGAAAUUAUAUACAGAGAAUAGGUUGCGUUAGAACUUUUGCUAGAAAAAAGUGACAAGAAUUCAUCGUUCACUUGUAUCUUAAGUAAGUGUAAAAUUUAAAAUCCCAUCAUGAAAAACUCCUGGGAGAAAAAACUAUAAAAAUUAAAGAAAAAAGAGUGUGGCGUGCAUGUAAAUUAUGUCGAUUCUAUCUAUACGAUAAAUACACUCUCUUUUACAAUGGCACGGAUGCUUCAUUGAGUAAUCAUGAUUGUUGCUGGUAGUGCUUUGUUGAAUCAAUCUGCUAGAUAUUCAGCUUUCUUUCUUUCUUACUUUUUUUUUGUUUUAAUAAAUAGCUUGUGGUUGUGAAAAUAAUUUGAAUUAAACUAUGCUUAACUGCCUAUUUGGUACAACUUCUCUACUAGCCAAAAGAUUUUUUUUUAAUCAUUUAUUUAUACCUCGAGUAGAGUUUUUGGAGAUUAAAUAGGUGAUAUUUUGUCUCUAUUAAAAAGAAAACUCAAAAGGUAGGACUAUUUGAAGUUUGAAUCCACCAAACUACUCAUUAAAAAUUCAUUUGUGAAAAUAAUUUUUAAUUAUUAAAAUACCCCUAAAUUAAAUUACAAUUAUGAACACUAAAAUAUAGUAAACAAUUUUUUUUUUACUCUUUGAAAUUGUCCUUACAUUCGAUAUUAAAUUUUUUUCUUAAACUCUAAAUUAAUUUUUUUUUUCAUUUUUAAGUAAUUUUAAGGCACAUAUAAAGUGAUUCAUAUUGAUUUUAUACUAACAAACUAUUACAGCAGAUUUGGAAAAUGAUUAACUCGUUCUCAUUUUCCUAGUGAAAAUGCAAAUAGCUCAUUUAAACGUUAAGGAAUUGGAGAGUUGCUGCUGGAGAUGAAAGAUGUGAAUUAAACAUCAGAAAAAAAAAUUAUGUUUACUAUCUUACCAGACCAAGCACCGAAAAGCAUGGUAAAGAAAAAUUACAUAAUUCUGACUUAGAAGACGAAAAAAAAUGAAAUACAAUUUGAAUAAGAGAUAGAAGAUAAAGCACGUGAAUGGAGGCAGAAAGCAAGUAAUGAUAACUCUUUCGACAAAACUAAUAUAUAUCAAAAUGCAAUAUCAAAAAUGAAAAUAAAAAUUCAUUACGAAUACAUGUUAAUGAUAUCCCAAGUGUUGAGUAAUAAAAAGUACCAGGCAGGCAUCUCCCCAUUCCAUGCCUGAGAAUGAAUCUCUCCAGCUGAAUGAUACGAGCAGAUUCCUAAUAAUAUAUCCUUUAUGGAACACAUACCAACUAGAAACGAAUACCGACCAGAAGUUCAUACCGACCAGGUACUUGUCACUCAAAGAAAGAGAAUACAAUCUCACGAACGCGCGACAGUUUUGCCACAUUCCAAACCGCUAGGGAGAACACGACGCCCCACGUUUACCCACAUUCAGUUGUUGAAGACCCAUUAAGGCCCUUGAUCACCCAAAUAUGACGGGAAGGAAAAAUAUUCUGAGAAAGUGGGACGAUUGCCUAUAAAAAGCUGGGAAAUCAAUUAAGAAAGGGACAGACAAAAAGAGAGAGGGGGGAAACUCUACCGAAUUGAUACCAGGCAUUACUACAUAAUAGCCUUAAAUACAUUUUACUUUAAGAACAUCACAAUGAGUGUGCGUAACCAUAAAUCAUACAAUUUUCCCGCAAACUUCAUGUACUAACUUAAGCAUCGGAGGGUUUAUUCCGGAAAAACCACCAACGUCUCUGGUUUGUUUAUGUGAAUGUAGAUUUGAAAAGAAGAGAAAGAGUGAUUUGAGUUCAAGGAGCUCGGGCAAUUGCUAAAGUUAGUGGAAAAAAUUAAAUGAGACUCAAAAUCAAUCCAGAGGAAUAAAUGAGAAACCUAAUCCUAAUAAAAUACAUUCACAAAUCUUAAUGCUAAUUAAAAUCACGGAUAAAAAACAUAAUAUGAAUGAAUUACAGGCACAACUAUUUUAUUAAGAAAUUAAUAAAAUCGUGUAUUAAUAUAUUUUGUACAUUUUUUUUCCAUAUAUAACUUUCGGUAAUUUAGUUUUCCACUUAUCAUUUUUACUCCAAAAAAAUAUUGAGAAUAUUAUUUAUGUUUUGGUGUAAAAUAUUUGAACAAUAUACAAAUUUUCAGUUUAAUACAUCUAAACAUUUAUUAAGUUAUAAAUGAAUUUAAUGGGUUUAACUAGUACAAAUACUAUUAUUUUAUAAAUUGGGUUUAAUAAUAGUAUAUUGGGGAUUUAGGUUGAGUAAAUUUUAAAAUUUUAAAAUUAAAGGGUGGGUUUGUUUAGCAAAUGAGUUUUUUUUUUUUUUUUAUUACAUGAGACUAUUGCUCAAAUUACAGUUCAAGUUACAACUCAUAUUACAUGAGAGUAUAAUUGAUAUGUACAAUCAUAUAUUUAUACUGAGCCCUGUUGAUAUUAAUGCUGAUAUGACACCGCUCAGAUUUUUAACCCUCUCAAAUAUUUGAGGGAUGUCAAACUCCCAUCCUGGGAGAAAGACUGUCUUCACUCGAGCUCAAGGGCUCCAAGAAAGAAUAUUUAAAGUAAAACCCCUACAAUGCGACUGCGGAGGCUCGAACCCCUUCCCUCACAUUUGUGAGGGAGGGGCUUAGCCUUAGCCCAAGUGGCUCUUUUAGCAAAUGAGUUAAGGGAAUAGUUUGUUGGGAUUUAAAUAGCCCCACCCAAACUCAAAUGUAAAAUUUUUGAAAAAAGAGACUAUUACGUUUUAAAAAAAAGAAUUAAAAGGUCAAGAAUACCUCUAUUUAAUUUUAUAAUCAUAUUUUAUUUCUACCCUAAUAUAAUAUUAAAAAACUUAACUAAAAAUUUUAUAAUUUUUUAUAAAAAUUACCAUUAACAUCCAAAAAGCUAAAGAUUAAAAAAAAAAAAGGAACUGUAUUUACAAAAGUUAUAUCAAUAAUAAAUUCAGUCCAAAGAAAAAAGUUAUUGUAAACAAGUACUCAUAUUUAUCUCUACUUUAACAAUAAUCUUCGAAUCCGUUUUACAAUGGAUUUUAACCAAUGGGCUUAUGAGUCCUUUUUUGGAAAGCAUGAAAGCGAUGGCCCAAUCUCUAAACUUCAUUUUCUUUAGCCAGAAAGCCUAAAACAAGACCAGCCCAUAGAUAUAUAACUACCGGAAAAAAUUAAAAAGAAAAAAAAGAGUAAAAUUGUGUAAGAGCUUUUAGAAUUACAAUUUUAGGAUCACGUGUGUAAAUGGAACUCCAAGAUUGAUCAAGAAUUAACAAGGCAAGAUGAAGGGAUGAUCUUGUAGCAAAGAAUGAAGAAAUUGAAUCAAGAAAGUACUCUAGUGCUUUAGUGCUUUACAGUUAAGGGAUAUAGGGUGCGUUUGGGAUUGAGGUUGGGCAGCUGUAGCUUAAAAGCUACAGCACUAAAGUGUUUGGUAAACACUAGCUGCUGUAACUUUUAAGCUAUGUUGAUAUAAUUUUUCACUUGUAUAAUAUAAAAUUUAUUAUAUCUUUAAUAAUUUUGAUAAAAUUAUUAUUUACAAUUUAUAUUUAUUAUAUAUUAUUAACUUUUAUUUCAUAAUUACAACUUCUUUUUUACAGCAGCUGUAGCUUAAAAACUACAGCACCUCAAUCCCAAACACAACCAUAGUGUGAAUUCAUUACAAAGCAUUCGCAAAGAAAUUGUUUUUAAAUGAAACUCCUCGUCUUGACCAGAUUAUUUAUUAUUAUUCAAAAAAAAAAUGUUCAAAACUUAGCCAAAGUGAUAAACUCGUAAUUAUUCUACAAAGGGAACAAUUUUGAACGGUCGGAAAUUCCAUGCUUAUGAUUUUCUCUGCACUAUUUCAAUAAAAUUAUUACCCAGUGAAGACUUUAGAGACAAGUGCCCCCAUGAGAUCAAGCAAAUAUGCCCCCACAAAGAUCACAUAAUUAUUUCUUGUUCUUUUUCUUUUUGACAAUUUUAUCUGUGGUUUCAACUUUUACGCUUUAUUGUCAUUUCUCGUUGAGGGCUCCGCUGCACCCAUUACAACUUACCCCUAUAUUGUCUUUUACUGACUAAACCGUUAGAUUUGACGGAUAGCACGUUCAAUGCUGAAUUUUAAUUAUAUCAUCAAAUUUCGUUUAGCUCCUUAAACUCCAUUUUAUUUUUUAUUUCUUUAUAAAAUAUUCAAAGCUUCAUCAAGCUCCCGAUGGACCAUCAUGGCUAGGGGUGCAUUAGAGCCGAACUGAAAUAUGUUAGUUUAGUUUAGUUUGGUCAGUUUAAAUCGAAUGGUUUAGAAAAUAUAAAAUGAUCAAUUUUAAUUUUGAAUUGAACCGAACCAAAAAUUAAUUGAUUUGCUGUUAGUAUUUUUGCAUAAACAUAAAUGAUUAGUGAUUAUAAUUGAAUUGGACUAAAAAAAAUCAAACAAAAGUGAAAAAUAUAAAAUCUUAGACAAUAUAAAAGAAAAAAUAUUAAAUAUAUAAACCAAAACGAACUGAAUUAUUUUGACUCAGUUUUGGUUCAUAAUUUUUUAAACCAAACUGAUUUAUUCCCACCCCCUAAUCGUGGCCCUCUAUCUUUAGUCAUUCACCCUUGAGUUUGAUACCAAUUGUUGGGUUUCAAAUGAUUAUACACUCAAAUGGAACCCCUCAUAACCAAAAACUAACAGAAACAAUAAGAACACAAUGUUAAAAUCUUAAAUCAAUCGCAAAAAAGCACCCAAAACAGAUCGAUUAGGAAUAGUUAACAACAAAAGAUUUAAUGGUUCAAAAUCAUAAUGUGACCUACUUCCAUCCAAGAAUCAUACUAAUUGCUUUACUUGUUGUCAAAUACGAGAUCAUAAGAUUGUUUAUCACUCUACAGAGAAAAAAAAUUUAGAAGAAAUACUCCCCAAUUUUUCUCUUAAUAGUUAUGAAUCAACACCCCUGAUUUACUUUUCCUUAUUUCCUAUGAUCGGUUGCUGCUACUUAAUCCUUACCAAGCUCCAACAUAGUCCAAACACUUUUCAUGGUACAUGCACAGUGCACCUUCAGAAACUUUACAGCUCUUCUUAAAACCUCAGGCCUAUAGAGUGCAAUUUCGCACCUAUAUGCUUAGUCCUCUCAGUUCUCGUGAUGUUUUUGAUUUAUUUCUCGGACGAGUAGCACUUUUAGCUGCCAUAAUACAAUGUAAUUGACUUCUGAGCAUGACUUAAUUUUGAGAUCAUUACUUUUAGUUAAAUGAUCUCCUCCAGAGCUUCUACCUAUGUAGUGUUUUUAGACCUCUAUAGUUGAUAAAGCAUGUUCAAGGUGAAGGCUUGUUUUCCAAUCUAUAGUCCAAUUAUAGACUGGAACUGGUCAGGCUUAAUGCACCUUCAAAAGCUUCACAACUUAUAUUGAAACCUUAAGCCUUGUAGAAUGCUACAAAUUUUAAAUCCAUAUACUUAGUGCUCUUAUGAUUUGUUUGAUUUUUACUUAGAUGAAGAGCAUUUUAGCUAUAGAAUACAGAAACUAAUUCAAAGCCUGCCUUAGCUAUGAGAUCAUUCAUUCUAGCCAAAUGCCCCUUUAGAGAUUCUGCUAUUGUUGCGUAUUAAGCCUCUAUAUCAAAGCAAUUACAUGUCGAAGGCUUGCUUUGCAGUUAACAGCGCAAUUACAAUUAUAUAGAUUAAAGGUGUAAAUCCAUAAAACUACCAGACUUCAAUCUUUAGACUCCAUAGAUCAAACCAUAACUUAGUGUGCCUUUCAAUCUCAGGUAACUGUUUUCCACGUCUUGCCAUGUACUUGCUGCUAACACUAACAAUUUGAGAAAUGUUAGGCAUCGUAAGCAGCCGACAACACUCUUCUUCAUUUCUUCAUUGUCAAUUUCUUUCUUGGAACAUUGCUCCAUUGAGAGUCUGCUAUCAUUGCUCCAAUUAUUAUUAUUUUUGUUUUUGUUUUUUAAAAAAAUAACCGUGCAAUAAGAGUAUAAGACUAAGCAACGGUCCUUUUUUUUUUACCCAUUCUUGAACAUGAAGUAUUUGAGUAUGUAAUAAAAAUUGUUUAUCGAUAAUUAAAAGUUAAUAGUGGGUGGCUUUAGGUUUUGUUUACAAAAUUGACAACAAAUUAGAUUUUUCAAAUUCAUAGGUAAGAAACUUUUCAUUUAUUCAUAGAUUUUCCGGUUUAAACUUUAAAGGAAACUUAAAAGAAAAAGAUGUAUCAUUAGGUUUGUAAUUAAAAAAAUUUAAUAUUGUAUGAUCUGUUCGAUAUGCAUAAUUUAAAUAAACAUUAAUAUAGAUGUUAUAUAUCCUAAAACUUAAUUGACUUAAUUCUUAUGGUGCAAGGAAGAGGUUUCCAAGUUUAAAUCUAAAGUCUUGUAUUUAAUUUGGGGUCGGGAAAGCACUGGGAAAUAAAUGUAACAAAGGAAAAAAAAAAAAGAAUGACAGUCUGAGUGGAGCCAACGCGGUUUUAAAAAAAGUGAAAAAAAGGGUUUAAAAAAAAAAACGCGGUUUGCUUGCUUGUGGAAAUAGAAGUCUCAUGUUUCUUUGAAAGGUAAGCAAGUGUGAAUGUUUCUAUCUAGAGCUGGAAAAUGCAUUUCCGUGCAACUUACUUGAUGAAUGAAGUUUUCAUCGCUGACCCUGAUGUUUCCCUGAGCUGCAUUCAUUGCAGCUGAUGUAUUUCAUUUUGUUUUCGAAGGAGUGACACAAAAUCUCCUUCGUUAAGGUGAGAAUUUAGAGUGGCUUUAACUGUUAACAAAUAGCCUAAUAUAAGACUUAAUCUACUUCCUGCCCUGUUGUAUGCUUAUGAAAUUUGAUAGAGUUAUGAGUUUGCAGAAGCUACUGUAUUAUAUGUUGCUUGAGGCUGUAAAAAUGAGGCAGAUCAAACACACAUUUAAAUUUCAAUGACAAUUUACUGGAAGUAAAUUUCCUAUGACCCUACAUGUGACUAAUUGAUGAGAAGUUGACAAAUGACAAAAGAAAGUGUAUGAGCUUUGCAGGUUGGCAUGCCGAUACUGACUGUGUGGCACCAUCCGCCAUUUGGAAGUGAAUAUCAUUAUUCUUUAAUCAACAUGGUGGAGUCCACUGGGACCACACCACAUGGUCAGUCUUAUCUCUAUUCCUCAAUUUUCAGUAUUCCAUACAUGAAAACAACUUCAGUUUUGUUAUCAAUUAUAAUUUCAUUGUUGGUGACGAUUCUGAUUCCUUUCUUUCUGACAAAACGGAACCAUGGUUGCUGUGGGAGAGAUCUUACUCAACGCCUUCUUUCAGGUGUUGUUUGACAGGUUGGCUUCCCGUGAUUUGCUCAGCUUUGUCCGUCAACUUGGAGGCGGGGUCGAUUCCGAGCUCAAGAAGUGGGAAAGAAAGCUGAAGAUGAUUCAGGCGGUGCUCAACGAUGCAGAGGAGAAGCAACUGACUGACGAGGCUGUGAAGACGUGGCUGGACGAUCUCCAAGACUUGGCUUAUGACGCUGAGGACAUUCUUGAUGAGUUUGCUACUCAAGCUUUGGAAAGCAAGUUGAUGGCGCAAAAUCAGGAUAGCUCUGGCCAGGUUCUCAGUUUCAUCCCGGCUAGUAUCCGAAUGCUGUUAGGUUCAAUUAUAGCAUGAGGUCCAAGAUUAACGAUAUUACUAGCCGGUUGGAGCAACUCUGCAAAGAAAGAAUCGAACUUGGACUGCAACGGAUUCCUGAAGGGGCAUCAUCAACUGCUGCUGCUGCACACCAGAGGCCACCCAGUUCAAGCGUCCCACCAGAACGUGAAGUUUUUGGUAGAGAAGAAGAUAAGGCCAAAAUUCUUGAUAUGGUAUUGGCCGAUAGCCCAAGUGAUCAUGCCAACUUUGCUGUAAUACCCAUUGUUGGCAUGGGCGGGAUAGGAAAAACAACUCUCGCUCGGGAGGUCUACAAUGACAAGGCCGUUGAACAUUCCAAGUUUGAUGUAAAAGCAUGGGUUUGUGUAUCUGAUGUCUUUGACAUUUUGGGCAUCUCAAAGGCACUUCUCGAGUCAAUCUGCUGCGCAGCUAGUGAUCUCAAGACUUUAAAUGAAGUGCAGGUUCAACUGAAAAAAGCAGUGGACGGAAAAAGAUUCUUGCUGGUCUUAGAUGAUGUUUGGAACGAGGACUACAGCUUGUGGGUAGACUUAAAAGCUCCAUUCUUGGCUGCUGCACCAAAUAGUAAGAUGAUUAUCACCACACGCAAUUCACAUGUUGCAUCUACAAUGGGACCCAUUGACCAUUAUAACCUCAAGCAUCUGUUAGACGAUGAUUGCUGGUCUAUUUUCAAAACGCAUGCAUUGGAGGGUAGAGAUCAUAAUGCACUUGAAAUCUCAGAAUCAUUUCGCAAGAAAGUUGUUGCCAAAUGUGGAGGCUUGCCCCUUGCUGCAAAAACACUCGGAGGCCUUUUGCGUACGACGAGGCAUGAUGCGUGGGAUGAUAUAUUAGAGAGCAAAAUAUGGGAUUUACCUCAACAAAGUGGGGUUCUCCCAGUAUUAAGAUUGAGUUACCAUCAUCUUCCUUCUCAUUUGAAAAGAUGUUUCGCUUACUGUGCAAUCUUUCCAAAAGAUUAUGAAUUCAAUGAGAAGGAGGUGACUUUUUUAUGGAUGGCUGGAGGAAUUAUUCGACAGUCAAGAAGCAAAGAGCGGCUAGAAGAUUGGGGCAGCAAGUGCUUCUAUGAUCUGGUGUCAAGGUCAAUUUUUCAGCAAACAGCAAUCUCUGGUAGUUCUAAAUUUGUAAUGCACGACCUUAUUCAUGAUCUUGCUGAAUUCGUCUCUGGAGAAACCAUAUUCAGGUUAGAGGAGUCCACCAACUUGUCGUCAAGCAGAUUUGAAAGAGUUCGCCAUUCUUCCUAUGCCGGCGGUUGGUAUGAUGGUAAAAAUAAGUUUGAGGUUUUCUAUGAAAUUGAACAUCUACGAACAUUCUUGCCAUUACGCUUACGCAUGCGAGGUACUUUUUUCAUAACUAGAACGGUUCUAUCUGAUUUGCUGCCAAAGUUCAAAAAAUUGAGGAUGCUAUCUUUAGAAGGAUACUGUAUUGGUGAGUUACCAAUUCCAUUUGAAGAUCUCAGACUUUUAAGGUUCCUCAACCUCGCUGACACUGACAUAAGAAGUUUACCUGAGUCAACAUGCAAAUUGCUGAACUUGGAAAUUCUGAUAUUAAGAAAGUGUUCCCGCUUGAUAAAGCUUCCCCAGAAAAUGAGGAAUUUGAUCAAUUUACGUCAUCUGGAUAUAAGAGGUGCACAGCAGCUGAAGGAGAUGCCAUUUGGAAUGAAAGAGUUGAAGAAGCUUCAAACAUUGUCCAAUUUUAUUGUGGGCAAGGGUGAAACUGCAUCCGGUGUGGAAGAUUUAAAAUGUUUAAGCUUUCUUUGUGAUGAACUUUGCAUUGCUGGAUUAGAGAAUGUGAAUAAUCCACAGAAUGCAAGAGAAGCCGCAUUAUGCGAGAAGCACAAUCUUGAAGCAUUGACUCUAGAAUGGGGGUCUCAAUUUGACAAUUCUCGAGAUGUAGCAAUAGAAGAGCACGUGCUUGACAUUCUACAGCCUCAUAAAUGUAUAAAAAAGGUGGCAAUCAGGAGCUAUGGUGGUGCAAGAUUUCCACUUUGGAUAGGAGAUCCGUUGUUCUCCAAGAUAGAAUUCCUUGAAUUGGAGAACUGUGACAAUUGUGUAUCUUUGCCAUCGCUUGGCCGUUUGAGUUCACUUAAACACCUUGCUGUUAAAGGGCUGAAGAAACUAAAAAGCAUAGAGCCUGAGGUUUAUGGGGAGGGUUUCUCAACGCCUUUUCCAUCAUUGGAGAUUCUAAGUUUCGAGAAUUUGACAGAAUGGGAGCAUUGGGACACGGAUAUCAAAGGAAAUGCACUUGUUGAAAUAUUUCCUCGUCUCCAUAAACUUUCCAUUGUGAAAUGUCCCAAACUCUCUGGAGAACUGCCUGAGCUCCUGCCCUCCUUGGAGACACUUGUUGUUAGUAAAUGUGAAAAGUUGGUAGUUCCAAUGUCUUGCUAUCCGAUGCUCUGCAGAUUAAAAGUUGAUGAGUGCAAAGAACUGGUCUGCCGGACUCCAAUUGAUUUUAAGUUGAUAAAGUCUGUGACUAUUUCAAAUUGUUCACUAGACAUGUAUGGAUGCAAGGGGAUGCUAUACAAUGGUCCAGCUGGCUCUUCACUGCCGAAAUCCAUGACUAUUACAAAUGUUUUGGCGUUUGGAAAAUUAUUGAAGCCUGGAUUUCAGAUAUUAGAAACUUUGGUAAUUGACAAUUCUGAACAGCUCAAGUCAUGGAGGCAGCGUGGGGAUUUUCGACAAGAAUAUUUGGGCGUUCGCGUAAGGCGUCACAAACCAUCACAAGGGCUAGAUAUGCUCGCCUCCCCAGAAGAGGUAACAAUUGAAGAAAGUUGUGUGAGUUUUGUUUUAUUUCCAGAGAUCAAUUUCUUUCCCAGAAAUCUGCGCUCUCUUCUAAUUUGCAACAGCACAGCUUUAAAAUCCUUACCCGAUGAAAUGAUGGACAAUUCACAACUCGAAAGGUUGUAUAUCAGAGAUUGCGAUUCUCUAACAUUCAUCACAAGACGCAAGCUACCUUCAUCUCUAAAAAGUAUAGAGAUUGAGAAUUGUGAGAAACUGCAACAUUUGUUCGAUGAUAAAGAGGAUGCUUCUUCUUCUUCUCCUCCUUCAUCCUCGUCCUCCCCAGUGAUGCUGAAACACCUGAGUAUAAAUAAUUGCCCAGUGCUCACCAGUUUAUCAACAGGAAUCCAAUUACUUGAGGCGCUUGAAAGCCUCGAGAUACGGGAUUGUCCAAAGCUGGAGUCAUUACCAGAUGGCCUUCACAAUCUUAACUGUUUACAGGAGAUUACUCUAAACAGUUGUCCAAGUCUUGUUUCCUUCCCAGAAAGAGGACUUCCCAACACGAUUUCAAAUCUUGUAUCGUUUCCAGAAGAAGGUUUUCCUACCAAUCUAACAUCACUUACAAUUGGAUAUUUCAAAAUGUAUAAGACACUCGUCCAGUGGGGGUUGCACAGGCUUACCUCUCUUAAACGCCUCUGCAUCAUUGGAUGUGAUGAUGAAGCAGAGUGUUUUCCAGACGAGGAGAUAGGAAUGACGCUGCCCACCUCUCUCACUCAUCUGACACUUUCGGAAUUCAAAAAAUUGAUAUCUCUGUCUUCGACGGGUAUUCAGAGCCUCAACUCUCUUCAAUCUUUGUCGAUCGGGAAUUGCCCGAAUCUCACAUCAUUUCCAGAGGUGGGCCUUCCAUCCUCACUUUUGGAAUUACACAUUUACAGUUGUCCAAAGCUUAAAAAAGCGUGCAAAAGAGAUCAAGGAAAAGACUGGCCCAAAAUUGCUCACAUCCCUUUCGUUGAGAUAGACGGUAAAUUCAUAUACGAUCCCGAAUCAGAGGAGUAGAUUCUAUUACACAGGUCAGUUGAUUUAUAUUAUCCGCUAUAACAAGCUCCUCCUUUUUUAUUUUUUUUAAAUAAUAAUUUUGCAGUCAGUCACGUGAUUCCGUUUUCACAAGUCAGAUUGUAUGUUGAGGCUAUUUGCCUUUUAAUCGCAGAUUAAAUUAUAACACUUAUCUUAAAAUUUAAUACCAUAGACAGAUAGACGAUUUUUUAAUCCAAAGUUUUUUUUAUUCACUUCAGUUAGCAUUUUUUUUUCCCCCAAAUCAUGCAAGCCGAGAGUUUCAAUCAAGAAUUGGAGGAUGUGAAUGGGAUUUUUGUGAAAGAGUAACAUAAUGGAUGACCGAACAUUUCAUCUGUGAUCUCAAAGUCAACAGAAUUUUAUUCACUCAUUGACUUUUCAACUGCCGUGGUUUUUAUGGGUGAAAGAUAAGGGCAAUUACAAAAAAUUUGCAAAAUUUGUCAAUUUCUUAGAUGGUAGAUAUAUCGACAUUUUAGAUUUCAGAUAUUUGUCACCAAUUUGCAAAAUUGAAAUUUCUGUCUUCAAUGGGUUUUCAAAGCCUCGCCUCUCUUCGAUUUUUGUGGAUUGGGAAUUGCACAAAUCUCACAUCAUUUCCCGAGGUCGAGGAAAAGAGCGGCCCAAACUUGCUCGCAUCCCUUGGGUUAUGAUAGAUGGAAAAUUCAUGUACGAUCCAGUCAGAGGUGUUGAUUCUCUUAUUAAGGUCAGCUGAUUUCUAUUAUCCACUCUGACAAUCUCCUAUUAGUGUUUUUCCUUUUUUUUUUUUCAAAAUUUUGCAGUUCUGUAUAAUUGAAAAUGCCACUCACUUGUUUCCUUUUUCACAGGUCAGAUAGUAUGUUGAGGCUAUUUGAUUUCUAUCGGUGUUUGUUAAGGUAAUUAGUGCUCCCUCAUAGGUAUGACUAGAUUUUUUUCACUUCCGUAAAUAUUGCAUUUUAGACUGGCAAAUUUAGCAGUAAUUUUAAUACAAUUUUGUUGGUGCCUUGUGUGCCAGAAGCUAGAAAAAUGUGUAGUUUUCAGAUAAGGAGUCUUGUUAGUUCUCUAGUAAGAAUCCAAUAAUUUGCUUUUGCACGUCCAUCUAAUUUGUGGAUCCUUGCAUCAGAAUUUGAUCAAUCCAAAGGAAUUGCUUUUAGACAGAAGAAGAAUAGCAGCACCUAGCCUAUGUCAUAGUGUAUGGACCCGCAAACCUGAAACUAUUAGAUUGAGGUAAAAAAAUCAUUGACCCUCACAUGUUAACUUCUUCUAGUUACUUUUGUUGGGAAAAAAAAACAUUUAAGGAAUUUGCAAUUUGUUGUUAGUUAUGGUAUCUGAUGUUCUUUUCUGUUUUAGCGUUUGUAGAAUCUACGGUAUUAUGUGUUGGCAGUUGCCGUAUCUGAGGUAACUUGCCUUUAUUUGUUUGCUUCUGACUUAAGGACACCAACAUUUGCCAGAGAUUUAGAGAAGCAUCUCAAAACACUUAGCAAACUUGACAAACUUCAAGAUGCACUUGCCCCCACGCCUUAUUCUCCACAACGCAAAACUUGUGAGUACACUUAUGCCUGCAAUUAUUGUGAAGUGUUUGCAAUUUCGAUGCAGAGAAAUGGUUUCUUGAUGCAAAGUAUUAAACUGUUAAGAUUUAUCCUGCAGGCUUGUUAGAUGUUGUAUACUCGAAAAGCCAACAACAUCAAGAACUACAACUCCAAGACCAACUUUGCAUUAAUUCAGUCAGCUGUAAAAAUGAUGCAAAUGACACUAUAUCAAGCUGGACUUAGAGACUAGUCAGAUCAAUCAUCCAUUUCAUCAACGGUUAAUGUCAUGAUGGUGGCUAUCAGAGGAAACAAAAGAUGUGUCAGAAUCUAUACGAACAUUGAGAAGCAUGAGAGGAGCUUUGAUUUUGAGUAGGGUCAAUGAACUCAUGUUGGUAAGUGGUGAUUAAAGAAAUUUGUAAGCUUAGUAGAGUUUCAGUAUUUUCUGUUUGGAGUAUAGUUGAUAAGUUGACUCUGUUUAAGAAGCCCGAUUAUAGUAGCUGACUGUAUUAACCUUUUUUUUUUUGGUCUGCUGUUGUUUUUGGUUUCGAUUAUUUUUUCAACAUUGGGUUGAUCUGUUGAAGAACAAGCUUGGGUUUGAUUAUGUUUUAACUAUAAGGAAGAGCCAGACUUGGUUGCAGGCGUUAAGCUUUUAAUGGGUAAGAACAAAUGAAUGCUUUAACCAUGUUUCUCACUUAUUAAAAUGCAUGGAUUGAAGGCAUCUGGGUUGAUCCUGACAAUGUGAUGGAAAUACUUCUCUGUUUUCAUGUAACAGGACAAAUAGAGAUCUCUGAUCAUGCCUGAAUUUUUGUUGCAUUGAAAUUUCUACCAUUACCAAACAUAGAAUGAACUGGGGAUACAUUAGCUUAAGACUCAAUUUUGAGAAGGAAGUUUGUACUUGCAGCCUAUAAAAUCAUGUCCGUGUCGUACGUUUCUUUGGGAAAUGAAAGAUUCUGUGUGUUCUUUUAUUUCAAGUUCACUGAAAUCACAUUUGUUUUCUCCGAUGCUUUCCAGAAGGUAACAACAUCAAUUUCAAAAAUGCUGGGGCAAGAUGCAUCAUGCAGUGCGACUCAACUUGAGAAUUCCUGGCCACAUUACCCGUAUGUCGAAUGAUCGCACAGUUCAACCUUGAGAAGCUUGUAAUGAGUACACAACUGGGUGCAAGUAGUUUUGAAAUGAAUUUGCCUCAAAUGAUUUCUUGCUCGCAUCCCUUGGGUUAUGAUAGAUGGAAAAUUCAUAUACGAUCCAGAGUCAGAGGUGUUGAUUCUCUUAUUAAGGUCAGCUGAUUUCUAUUAUCCACUCUGACAAACUCCAAGACCGGGUUUUUUUUUUUUUUUAAUUUUGCCGUUCUGUAUAAUUGAAAUGCCACUCACUUGUUUCCUUCUUCACAGGUCCGAUAGUAUGUUGAGGCUAUUUGCUUUUUAUCGGUGUUUGUCAAGGUAAUUAGUGCUGCCUCAUAGGUUGAUUACUCACAGAUGAAAUCAUAACUUUUAUCUUAAAAUUUAAUAGCAUACACAGAUAGAUGAUUUUUAGUCCAAAGUUUUUUUAUUCACUUCAAUCAAAAUUUUAGAUUGCAGAUUUUUGUCAAGUAUUUCAUUACAAUUUUUUCAUUUUUUAUUUUAAACCAGAAUAUGAGUAUAACAUUUUGGAGCGUGCAUACUCUGAUGCAUGCAAUUAACUGUUUUUAAUCAUUGGAUUUUGAAAUUAAUAAUGGUAAGAUGUGUACUUAUUCUGUCUUCCAACAACCUUGGCCUCUUUCUUCGGUCGCAUAUCUAAUGAAUAUUUCUCUGUUUAGUUAAGGAUGAAUGCUUGGAGUGGGGUACUUGGUAACAUUUCUGCCUCAGAUGAAUCCUUGAAGAAAUGCCCGCAGUUCCUGAGACCAAAUACAGGUCUGAUUCAAAACAGCACCUUUCUCAGAAAAUAUGAUCCAAGGCAAAGUCAUGUUCUGAUAAUGUUUCCUUAAGUACAAAGUUGCAAGGAAACUUGAUUCAUUAACUACAGUUUUUUAUUUUUAGGACCUUGUAUCUGAAAGGUUCAGUGUUUUUUUUUUUUUCAAAUUUAUUGUUCAGAUCUCAGAGGAGUAUAUGGUUUAGAUUACAAAACACCCAUGAUUAAUUUCAUUUUUUUUUUAAUUUCAGGGAGAAGAAGUGGUCAGUUUCAAUCCGGAAUUGGAAUAUGGCAAUUUGGUUCAAGCACACACACCUGGUCACUUGGUCAGUGAACCUGAACUUUACGCAGUUUUUUCAACUCAGUGAUUUUUGGAACGCAUAGUGGUGUAAGGAAAUCAAAAGAAAUUUAUGCAUAGUCAAAUUCUGAUAUUUGCUAUAUAUUAUACAUUCUAAAGUUUCUCCAGUUUGUUCUCAGAUUACCAUCAUUUUUUGCCUUCACCAAAAAAAAAAAAUUGAGUGGCUUUCCAGUGGAUAUUUAAUCGGAGGUAUGACUGGAUUUUUUUCACUUCUGUAAAUCUUGCAUUUUAAACUGGCAAAUUUAACUUUAAUUUUAAUACGACUUUGUUGGUGCCUUGUGCCCCAGAAACUAGAAAGAUGUGUAGUUUUCAGAUAAAGGGGCUUGUAAAUUCUCUAGUAAGAAUCCAAUAAUUUGCUUUUGCACGUUCAUUUUAUUUGUGGAUCCUUGCAUCUGAAUUUAAUCAAUCCAAAAGGAAUUGCUUUUAGACAGAAGAAGAAUAGCAGUACCUAGCCUAUGACAUAGUAUAUGGACCUGCAAACCUGAAACUAUUAGUUUGAGGUAAAAAAUUCAUGACCCUCACAUGUUAACUUUCAUGAAAAACACAUUUAAGAAAUUUGCAAUUUUUUGUUAGUUUCGUAUCCGAUGUUGUUUUCUGUUUUAGCAUUUGUAGAAUCUACUGUAUUAUAUUUUGGCAGUUGCAGUAUCUGAGGUAUGUUUUGCAUUUAACUUGCUUUAUUUGUUUUGCUUGUGACUUAAGAACACCAAUAUUUGCCAGAGAUUUAGAGAAGCAUAUCAAGCUGCUUGGCAAACUUGACAAACUUCAAGAUCCUCCAUUCUUCACAACGCAAAACUUGUAAGUACACCUAUGCCCGCAGUUAUUGUGAAAUGCUUGCAAUUUUGAUGCGCUGAAAUGGUUUGUUGAUGCAAAGGUUUAAACUUUUAAGAUUUACCCUGCAGGGUAGUUGGAUGCUGUAUACUCGAAAAGCGACCAACAUCAAGAACUAUGACUCCAAGACCGGGUUUGCUUUAAUUCAAUCAGCUGAAAUCAUGAUGCAAACGACACUAUCAGCUGGACUUAGAGACCGGUCAGAUCAAUCAUCCAUUUUAUCAACAGUUAAUGUCAUGAUGGUGGCUAUUAGAGGAAACAAAGGAUGUGUCGGAAUCAAUGUGAACAGUGAGAAGAAUGAGAGGAGCUUUGAUUAUACGUAGGCUCAAUGAACUCAUGCUGGUAAGUGGUAAUUAAAGAAAUUUGUGCGCUUAGUAGCAUUUCAAUAUUUUCUGUUUGGGAUAUAGUUGAUGAGUUGAUACUCUGAUUAAGAAGCCUGAUUAUAGUAGCUGACUUUUUUUUUGUGGUUUGCUGUUGAUUUUUCUUUUGAUUUUUUCAACAUUAGGUUGAUCUGUUGAAGAACAAGCUUGGGUUGAUUAUGCUUUAACUACAAGGAAGAGCCAGACUUGGAUGCAGGCGUUCAGCUUUUAAUGGGUAAGAACAAAUGUAUGCUUUAAACAUGUUUCUCACUUAUUACAAUGCACGCAUUGAAGGCAUCUGAGCUGAUCCUGAAAAAGUGAUGGAAAUACUUCUCUGUUUACAUAAAACAGGACAAGAGAUCUCUGAUCAUGCCUGAGAAUUAGUUGCAUUGAAAUUUCUACCAUUGCCAAAAAUAGAAUAAACUAGGAAUACAUUAGCUUAAGACUCAAGUUUGAGAAGGCAGUUUGUACAUGCAGCCUAAAAAAUCAUGUCUGUGUUGUAUACUUGUAUGUUUCUUUGGGAAAUGAAAGAUUCUGUGUGUUCUAUUAUUUCAAGUUUGCUGAAAUCACAUUUGUUUUCUUAGAUGCUUUUGAGAAGGUAACAACAUCAAUUUCAAAAAUGCUGGGGUAACAUGCAUCACGCAGUGCUACUCAACAUGAGAAUUCCGGCCGCAUUACCUGUAUGUUGAGUGAUCGCACAGUACAGCCUUUAGAAGCUUGUAAGGAGUAGACAACUAGAUGUGAGUAGUUUCAAUAUGGAUUCGCAUCAAAUGAUCUCUUGCCAGUGAUUACUAUAACCUCUAUCCCAAAAUUCUUGGAACUGGUCAUACCAAUAAUGAAGUGUUGUGUAUGUUGAAGACAUUGCGAAAGCUCCGUCAGCCUUUGUAUUGGAAAACAGUUGGUUGUAGUUGCUUCUGAAUGAUAUUAUUAAUAGAUACUGUAAAAAUGAACUGUGCCACUCAUUUUCAGAGCCCUGUUAAGAUGUGUUGGUAAUGUGUUUGAAGGUUGUUUGAUUUAUGUUGUAUUCAGCUAUAAAUCAAAGAUUCAGAACAUGGUUAUGUUACUGGUUUCCAAAUCAAAAAAUUGCCUUGUGAUGUUAGUGUUCAUUGUUUUCACAGGAGAUCAGGUUCCCUGUUGAUGAAUCAUUAAGGCAAACGCAUCCAUGUCUUAAGUUCAAAUGUGUCUCUUCUAUUUUCUAUUACUGACUCCUUUAUUUUGAUUUCUUCAUUGUAAUGGAAUUGGUUUUUAUUCCAAAUUAGUCUUAAGUUCUGUUAGCAUUUGAAGAUAGAACUAGAACUAAAUGAUUGACUGGAUUAAAUUCCGAUAAAGAAUUAAGUUAUAUAUUUAGAGAUAUUAUGUUUUUUUUUUUUUCAUUUGUUCAAUUUGGUUAGUGGUGAUUUCUUAAAGACUCAAUCCAUGUGCGUUUAUGCAUUUUUCUUUUGCCUUAAUUUCUGUUUCUUGGGGAGUUUAUACAGAUUCUUAUUUUAUGCUUCACAUGCCACAUGAAAGAUCGAAUUCUUAUAAUAAGAGUCUGAGAUCUCCCUGAAGGAUUCAAAGCAUUUUAUUUUAUAUUAAACUCCUUUACGUGGGUUUGGACACUACCACAAGUUCUUUAAAUACUAAAACGAUUUUAAGUCUUUUGUAUCAUCUGAUUGAAAUACAUGAAAGCACUCGUGGCUGCAAAAAUACAGUUGGGGCUAUUUCUAAAGUCUUCAACAGCAUUUUCUUUUUAACCUUUAUCCUCAUGGUUGUUUUUGCAGUUGUUCUUUAAGAAAACAUUUAAAAGGUUCUCUUUAUGGAUUUUUGAAAAUAAUUUUAACAUAAGCAAUUUUCAGAAGCACUUUAGAUGUCUGGCAUUUAGAAAAUUUUAUUCCGGUGUCACAUAAAAUACUUAGGAAGUUAAAUUUAUUUAUUUAUGAGCAUGUGCCAGUGCCCUGUGGCAUCCUCUUCACUUGUGAUAGUCAAAUGUAUUAUACGAUACAAUAUUAGCUUGACUGUAGCACAGAGGAGAAUAGGGUUGGUGUUGGUCUGAACCAGCUUAUGUAACAGCUGCCAAAGGAUAAUUUAAUUGUACUUUGAGUAAAGCUUUUGCAAAUUAAACAAGUGAUAAUUUGUUUCUAUUAAGAAAAACUUAAAGGAUAGGGCUAUUUUAACUCACCAAACUACACAUUAAAAAUCUACUUACAAAAAUAGUUUUUAAUUAUUAAAAUAUUCCUAAAUUAAAUUAUAAUUAUGGACACUAAAAUAUAAUUUUUUUUAUAUUUUACCCUUUGAAACUAUCUUUACAUUCGAUAUUACAUUUUUUUCUUAAACUCCAAAUUGAUUUUUUUUAUUAAUUUUAAAACACAUAUAAAGUGAUUCAUAUUGAUUUUAUACUAACAAACUAUUAUAGCACAUUCGAAAAAUAAUUAAAUCGUUCUUAUUUACAUAGUGAAAAUGCAAAUAGCUCAUUCAAAUGUUAAGGAAUUGGAGAGCUGCUGCUGGAGAUGAAAGAUGUGAAUUAAACAUCAGAGAAAAAAUUAUGUUCACUGUCUUGCCAGACCAAGCACCGAAAAGCGUCGUAAAGAAAAAUUAGAUAAUUUAGAAGAUAAAGCACGUGGAAUGGAGGCAGAAAGCAAGUAAUGAUAACUCUUUCGACAAACUAAUAUAUACCAAAAUGUAAUAUCGGCCCUAAUAAAAAAUGUGUUACGUAAGUAAAAGCACCAGGUCGGUCGUGCUACUAUUUCUGUCCCGGUAUGGCUCACCUCAACUGAAUGGUACAAGCAGAGCAUGGAGACGAAUAUGGCCCGACCAGAGAUGAGUACCGACCAGAGGUGUAUGUCGAGCCGAUACCCGUCUCCUGAAAAAGCGGGAACACGAUCCCACAGAAUCGCGGAAUUUGCGUUUUUCCCAGAACCGUUGCGAGAGAUGCGAUACCCCACGUUUACCCGUAAUGUAGUAGUUAAAGUUCCGUGAAAGGCCACCACCCGAAAAAGGAGGGAUGAAGACUGAGCGGGAACGUGGGAUAACGGCUAUAAAAGAAGGAGAAAUCGAUGAAGAAGGGGACAGAAAAAUCAAAAGAGGGAAAACGCUGCCAAAUUAUUGUCAGGCUAUCUUCUUGAAAAUUCCAGAUAAAUCAAAAACUACUCUUAAAUCUAAAUUGCUCUGUUUUCCCGUAAAUACCUUGAGCUAACUUAGGCAUCGGAGGGUUUACGCCGGCAAAACCACCCGCGUCUUUGAUCCGUUUUUUUGUGAGCGCAGGUCUAGAAAGAGAAAGGAGGACGAGUCCAAGUCCCGCGGUUCGAACUUGAUAACAUAAUCGUUGGUGGAAAAUUCUGGUCGGUAACAAGGCGAGCAGAUUUAAGCAUCAACAUUUUGGCGCCGUCUGUGGGGAGCUGGAUAAAAAGCUACCACCAACUUAGUAGUUGCCAGAGAAGCGGUAAACAAUCAGACAUGGAUGUGCCCAGGAAAGACGCUCUGAGGGAGGAUAACGAGUCUGGAGAGACAAUCACUCUUAGGGAAAUUGCAAAUGAAGCCCGGGAGAGGGUAAUGCAAGAUCGAUUGGAGCGGAUGGAGAAACAAAUGGAGACUCUCGCGACCAUACUAUUUGAGCUGAGAGACGAGCGGAGAAGGGAUUGCGAAACCCCUGUGGGGAGAGAUGAUGUCGGAGCAGAACCCAGCCUCCGGACGCGUAGAGUCGAGGAGAUCCCUCCGCCGGCGGACCAACCUAAUGGGGUGCAUCCCCACAGAAGUACUGGUCGGAUUCCAGGAGAACAAAUAGAUGAAGGGAGGAACCAACCUCGCCCUGGGCGGGUACUGGAAGCUGAUGGCCGAGGGGCCAGUGUUAAUGAAGGGGAGCUCAGGCAGCGGUUGCAGAAUGCCGAACAGGAGCGAGAUCAAAUAGCUGCACGUGAUCCUGACCGUGCUGUAGAAUUGGAGGGAGAGGUGCGCAGAUUAGCGCAAGUGAUAGAGGAGAUACAGGGUAGGAGAAAGCCCCCGAGCUGGAGGAUAAUGCUAGAUGAAGAAUCUCCACUAUCAGUUGAGAUCAUGGGCACUGUAAUCCCAAGAGAUUUCCGCUUCCCCGACCUCAAAUACUCCGGGCGAAGUGAUCCACUGGUGCAUAUUGAACGUUUUAAUGACGUGACGGGUGUUCAGGGGUUAACACCAGCUCAGAGGUGUAGGGUAUUCCCAUUGACACUAGAGAGACGAGCCCGAGAAUGGUACCACAAACUGUUACGAGGAAGUAUCAGAGGGUACGAGCAGAUGUGCCAAGAAUUGGCCGAACAAUUCCGGGGGGCGGUGGCCCCAGAGGAUGAUAUGAUGGAACUAAUGGGGAUAAAGCAGGAGGAACAAGAACCCCUUCGAGAUUUUGUAAAACGAUACCACCGAGCCGUGCUUGAUUUGGGAGCUUUCAAUCACCCGCAGGCGUUGAGGGGAUUGAAGGAGGGUGUGAGAAUAGGCCGACUGUGGUAUAACCUGAGAAGCCCCCUGGUGCAGAAUUAUUCCGCGGGGUAUGAGCAAGCAAAGAGAGACAUUGAAAUCGAAGAAGAAAAAUCAGCCAGGAUAAAGAGUGAACAAUUGGAGGAGCUGAGACGAAGAGAGAUGAGAGCCCCAAAAGGAGCGGGUCAGGAAAGCAAGCUGGGGAAUCUUCAAUGAUGGGUGCAGUAUCCGCUCGAUCUCGCCUUUAUCCUAUGGCUCAGAGACCGCAGCAGGUCCAACACAAUCGGGCUCAGCCCUCACGCCCCCCAUUCCUGGAACGACAACGAGAAUUUCGGCAGUUGGCUAACCAUCCCUAUCACAACGCUCCCAGAGCACCGCAUACAGCCAACCCCAGAGCGGGACGAUCAGGUCAGCUACCUUCAAUAUCCGCUCGGGAUGAUACUCAUGAUAGCCGAGCAGUCCAGCUGAUUGACCAGAACCCAGCGUACGGACAAUAUACCCCGCUAAAAGUCCCUAUGGAGGAGUUGUAUGAGAGAAUCGAGGGACGAGGCCUGUUGUACCCUCCAGCCCCUAUAACGAAACCUGCUCACCGAAGGGAUAAGAGCAGAUUCUGCAAAUUCCAUGACACUCACGGUCACACCAUCAGCCAAUGUCGUGACUUUAAGAUUCAGGUGGAGGAUUUGGUGAGAAAUCGUUAUUUGGAUGAGUAUGUAGAUGGGGUUUCUCCCGUCAUUGAAUCACAGUACACGCGGGGUGAAGGAGAUGAGAGGAGCCUGGAACGUGAACAGCCAACUAUCCGUGUGAUAGCAGGAGGGCCAACCCUGGCUGGGGAUUCGAAUAGGGCACGGAAGAACUAUGGGAAAUACGCCAUGACCAGCAAAGAAGUUCUUUUCAAUUUGCCAGCAGCCAAGAAGGCAAAAUUGCGGCAAGUUCCCAUUAUGUGGACAGAUGACGAUAAAGAGGGUAUCCUAUAUCCUCAUAAGGAUGCACUGGUGAUUAAGGCAAUGGUGGCUGGUACAGAACUACGACGGAUACUGGUAGACACGGGCAGCUCGGUUGACAUCUUGUUUAAAUCGGCCCUAGAUGAUAUGGGGAUUGCAGACUUAAAAUUGGAACGGACGAACACAUCUUUAAAGGGAUUUGGAGGGGGACGGCUAACUCCCAUAGGAAUCGUCGAACUCCCAAUUACUAUGGGGACAAAGCUGUUUGAAAGAACAAUGAUGUUGGAUUUUGUCGUGGUAGAGGAGAGAAGCCCUUACCAGAUGAUACUGGGGAGACCGUUCAUGAAGAUAAGUCAAUGCGUUGUGUCUACGCAUUAUCUGGCACUAAAAUACAGAAUAAACGGAGCGGUUGGUGUAGUAAAAGGUGACCAGAGGGUGGCAAGGAGUUGUUAUGCUACAGCGGCCAAGGAGACGCUGCAGGUUACUUCCUUAGAUAAUCGAGGAGAACCUAAAAAGGGCCGCCAAGAACCUGUUGAGAAACUGGAGGCAGUUUCGGUAAGCAAAGGCGACCUGAGCAGAGUGGUGAAGAUCGGAUCGGGGUUGGUUGGUGCAGUCAAAGGCGAACUGGUAAAUUGCCUACAGUCUCAUGCAGAUAUAUUUGCCUGGUCUCACGAGGAUAUGCCAGGAAUUGAUCGUGGGGUAGCUUGCCACAAGUUGGCAAUUAAGAAGGGGGCGAGGCCGGUGAGACAGAAGAGGAGAUGCUUUAACCAGGAAAGAUACCCAGACGGACGAGAUGUGAAGAGGUCAUGGAACGCCGAGCACUUAAAGAAGUAUUUUCAGUAAGCAAAGUGCUCUGCUAAAUCCUCAUUUUGAUAAGUUUUCUUUGUUAACUGCAUGAUGGUUUAUUACGCAUGUACAUAGUCUGUAUUUUGUAAUACAUUCAAAUCGCAAUAAAGAUGAAUUCAGCAUGAAACCCUUCUGUUAAGCAAGGCCAUUAUAAUUUAUACCAAGGCAAGUAAGUGCCUGCUUCUGCUCGGUCAACGAAAGACCAGCAGCUAAAUUAGCGAAAUUUCUACCAAGGCAAGUAAGUGUCUGCUUCUGCUCGGUCAACGAAAGACCAGCAGCUAAAUUAGCGAAAUUUCUACCAAGGCAAGUAAGUGCCUGCUUCUGCUCGGUCAACGACAGGCCAGCAGCUAAAUCUACGAAAAUUAUACUAAGGCAAGUAUGUGCCUGCUUUAGUUCGGUCCACGAAAGACCAGCAGCUAAUACUACGAGAAUUCUGCUAGGGCAAAUAAGUGCCUAGUUCUGCUCGGUCAACGAAGACUAGCAACCAAUUUUAUUAAAAUUUUACUAAGACAAGUAAAUGCAUACUCCUGCUCGGUCCACAAAGAAACCAGCAAGCAAAAUCAGAUAAGUUGUCCAAUUAUUUUGCAGAAACCAUCUAUGAGCAAAUACCAGACAAGAAAGUCAAUAGAGAACAUCUAAAAGUUUAUAAAUGUUUGAUUGUCUACAAAAUAGAUGUAAAUCUAAAGUUUACACAGAAAUAGACUUAAAGAUUAGCAGGGUCAACGGCUCCAGCAGCUGAAGAAUCAGCAACCUCAGGAGGCGGGAGAUCGGCAAUACCGGGAGGAGGGGGCAUGGACCCUUGACCCACCUCGAAAGUACGUCCCCCGGCUUCCCCCUCCUGCACCCCCUCCAAAGGAGCCUCCGCCUGAUCCUGAUGACCUUGCUCCUUAUCUGCCUGGCCGGUUUCCGCCAUAUACCGCUGCACUCCAGCCUCCAGCUUACUCAUGUCCAGCUCGGGAUAUUCUUCUUUAAGCACGGACAUGAUACACUUAUAGGAGAAAGCAACCCCAGAGUCAUACUCGGCAUCCAGCUGGUCGUCCACAUCAGCGGAUUUGCCUUUCUCCUCAGCCAGCUGUUCAUUUAGGGAUUUGAUUUCUCCCUCAAGGGCAGUCCUCAGAGUAUCUCUUUCACUUUGAGUUACCUGAAGGUCAGACUUCAGGCUGCCCAACUCACCCUCGAGUUUGGAGGCAGUGGACUCAGCAAUUGCAGUUUUCUCCUCCAGCUCCAUAAUCUGUUUGUUCAGCUCGGCCAGUUUCUCCUUGGAGCGAUCAGCAGAUUCAGCCUUCUUUUUCAACUCCUGAUUAUCAGCUUGAAGCUUCCUCUCAUGGCGUAUGGACACGUUCUUGUAACACGAAACCAUGGUGGCCAGCCUGAAGGAAACCCUUUGAACAGAGGCAGCUAACUCGGAGAGCUCCAUACUCUCGAUGUCCUUCACCAUCUUGGGCCCAACCGACCUCUUGUAAUCCUUUUGGUACGGGCUCAAAUAGUCACCCUGAUCCCGAGAUGGAAGAGGAGAAGAUCGGUCCCCAGAUUGUAAGCUGACCUCAGGGCUCUUGUCGGAAGUUUUCUCCCCACUACUCUUACGAGGUGGAGGAGGGGGCAGAGCAGGAACUGGAGCCUGAGAAGGACUGGCACUGGCCUUUUUCGGAGGAGGAGGAGGGUGGCUGGAGCUGCUCGAUGCCCGACCACGCUUUCUGCUCAUCGCGCUGAGGAUCUUGUUAUCCAUCCCAGCGGCAAUAUCUACUAAGCCCGAACCGACCAGGUUUGUUGGUGACAGGAGGUCUUGACAAGUAGACGCGCUCACCAGAGCCGUUUCCACCUGGAGUAAAGGUCGGUCCUCGAGAGUCUUAACCAAACCCCACGAUUCUGAAAAAACAGACAAGGUUAAAGAACCCAAUAAGUGGCAAUUCGAGAAAGAAUAUAGGCAAAAAAUGAACGACCUGGGGUGACAAAUUGCGUUGGAAGGUAAAUGUCACCACCCAACGACCGAACUGCUGGACACCAAUUUCCCCCAGCAAAGAAGAAUUUGUUCUUCCAAUUUUUGCACGAGGAGGGGAAACCGGUGAUUGGCUUUCUCUUCGCAGAACUGGACAUGAAGUAGUACCAGCCCGCCUCCCUUGGGCUGCUCCGCAGCUGAUACAGAUGCUUCACUUCAACAAGGGAAGGCUCCUCCGACCCACACCUCUCCCACAACACAAACAUAGCCGAGAGAACCCUCCACCUGUUUGGGUGUAGUUGACCUGGGGCCAGGUGCAUACCCCCUAAAAUCUUGGCAAAAUAGCGCUGAAGAGGCAGCCGAGCUCCUAAUUUAAAGCUCUCCAGGUGCAUGGUCACGUACUCCCGCGGAGGCCGACUAGGAACAUCACCUUUCUCAGGAACCACAAGGAGAACCUCCUUAGGAAUAUCAUAGAGGUUCCUAAGCUUGAACAGAUCAUUUUGGGUGGUGGCACAGGCUAUGUGAUCAAUGGGGUAAGAAUCUGCCUCCAUCCUAUGCCCAAGGUUUUGUUUCUUAAGAGGUCGGCUCGGCUCGGCUCGGAGCUGCUUCCCUCACUAUCACCCGCUCCUUCAGGAACCCCGACCCCACCAGAACUGUGGUUCUCGCCAGAGCCCGACGCAGGUCCCCCUCUAUUUCCUACAAGCUCUAAUUCAGAGGAGGGUGAAAUGGUCAAGGGACGUGGGUACUCAAGGAUAUCCCUACUAUGGGAUAAGCCUACACUACGAGAGGGAUUCAAAAAAUCAGUGGGUAUGGGCAAGUUAAGGUCUGAAUCCCCAGAUUCUUCAUCACCCUCGUCUGCAAUCAACUUCCUUCUUCGAUUUGACAUACCGGAGUUCCAAAAGAAAACCAAAACAAACCCAAGUACACGAAUACAAAAAGAGACAGUACAGAACCCAAUCAACAACAGCCAAAAAAGAGGUUAAAGGCUAUACCUGGAAUGGACUAACAUUGGUAGCACUGCCGUGACAGAGAAAACACCCAGCAAAUGGAUACUCCGGACGCUGGAAAUGGGAGCAAAGUCCAGAAAAGAAAUUGGUUAGUGACGGAGAAACGAAUCGCAGAAUGAUGAUGAUUUUAGUCUAGGGAUUUGGAACGAAAAGGGGGGAAACGGAAGCAUUUAAGUGAUGGGAUAUGCCAGCUCACUCACCAUAUAUCGAGGAAGGAUAGCCCGUCGUUUCAAAUUUCAAAAUAUGAAGAGUCGGGAAGCGCCACGUCACUAACCGAUACAAGAGGCCAGACUAGAGCAAGCCCAGAUAUGCAAUGGACAGGCUCAUUAAGGCCCAUGCUCAGAAGACCAGAUGAGAAGCCCCGGGCUGGUCGGCUUCAACCAUCAGUUUCUACUCUUAACUCAUUUCACUCGCAAGACCAGAAACUGGGGGACUGGUGUUAAGUAAGUAAAAGCACCAGGUCGGCCGUGCUACUAUUUCCGCCCCGGUAUGGCUCACCUCAAUCGAAUGGUACAAGCAGAGCAUGGAGACGAAUAUGGCCCGACCAGAGAUGAGUACCGACCAGAGGUGUAUGCCGAGCCGAUACCCGUCUCCUGAAAAAGCGGGAACACGAUCCCACAGAAUCGCGGGAUUUGCGUUUUUCCCAGAACCGUUGCGAGAGAUGCGAUACCUCACGUUUACCCGUAAUGUAGCAGUUAAAGUUCCGUGAAAGGCCACCACCUGAAAAAGGAGGGAUGAAGACUGAGCGGGAACGUGGGAUAACGGCUAUAAAAGAAGGAGAAAUCGAUGAAGAAGGGGACAGAAAAAUCAAAAGAGGGAAAACGCUGCCAAAUUAUUGUCAGGCUAUCUUCUUGAAAAUUCCAGAUAAAUCAAAAACUACUCUUGAAUCUAAAUUGCUCUGUUUUCCCGUAAAUACCUUGACCUAACUUAGGCAUCGAAGGGUUUACGCCGGCAAAACCACCGGCGUCUUUGAUCCGUUCUUUUGUGAGCGUAGGUCUAGAAAGAGAAAGGAGGACGAGUCCAAGCCCCGCGGUUCGAACUUGAUAACAUAAUCGUUGGUGGAAAAUUCUGAUCGGUAACAAGGCGAGCAAAUUUAAGCAUCAACAAAAUGAAAAUAAAAAUUCAUUACGAAUACGUGUUAAAGAUAUCCCAAGUAUAGAUGUGACUGAAAUAUUUGAGAUUGAAGAAGAAUUAAGACUCAAAAUCAAUUGGGAGGAAUAAAUGAGAAACCCCAAUACCAAAAAAUACACGCACAAAUCCUAAUACUAAUUGUAAUCACGGAUAAAAAGCAUAAUACGAAUAAAUUAAAUGGGCAACUAUUCCAUUGAGAAAUUAAUUAAAUCGUGUAUUAAUAUUUUGUAUACAUAUAUUUUUCUAUAUAUAACUUUCGGUAAUUUAAUUUUCCACUUAUCAUUUUUACUCCAAAAAAAUAAUUGAGAAUAUUAUUUAUAUUUUGGUGCAAAAUAUUUGAACAAUAUACAAAUUUUCAGUUUAAUAAAUCUAAACAUCUAUUAAGUUAUAAAUGAAUUUAAUGGGUUUAAUUAAUAAAAUUACUAUUAUUAUAUAAAUUGGGUUUAGUAAUGGUAUAUUGGGUGGGUUUGUUGAGUAAAUUUUAAAAUUUUGAAAUUUAAGGAUGGGUUUAUUUAGUAAAUGAGUUAAGGGAGUAGUUUGUUGGGAUUCACAUAGCCCCACCAAAUUCAAAUGUAAAAUUUGUGGAAAAAGAAGCUAUUGAGUUAUUCUUUUAAAAAAAGAAUUAAAAUGUCAAGAAUACCUUUAUUUAAUUUUAUAAUCUUAUUUUAUAGUCAUAUUUUAUUUCCACCUUAACAUAAUUUUAAAAACCUUAACUAAUAAAUUCUAUAUUUUUUUUAUAAAAGUUAUCAUUAAUAUCCAAACGGCUAAAGAUUUUUUUUUUUUUAAAAAAAAAGGAACUAUGCUUACAAAAGUUGUAUACAUUAACAAUAAAUUUAGUCCAAAGAAUAAAGUUAUUCCAAACAAGCACUCCAAUUCAUCUUGCUAAUGAAUCAAGAUGACUGAAUCCUUCUCUAAGCCAAAUCUAUUUUCACUUUUAGGUCAGAAAUUGUCAUUAAAAAAAUGUUUGAUAAAAUAUGCUCUAGGAACACUAAUUCGUCAGAUGGUUACUCCAAGUUUAUGAAAUCAAUGGGAUUUCAUCAUAUUCAUAACAUUCUUCUUUAAUGUCUAUUCUAACAAAGAAAUCAUAUACAGAGAAUAGGUUUCGUUAAAACUUUUACUAGAAAAACUAACCACAAUUCACCAUUCAUUUAUAUCUUAAGUAAGCCUAAGAUUUUAUCAUUAAAAUCCCAUCAUGAAAAAAACUCAUGGGAGAAAAACUAUAAAAAUUGAAGAAAAAAGAGUAUGGCGUGCAUGUAAAUUAUAUCGAUUUUAUCUACAUGACAAAUAAGACUCUCUUUUACAAUGGCACGGAUGCUUCAUUGAGUAAUCAUGAUUCUUGCUGGUAGUGCUUUGUUGUAUCAAUCUGCUAGCUAUUCAGCGUUCUUUCUUUCUUUCUUCUUAUUUUUUUGUUUUCAAAUAGCUUGUGGUUGUAGAAAUAUUUCAAUUAAACUAUACUUAAGUACUUAUUUGGUAUAACUUCUUUACUAACCAAAAGAAUUUUUUUUUUUGGUUUUUUAUAAUUUAAUUAUACUUUAACUAGAGUUUUUGGGAUAAAACAAGUGAUAAUUUCUCUCUAUUAAGAAAAACUCAAAGGGUAGGGCUAUCUCAAUCCACCAAACUAUUUAUUAAAAAUCCACUUAUGAAAAUAAUUUUUAAUUAUUAGAAUGCCUUUACAUUAAAUUAUAAUUAUGGACACUAAAAUAUAAUAAAUUUUUUUUUUACUCUUUAAAACUGUCUUUACAUUUGAUAUCAUAUCUUUUUCUUAAAAUCUAAAUUGAUAUUUUUAUUUUAUUUUUUAUUAAUCUUAGAACACAUAUAAAGUGAUUCAUAUUGAUUUUAUACUAACAAACUAUCACAGCACAUUCGAAAAUAAUUAACUCGUUCUUAUUUGCAUAGUGAAAAGGCAAAUAGCUCAUCCAAAUGUUAAAGAACUGGAGAGCUGCUGCUGGAGAUGAAAGAUAAAUAAUUCUCACUUAGAAGAAGGAGAAAAAAAGGAAAUACAAUUAGAAUGAGAGGUAGCCAGUAGCCACUAGCCGCCACCACCACCAGUGAAACUAUUUCACAUAAUAGAAGAUAAAGCACGCGUAAUGGAGGCAAAAAGCAAGUAAUGAUAACUCUUUUCGACACACUAAUACAUAUCAAAAUGCAAUAUCGGUCCUAACAAAAUGAAAAUAAAAAUUCAUUACGAAUAUGUGUUAAAGAUAUCCCAAGUAUUGAUGUGAUUGAAAUAUUUGAGAUUGAAGUAGAAAUAAGACUCAAAAUUAAUUGAGAGGAAUAAAUGAGAAACCCAAAUAUUAAUAAAAUACACGUGCAAAUCCUAAUGCUAAUUAAAAUCACGGAUUAAAAAUAAUAAUAAUAUGAAUGAAUUACAGGCGCAACUGUUUCAUUAAGAAAUUAAUUAAAUCGUGUAUUAAUAUUUUGUACACAUACAUUUUUCCAUAUAUAACUUUCGGUAAUUUAGUUUUCACUUAUCAUCUUUACUCCAAAAAAAAAAUUGAGAAUAUUAUUUAUGUUUUGGUGUAAAAUAUUUGAAUAAUAUACAAAUUUUCUGUUUAAUAAAUCUAAACAUUUCUCCAGUUAUAAAUGAAUUUAAUAGGUUUAAUUAGUAAAAAUAUUAUUAUUAUAUAAAUUGGGUUUGGUAAUGGUAUAUUGGGUAUUUAAAUGGGUUUGUUGAGUAAAUUUUAAAAUUUUAAAAUUCAAGGGUGGGUUUAUUUUAGUAAAUGGGUUAAGGCAGCAAUUUCCCAAACUAAAAUUUUUAGAAAAAGACGCUAUUGAGUUUUUUUUUUUUUUAAAAAAAGAAUUAAAAUGUUGAGAAUACCUUUAUUUAAUUUUAUAAUCUUAUUUUAAAAAAUUUACCCAAUAAAUUUUAUAAUUUUUAUAAAAAUUAUCAUUAACAUCCAAACAGCUAAAGAUUAAAAAAAAAAAAAAAGAAGAAGGGAACUGUACGAGCAAAAGUUACAUUAACAAUAAAUUUAGUCCAAAGAAUAAAGUUACAGCUAAAAAGUGCUCCUAUCCUAUUUUUCUCUAUUUUAACAAUAAUCUUCUUCCAAUCCGUUUUACAAUGGACUUUAACAAAUGGGCUCAAUCUCUAAACUUCAUUUUCUUUUGCUUACCCAUGGCCAUUAGCCAGAAAGCCUAAAACAAGACCAGCCCAUAUAUAUAAUUUUUUUUAAAAAAAAGUAAAAAUGUGUGAGAGCUUGUAGCAUUACAAUUUUAGGAUCACAUGUGUAAAUGGAACCCCAACAUUGAUCAAGAAUUAACAAGACAAGAUGAAGAGAUGAUCUUGUAACUAAGAAUGAAGAAAUUGAAUCAAGACAGUACUCUAGUAAAACCCAGAAAACAGAGCUUGAAGAAUCACGCACAAAGCAGUAAAUUUGUAAAACCAGAAUUGGAGCUUCACUUCUCAAGAGAGACGAAACAGGAUACAGUCUAGCUUUAGCCAAAGUGAUAAACUCGUAAUUAUUCUACAAAGGGAACAAUUUUGAACAGUGGGAAAUUCCAUAAUUAUUCUUUUCGGUGAAUUAUUUUAAAUAAAAUUAUAAAAACCAAUAUAAAAUUAUUACCCAGUAAAGACUUUAGAGAGACAAGUGCUCCCAACAGGAUCAAGUGAAUAUGCCCCACAAAGAUCAUUUCUUGUUCUUUUUCUUUUUGACAAUUUUAUCUGUGGUUUCAACUUUUAUGCUUUAUUGUCGUAUCCCGUUGAGGGCUCCGCUGCACCCAUUACAACUUACCCCUAAAUUGCCUCUUACUAACUAAACCGUUAGAUUUUAUGGAAGCACGUUCAAUGCUGAAUUUUAAUUAUGUCAUCAAAUUUCGUUUAGCUCCUUAAACUCCAUUUUAUUUGUAAUUUCUUCAUAAAAUAUUCAAAGCUUCAUCAAGCUCCUGAUGGACCAUCAUGGCUAGGGGUGCAUUAGAGCCGAACUGAAAUAUGUUAGUUCAGUUCAGUUUGGUCAGUUUAAAUCGAAUGGUUUAGAAUAUAUAAACUGAUCAAUUUUAAUUUUUAAUUGAACCGAAAAUCAAUUGGUUCAUUAUUAGUAUUUUUUUAUAAACAUGAAUUAUUAGUGAUUGUAAUUAAAUUGGACUAAAAAAAAUUCAAACUAAGGUGAAAAAUAUAAAAUCUUAGACAAUAUAAAAGAAAAAAUAUUAAAUUUUUUUAACCGAAUUAUUUUGACUCAAUUUGGUUCAUAAUUUUUUAAACCAAAUGGAACCCUCAUAACAAAAAACUAACAGAAACAAUAAGAACACGAUGUUAAAAUCUUAAAUCAAUCGCAAAAAAGCACCCAAAACAGAUCGAUUAGGAACAGUUAACAACAAAAGAUUUGAUGGUUCAAAAUCAUAAUGUGACCUACUUCCAUCCAAGAAUUAUACUAAUUUCUUUACUAGUUGUCAAAUACAAGAUCACAAGAUUAUUUAUCACUCUAUAGAGAAAAAAUUUUUAGAAGAAAUACUCCCCAAUUUUUCUCUUGAUAGUUAUGAAUCAACACCCCUAGAAAGGCUAUUGAUUUACUUUUCCUUAUUUCAUAUGAUCGGUUGCUGCAACUUAAUCCUUGCCAAGUUCCAACAUAGUCCAAACAUUUUUCAUGGUACAUGCAUAGUGCACCUUCAGAAACUUUACAGCUCUUCUUAAAACCUCAGUUCUCGUGAUGUUUCUGAUUUAUUUCUGGGACGAGUAACACUUUUGUUGAACCUAGACCAGAUUUAGUAUCCAAUCAAGAAUUUCCAGGAUCUAGCUGAACUCUCUAAUCAAGACCUAAAGAAUAGUUAAUCAAAUCCACACAAAAGAAUCACCCAAAAACAGUAUACAAAGAACAACAAAUAUAAGUGGUUUUGAGAUAAAUGUAAUUGACUUCUGAGCAUGACUUAAUUUUGAGAUCAUUACUUUUAGUUAAAUGAUCUCCUCCAGAGCUUCUACCUAUGUAGUGUUUUUAGACCUCUAUAGUUGAUAAAGCACGUUCAAGGUGAAGGCUUGUUUUCCAAUCUAUAGUCCAAUUAUAGACUGGAAAUGGUCAGGCUUAAUGCACCUUCAAAAGCUUCACAAUUUGUAUUGAAACCUUAAGCCUCAGAAUGCUACAAAUUUUAAAUCCAUAUACUUAGUGCUCUUAUGAUUUGUUUGAUUUUUACUUAGAUGAAGAGCAUUUUAGCUAUAGAAAACAUUGUAACUAAUUCAAAGCAUGCCUUAGCUACGAGAUCAUUCAUUCUAGCCAAAUGCCCCCUUUAGAGAUUCUGCUAUUGUUGUGUAUUCAGCCUCUAUAUUUGGCAAAGCAAUUACAUGUCGAAGGCUUGCUUUCCAGUUAACAGCGCAAUUACAUAGAUUAAAGGUGUAACCAGGCAAAGAACUUAGUUAUUCUGCCAAGGUCUCCAACAUACUCCAAAUCCAUAUAACCACCAGACUUCAAUCUUUAGACUCCAUAGAUCAAACCAUAACUUAGUGUGCCUUUCAAUCUCAGGUAACAUUUUACUGUUUUCCACGUCUUGCCAUGUACUUGCUGCUAACACUAACAAUUUGAGAAAUGUUAGGCAUCGUAAGCAGCCGACAACACUCUUCUUCAUUUCUUCAUUGUCAAUUUCCUUCUUGGAACAUUGCUCCAUUGAGAGUCUGCUAUCAUUGCUCCAAUUAUUAUUAUUUUUGUUUUUUUAAAAAAAAAAAUUAACCGUGCAAUAAGAGUAUAAGACUAAGCAACGGUCCUUUUUUUUUUCCCAUUCUUGAACAUGAAGUAUUUGAGUAUGCAAUAAAAAUUGUUUAUUGAUAAUUAAAAGUUAAUAGUGGGUGGCUUUAGGAUUUGUUUACAAAAUUGACAACAAAUUAAGAUUUUUCAAAUUCAUAGGUAAGAAACUUUUCAUUUAUUCAUAGAUUUUCCGGUUUAAACUUUAAAGGAAACUUAAAAGAAAAAGAUGUAUCAUUAGAUUUGUAAUUAAAAAAAUUUAAUAUUGUAUGAUCUGUUCGAUAUGCAUAAUUUAAAUAAACAUUAAUAUAGAUGUUAUAUAUCCUAAAACUUAAUUGACUUAAUUCUUACGGUGCAAGGAAGACGUUUCCAAGUUUAAAUCUAAUUUGGGGUCGGGAAAGCACUGGGAAAUAAAUGUAACAAAGGAAAAAAGAAAAGAAUGACAGUCUGAGUGGAGCCAACACGGUUUUGAAAAAAGUGCAAAAAAGGGUUUUAGGAUAUAUUCUAUUAUCGUUUGUUUGCUUGCUUGUGGAAAUAAAAGUCUCAUGUUUCUUUGAAAGGUAAGCAAGUGUGAAUGUUUCUAUCUAGAGCUGGAAAAUGCAUUUCCGUGCAACUUACUUGAUGAAUGAAGUUUUCAUCUCUGACCUUGAUGUUUCCCAGAGCUGCAUUCAUUUCAGCUGAUCUAUUUCAUUUCGUUUGCAAAGGAGUGACACAAAACCUCCUUUGUUAAGGGGAGAAUUUAGAGUGGCUUCAACGGUUAACAAAUAGCCUAAUGUAAGACUUAAUCAAUUUCCUGCCCGGUUGCUUACCACUACUUAUCACUUUAACGUAUGAAACCUAAUCAAGAUUCCUUUGAUGAUUUUUCUAUUUGCUAAUUGAUUGAUAAGCUCUUCAGUGAAGAUAUAGUGUCCGCAAGCCAUAUGUUGAUAGAGUUAGAGUUUGCAGAAGCUACUGUACCAUAUGUUGUUAGAGGCGGUAAAAACGGAGGCAGAUCAACACACAUUUAAAUUUCAAUGACAAUUUACUGGAAAUAAAUUUCCUAUGACCCUACAUGUGACUAAUUGAUGAGAACUUGACAAUGACAAAAGAAAGUGUAUGAGCUUUGCAGGCUGGCUUGCCAAUAUUGACUGUAUGGCACCAUCCGCAAGUAAGUAUCAUUACUGUUUAAUCAACUUGGUGGAGUCCACUGGGACCACCCCACAUGGUCAGUCUUAUCUCUACUCCUAAAUUUUCAAUAUUCCAUACAUCAAACCAAUUGCAGUUUUGAUAUCAAAUUCAAUUUUAUUGUUGGUGACGAUUCUGAUUCCUUUCAUUCUCACAAAACGGAACCAUGGUUGCUGUUGGAGAGAUCUUACUCAACGCCUUCCUUGAGGUGUUGUUUGACAGGUUGGCUUCUCGUAAUUUGCUCCGCUUUGUGCGUCAACUCCAAGGCGGGGUUGAUUCGGAGCUCAAGAAGUGGGAGAAAAAGCUGAAGAUGAUUCAGGCUGUGCUCUGCGAUGCAGAGGAGAAGCAACUGACCGAUGAGGCUGUGAAGAUGUGGCUGGACGAACUCCAAGACUUAGCUUUUGACGCUGAGGACAUUCUUGAUGAGUUUGCUACUCAAGCUUUGGAAAGCAAGUUGAUGGCGCAAAACCAGGAUAGCUCUGGCCAGGUUCUCAGUCUCAUCCCGGCUAGUUUGAAUCCGAAUGCUAUUAUGUUCAAUUAUAGCAUGGGGUCCAAGAUUAAAGAUAUGACUAGCCGGCUGGAGCAACUCUGCCAAGAAAGAAUUGAACUUGGACUGCAACGGCUUACUGGAGGGGCGUCAUCAACCGCUGCUGCUGCACACCGGAGGCCACCCAGUUCGAGUGUCCGAACAGAACGUGAAGUAUUUGGAAGAGAAGAAGAUAAGGCCAAAAUUCUUGAUAUGGUCAAUACCCCAAGUGAUCACGCCAACUUUGUUGUAAUACCUAUUGUUGGAAUGGGCGGGAUAGGAAAAACAACUCUUGCUCGGGAGGUCUACAAUGACAAGGCAGUUGAGGAUUCCAAGUUUGACGUAAAAGCAUGGGUUUGUGUCUCCGACAACUUUGAUGUUUUCAACAUUUCAAAGGCACUUCUCGAGUCAAUCACCUCCGCAGCUAGUGAUCUCAAGACUUUAAAUGAAGUGCAGGUUCAACUGAAAAAAGCAGUGGACGGAAAAAGAUUCUUGCUGGUCUUAGAUGAUGUUUGGAACGAGGACUACAGCUUGUGGGUAGACUUAAAAGCUCCGUUCCUGGGUGCUGCACCAAACAGUAAGAUGAUCGUCACCACACGCAAUUUAAACGUUGCAUCAACAAUGGGACCAAUUGAACAUUAUAAUCUCAAGAGUCUGUUAGAUGAUGAUUGCUGGUCCAUUUUCAUACAGCAUGCAUUUGAAGGUAGAGAUCUUAACGCAUAUCAAAUUUCAGAAUCAUUCAGCAAGAAAGUUGUUGGCAAGUGUGGGGGCUUGCCUCUGGCAGCAAAAACGCUCGGGGACUUCUGCGCACAACAAGGCAUGAUGCGUGGGACGAUAUAUUGGAUAGCAAAAUAUGGGAUUUACAUCAACAAAGCAGCAUUCUCCCUGUGUUAAGAUUGAGUUACCAUCAUCUUCCGUCUCAUUUGAAAAGAUGUUUUGCUUUUUGUGCCAUCUUUCCAAAAGAUUAUGCAUUCACUGAGAGGGAGCUGACUUUCUUAUGGAUGGCUGGAGGUAUUAUUCGACAGUCAAGAAACAAUGAGCAGCUGGAAGAUUUGGGCAGCAAGUGCUUUGGUGAUCUAGUGUCGAGGUCAAUUUUUCAGCAAACAGCAAGCUCUGAUAGUUCUAAAUUUGUAAUGCAUGACCUUAUUCAUGAUCUUGCUGAAUUGGUCUCUGGAGAAACCAUAUUCAGGUUAGAGGAGGCCAAUACUCGGUCAAGAAGAUUUGAAAGGGUUCGCCAUUCUUCCUAUGCUUGUGGUGGAUGUGAUGGUAAAAAUAUGUUCGUGGUUUUCAAUGAAAUUGAACAUCUACGAACAUUCUUGCCAUUACGCUUACGCAGAAGAGGUGGCUCUAAUGCUGGUUACAUAACUCGUACGGUUCUAUCUGAUUUGCUGCCGAAGUUCAAAAGGUUGAGAAUGCUAUCUUUACAAGGAUACUGUAUUGGUGAGUUACCAAUUCCAUUUGAAGAUUUGAGACUUUUAAGGUUUCUCAACCUUGCUGACACUGACAUAAGAAGUUUACCCGAGUCAACAUGCAAAUUGCUGAACUUGGAAAUUUUUAUAUUAAGAAAUUGUUCCCGUUUGAUAAAGCUUCCACCCAAAAUGAGGAAUUUGAUCAAUUUACGCCAUUUGGAUUUAAGAGGUGCGAAGUUGCUGAAGGAGAUGCCAUUCGGAAUGAAAGAGUUGAAGAAGCUUCAAACAUUGUCCAAUUUCAUCGUGGGCAAGGGCGAAACUGCAUCUGGUUUGGAAGAUUUAAAAUGUUUAAACUUUCUUUGUGAUGAACUCUGCAUUGCUGGAUUAGAGAAUGUGAAUGGUCCACAGAAUGCAAGAGAAGCCGCAUUAUGUGAGAAGCACAAUCUUGAAGCAUUGACUCUAGAAUGGGGGUCUCAAUCUGACGGUCCUCGGGAUGCAGUACUAGAAGAGAAGGUACUUGACACUCUACAACCUCAUGAAUGUAUAAAAGAGCUGGCAAUCAGGCACUAUGGUGGUGCAAGAUUUCCACCUUGGAUCGGACAGCAUUCGUUCUCCGAGAUGAAGGUCCUUAAAUUGGAGAACUGUGGCAAUUGUGUAUCUCUGCCAUCGCUUGGCCUGAUGAGUUCACUUAAGCACCUUGCUGUUAAAGGGCUGAAGAAAUUAAAAAGCCUAGAGUCUGAGGUUUAUGGGGAGGGUUUCUCAAUGCCUUUUUCGUCACUGGAGAUUCUAAGUUUUGAGAAUUUGCCAGAAUGCGAGCAUUGGGACACCAAUAUCAAAGGAAAUGUGCUUGUUGAAAUAUUUCCUCGUCUCCAUAAACUUUCCAUUGUGGAAUGUCCCAAACUCUCCGGAAAACUGCCUGAGCUCCUGCCCUCCUUGAAGACACUUGUUGUUAGUAAAUGUGAAAAGUUGGUAGUUCCAUUGUCUUGCUAUCCAAUGCUUUGCAGAUUAGAAGUUGAUGAGUGCAAAGAACUAGUCUGCCGGACUCCGAUUGAUUUUAAGUUGAUAAAGUCGGUGACUAUUUCAAAUAGUUCAUUAGACAUGAAUGGACGCAAGGGGAUGCUAUACGAUGGUCCAGCUGGCUCUUUACUGCCAAAGCCCAUGACUACUACAAAUGUUUUGGAGUUUGGAAAAUUAUUGAAGCCUGGAUUUCAGAUAUUAGAAACUUUGGUAAUUGGCAAUUCUGAACAGCUCAAGUCAUGGAGGCAGCAUGGGGAUU
rnacentral:lncRNA from 1 species